AAGAACAACGACGAUAUUGGAGUUGGGUACCCAUCACAGCCGAUGAAAAUAGAAGUAAGUUUGUGGGAUGGAGAUAGCUGGGCAACCGAUGGAGGCCGAACAAAGACUAAUUGGAGCAUGGCACCUUUCAAAGCCCAUUUCCAAGGAUUUGAUAUAAGUGGUUGCCCAAUAAUUCAGAACUCGAGCAACAUUCAACAAUGUUAUUCUCCCAAUUAUUGGUGGAAUUCAGAGAAAUAUUGGAAGUUAGACUCCAAGCAACAAGGAGAACUGCAAAAUGUAAGAAAGGAAUACAUGAACUAUGACUAUUGUUCGGAUAGGCCUAGAUACCCUGUUCCUCCUCCGGAGUGCCUUCAUCAAUAGCAGGCUAGAGUUCGUGGGGAUGGGUUAAUUUAAGUUGCUAUAUUAAAUAACAAUGCAGCUGAUGUAAUAAAAGAAAAUUUUAAAUUGUUCCACUUUAUAAAAUUAUUAUAGUUAUUUAUUAAUACUUUUUAAUAAUAAAUAUUUUCCCAUAAGUUAGGAAGUAGAUUAUUGUUACAUAUUCUACCAUGAAUUAGGAUCUAUUAUAGUUAGUAACAGCACAAGGUGACCAUUUCUCUCAUGGAAAACUCAUGCUUGAACUGAUCAAGUUACAAUAAAUUAACACAAAAAUACUUGAUUUUGGUUUUGAUUUGAUUGCUUCUUCUCUUUUACUAUAUUUUUCCCAUAAAACGAAAUUAAACAUAUCGAUGAAGACAAAUGAUAAAAAGUUUAUUACAACUAUCAAACAGUAAUAAAAAUUAAGGCAAUAUAAUAAAAUAAUAAAUUUUUUAAUUUUUAAUUUUUAAAUCGAUUAAUUCAUAUAGUUAUAUAAUAUUUUUGAUAUUCAAAUUCUAAGGUUUGUAAUUUCUUCUUAUACUCUUGUGCUAUCAUGUUACAAUCUCUUUAAAAAAUAAAUAAAUAAAUAAAUUUUCACCGGCCAAUUGCCUAAUUUAUAAAGUUGUCACAUGCUGAUUUGUUUUUAUUAUUCAUAAUCGAACGGGCUUAUAAAGCCCAAUCUACGAUCCAAGAACUCCAUCUGUAAUUGGCCGAAAAAAGAGAAAUUGUAUAAUUAAAAAGAAAAAAGUCUUCACCGAUCAGGUAAUUUUUUUGAAAGCUACGGGGACUGGGUAUUCCCAUGGCGGAUUUUCUAUAUCCAGUAGCAUAUUUUCAGUUUGCUACCCCAGUAAUGGCCCUUCUUCAAAGACCCUUUUUUGUGCUACUUCUUAUACUAACUCAUCAAUUCAUGCAAUGUUGGAUUGCUUUUGGAUCGGUCAAUGAAGAAGGAAAAAAACAAGAAGAAGAAUUCAAUGAGGAGCUACUAUUGAAGCCGUUGCCAGAUCGCAACGUGUUGGCCCAUUUCCAUUUUCGAAGCUCUGCCCCUCUUUCCACCACUUAUUUCCCAAAGCCAUUUCUCAAUUGGUACUUUUUUUAUUAGUUUAUUUUAUUUUUUCUUUUGGGUCACCGAGAAAUCUUACGCUUUUUUUUUUUUUGGUAUUUAUGUUCUUUCAUGUUGCUUUUGUUUAAAUGGAGUUAGAGAAAAGCUAGCUUAGCCAAGUCAGGUGGCUUUCUUCAGUUUCUGAAUCUAUCAGUAACUUAGAAAGGUGGUAGGAAAGCCCAAAACUUAAAUCUUUCCUUUGCUCUUCAUACAUUUAUUAGCAAAAUAUUUAAUCAUUGUGUGGUGUAAAGAGGAUUUUGGGUUUACUUGCUUUUGAUAUGCUUUGGUCUGUAUGUUGAUUUUUUAAGUUUAUCGUAAUGUUUGAAUAAAUAUUAAUAAAAUAAUAAAAAAAUAAUAUAUGUAUAAUUAUUUGGAUAAUUAAAAUUAAAAAAAAAAAUUUUUAUCAAUUAUUAUUUGGAUAAAUAAUAAAAAAAAGAAAAUGAUUCAUUAUAAUAAUUUUUUUAUUUAUAAUUUUUUAUUAUUUGUAAUUUUAAAAUAUUUUUGGAUAAUGAUAUAUUUGUUAUCUUAUUUAGCUUCAAAAUUAUUGUUAUAUCAGUGAUUUUUAAUCAAGUAAAACAUAAAGUUAUUUUACAAACAUGCAUUAAUGAAUUUUUUGAUCAUUAUCAAAACUUUAAUACACUAUUACUUUGACAAUAUAUUCAUAUAAAACUAUUAAAUAUAAAAAAUACAAUCAUAUGAAAACAUUACAUACUAAAGAAUUAUAUGUCCUUUUUGCACCAAACAAAAAGUAAUAAUAUAUUAUCAUAUAGUUGUCUAAUAUAAAUUUAUUUUAUCAAAAAGAGAUGAUUUUGAAAAAAUUAUAAGAAAAUUAUGAUGUGGUUUUGUUUUUUUUACUAAUUUUCUAGUAUUAAUAAAAAAAUAGAUAUAAUAAUCUUUUAAUAAAAAUAAAAUUUUUUUCAAUUUUCAUUUUUUUAGCUUUUUUUUAAAAAUUGAAAUAUUAAAAAAAUGAAGAUUACAAGAAAAAACAAAAGUUAUUGAGUUUUCACAUAUAUAUUUUUUUAAAUUAAAAAUUUAUCCAAACAAAAUUUUUUUUUCUGUUUUCAUUAUUAUUUUUUAUUUCUCUUUCUUUUUCUUUUCCUCUCCUUAAUCGAAUCAUACAGUAAGGAUCAGGUUAAGUAGGGAGUAAGGACUAUGGACUGGAGUUGUCAACUCAGGCUGAGUCAAUUUAAGUAGUUAGUGGACUGCAUCAAGUUACCAAAUAAUCGGGAUUUAAAAUUUUGAUUUAUUAGCUUUUGUUUCAUGAUGAAAAAUAGAUGCAUUAUAAGGUUAAAUCUUAUCAUUAUUGUCUUUGGAGCACUCAGCUUGGCCUGAGUCAAUUAAGGUAGGUCAUACAGGCUCUUUUUUUCUUUAAAGCCUUCUAUUAGCUUAUUUACAUAAAAAAUAUCAUUCAACCUAUCUCUGCAUUUUCCUAAUCAAGUUAUGAUUAGUUCAUUGUUUUCCGCAUUCAUAAAUAUACAUGAGAAUGAAAUGUUCUUAUGAACUCAUCCAACCUUUUCAGCAAUGUUAUGUCUGACAUGAAGUACAAAAUUGGCUACAAGUUUACCUGAAAAAUAUUAUGCACGAAUUGUGUAUGUCUUGCAUUAAUUUGUCUAUCUCUCUUUGUGUAAGGUAAAGAUAAGAGUCUUGAUAAACUUCCCAUUGUAGAUUUUACAAAGCGAGGAUCAGUACCCUUCUUAGGAGAAGAUGAAUAAACAUUCCUGCUCAUAUUUGGAAGAGGAACCUCCCACCGGCAUUGCAUUGGUGUAAUCAGGACAUAGAAUCAACGAACAGUCAAUGAUAAACCAUAAUGAAACAUAUAACCAACGAAUUGCUAUAACCUAAUGGAAAAGUGGUUGAUAUGGAACUGACUUAAAAAUGAGAAACGGGGUAGCCGUCAUGGAAAGCUAAGAUUCAUAAUAGGUUAGGGAAAAAGGAUGCCUUUUAAAUGAUACAGCUGUCUAAUCUUUUAAUGUUUACUGCAGUAUUUUUUAUUUCUACAUUUCGAGUAUUUCACAAACACCUUCUACCCCUCUCUCAUGUACAUACAUCUUAUUCAUCCAAAUCUAUUUGCCAUAUUGCAGAACCGAAUUCUAAUCUUUCCAUAACAUUCUACUUAACUUCCAUCAUUUACUUCAGCGUUUUACAUUACAUGACUGUUAAUAUUAGAAAUAUUCCAAAUAUUUCCUGAUUGUUGAAACCUCAAAAUGACAUCCAAUAUCAACAUAAUUGUUCUUUGGAUUAUUAUCCAAUCCGCUGCUAGUGCAGUGCAAACGCUCCACAAGCAGGAUUGUUUGAUGCAAUGCUUCCGUUUAACAAAAUGGACAUAGAAUUAGGAAGUUAACCUAACCGCUAAGUAAGGCAUGAAAAUUGAACAACCCCUUGAAGAGCUUUUGUGUUCUAAUAUUGUUGUAUAAGAUAAUGAUGUAUAUUCUUUUAUGACUAAGUCCUAAAGGAUGAUAGGAAAAGAAUAACGAAGAAAAGUUUGAAUACAAAGUCUUGACAACUAAUGCAGAUGUCUUACACUUCCAAAGAUCCAUUUCCCAGUAAGACAGCCAGAUAGCCCAUCCGUUGGUUGCAUUUAGAAUCAUUUAUAUCAUAAGGCUUCCAUUUUACAUCCCAAGCAACUUUUCCAUUGUGAGCUAGAAAGAGGACAGCUCUUGGCAGUGCAAUGUCACCUGGAAUAGAAGAACCGGGGCUGAACUCGAACGAAUUACUAUCUAAAAGAUUAUUCGGCACAGUAGCAUCCUGCCAGAGUUGUAACAAAUUUGUUGGUUUAUUGUCAAUGAAGAUUCUGUUUCUUCAUUUUGAGUCAAUAAUGGGAGGCAUUUACCAUCACUAAUAGUUUUUUGCUCGUGCCUUACUUUUCAAUUUUCUACUUUCCACAGAUGUAUUAGGGGCUGCAUCAGAUGAAAAUGCUGCCUCUUUGUCACCUUUUUGUUUUUUAUGAUGAUUCUUAUCUGAAACAUUUUCUUGCGUAUUUCCAGGAGCGUUGUCUAUUGCAACUGGCUCAAAGGAACCUUCUGGGUACUGAACAGGAAGAGGUUGGAAAGGCUCGUCAUUCUAAUUGCUGUUAGGAGAUUCACCAAUUGAUUUGUUUGUAGGUCUACCUGUUGGCCUCUUAACCUGAUCUAGUUGAGAUUCAACUAUUGGUUUCUUUCCAGGUCUUCCUCUAGGCCUCUUUGACGAGCUCUCCCCCAUGGCCUUUGUAUUUUGAGAUCUCCGUUUUGGCUUUUUCUUUAACAGAGGAGCUUCUUCCUCAUUCACCCCAACAUUUAGCAUACACCAUAUUUGAAUGAUGCCUCUACCAGUAAGUGGGGUGCCCAUCUUGUGAUAAUAAGAUUCAGGAGGAUGAGCAGCGACAGCAAUGAACUGGGAAAAAGAAGGCAAAAAAAGAAAAAGACAAAACAAGGACAGCCUCGCAAGAUUGCAGCAUUAAGAUGGUGAUAAUUAUUAUUAAAAAUCCUACUUAUUAAGCAUGCAGGCAAUAUUUUAAACCACUGUUUCAGAACAAAUCUAGGCUUUUGUCUCUUUCAUUUGAAAUAACCAAGUAGAUAGAGGUUUGGGCUAUAAUGAUAAAUUGAAGGUGGAAUACACGAAAAAAAAAAAAAAAGAAUAAAAGGUUCCCAGAAGUGGGUUAGGGAUUUGGGAGGGGAGAAGUGGGGAAGUACCUCACAUUUGACAGGACUGUUAGGAUUCUCAUGAACUCUAGGACACCAUUAAUCUAAUGCCCAAACAGACCCUCCAACAUACAUCACGAAGUCCUUGCUGCAAGAUGAUUGUACUUUAAUCAUGUCAUUCAAUAAAUGUAUAAAACAUACCAUUUUGCAGCGGUGUUGGCUUCACAAAUAAAAAUAUUUGGGUGCCCAUACACAGAUCUUAAAUAAGAGGAGCAAUAAUAACACCAAGUUCUUAUCUUAUAACAUGUAUAUGCAUCACAGAUCAACAAGAGCAAACACCAUCCAUAACAUGUUGUUCAUAAGAGUUAAAAUUUUUUAAACAAAGGAGGAAUCCUGUAGGAUAGCAGAACUUUUAUGGUCAAGAAUAAAACUAAGACCUUUUCCAAACCCACAGUACACCAUCCUUUUACCACCUAAACCCAAUAACAUUGGAAACUGAAAUUGCUCCAACCAAAAUCCAAUCUAACAUGGAUUCUGGAGAUGCAUUACUUACUCGUAGUCCUUCCUGCUGCUUCCAUAAGAAAAAAAGAAAGAAAAAAAAGAAAAAAAAAACAACAAUGAGUAUUAACAGAAUAUUAUGCUAUAACAAGUAAAAACUAUUCCAGAAGAUUUAUGCAGUCAUUGAACAUUCCUCCAUGUGAGGGACCCAAAAUAAAAAGAUUUUCUUUCACCUUGGGAACAGUUGCUGAUGAAAACUGAGGCAAGUUUAUGCCACCAGAAACAUCUUUACCCGGUGAGUCUCCUAGUUCGCUAGCAAACCCAAUGAUCCUCGGUUCAUAAUUAAAAUGCCUCCAUUCCCUAAAAGCAUGUUUAAUAGUAAAUUAAGAACUUGUACAUGUCUAUAUUGGACAGAUAAAACUAACAUAAAAAAAAAAAAAUACCCGACGUACAUCAGCAAAGUCAAUUCAAUCGCAUUUGGAAGUUCUAAAUGCACAAAGAUGAGCAUAAAGUUACCUUAAGAAAGUGAUUGAAGAAGAGAAUCUCCGGAUAUCAGUUUCAUCGAGACCAUCAAUCUUGGGUUCUUCACAAAUCUAGAGAUUGUAUCCAUUACCCUAAAAUGUUUCUCGAUUGAAUAACCAAAUAUAGAGAACCUAACUCCAGAAUCACCAUUAAAUGGUGGUUCUUCCAUUUUUCUGUUUCUUUUUUCCUACAUGUAACACAUCUGUUCGUCAAUCACUCAAAUAUGAGACAUAUAAUGCUAGAGAAGUUUUUUUUUUUCUGUUAGUAGGAGAACAAACGUCCGUAUAAAGGAAAGAAAGACAGCGGAAUUAGAACCUACGUCCAUAAGUCUUUUUUAAAAUCUCUUAAUCAUUACAUCAAAAGAAAAGACAUAUAAUGUUAGAGAGUUGAUUAUAAGAAAUAAAACGUAAACUAUAACUGAAUGCUAAAUUUGAUACUUUAACUUAAAAAAAAAUUCAAUUCAAAAAAUUGUUGGAGCCUAACUCUGAGUUGCAAUCAACAAUAUAACUUAAUUUAAACAAAAUAAAUGUAAUAUGGAACAUCACAUUUAAUAAUAAUUACGACGCAUUAACUUGAAAUUCUUUCUAAACCUUUUUCAUCAGUAAACUUAAGUUUUUCCCUCUUAACCAAAAACAACAAAAAAUAAAAUAAAAUAAAAUCCAUGAAUUUCACAUAUUUUUCCUCUCAAAAUUUCGUGACCCAAACAUACCAGUAGGCAACGAUAAUUAGCUCAGAUGACCUGAUUUUAUUUCAAAGCAGACAGAUAAUAUAUGUGCCUCUAAAUGAUGAAAAUUAAAGGUAUUAUAUUUAAAGACAAAUAUGAUUUAUGCCUUAAAUCCAUUAUUUUAAAAAUUAAUAUUUAUGUGUAGCUUAUUCUUUGCCUUUAAUUAUUGGUUUUGUUGUAGUGUAUAAAAAAUAAUGUAUAUUAUAAUUUGAGUUAUAAUCGACUAAGUUUGGGCUUUGAAUGCUAGUCUCAAGUUUCAAUUUACAUUUUAAAAGAACUCGAAGACGUCAAAGGAUAGAGUAUGGGGCAGGUAGAAUAUUUUUCUUUUUUAUUCUCAAAUUUUUAUAUUAUAUUAAUUCUUAUAUCUAUAUUCAAUGAAAAUUUUAAAUUUAUUCACAUUUUUACCUACGAAAAUAUUUAAUUGAUGCAAAUAAUUCUUAUACUCUUAGCUUUUUUAAAAAAUAAAUUUUACCUUUUAAUUUAUUUUAAUUUUUAUCUUACAUAUUCAUAUAAUUUUUUUAUAAAUAUAUUAAUAUAUAUUUAAAAUAAAAUAUAUGUUAAUUUUAAUUAAUCAAAAAUAAAAUUUUAUAUUAUUUAAUAAUAAAUUUAUUUACUAAAUAUAUAGGCAACGGGUACAAAAUAUGUGCUAUAUUACUUGUCUCUAUCCUUGUAUCAAAUAAAAAAUUUUAAAUCAUAUUUAUGCCAUUCUUAAAAUUUAAUACCCAUUUUAAUCCCAUUGGGUAAAAAGUUAGAUUUUCUAUCUGAUAUGGAUAAAAUUAAUAUCCUUAAAUGAGUUUAAUGUUUUACACAAAUCUAUUUAAUGGGUUUAAUAUUUUUGUUUAAACCUUCAAAAAUAUUGAAUGAGCCCUCAAAACUUGAAUGGAUAACUUGACCAUUGGAUAAAUCUAUCAAAAUAUUUAACAUUUUUAUAAAUGUAAAACAAAACAAAAACAAAAAUAAUCGUAAAUAUAAUUUGAGUUUAAAUUUAUAAAUAAUAUGGAUGGUAGUACUUACAAGAGUAAGGAUACAGUUAUAAUGGUGUAAGUUUUACAUUUUUUUUAUAUCAAAAUUAAAUUUAUGUAUUAAAAUAAUAUUUAAUCUCAACCACUUUGAUCUAAUAAUAAAAAAAAAAAUGUAAAACUUAUAUUAACACAAGUGGAUCGCUCAUCUUACCUAUAAUGGUAUACAAUGAAAGACUCUCUCUAAAUUUUUAAUUAUCCACUUGAUAUUUUGCAAAUAAAUUUGUUGAACUUCAAAAUUCCUUCACUGAAUAAGGAAAUAAUCCAAUUGAAUUGCAUUCAAUUUACAUUCAUUGAAUAUGAAUGGUACAACAAAACCAAGUCCUAAUCCCCAUUUCUUAUCGAAUUAACCUAUUUACUUGCCGUCAAAGACUUUUUUUGUAUUAGAAAUUUUCGAAAAGAAGUUGACAAAUUUCACAAGUAAGACAUUAAAAGACAUUAAAUAAAGAUUUAAUUGAAAAAAAUAAAAAUAAAAAAUAGAAAGACAUGAUGAUUUGUUUGGAGUAAGAUGAUGGGUUUAUAGCAUUCAAAAAUUCAGUUUGAUAAUUACUCAUGAUGACGAGUAAAAAAAAUGUUUGGUAGGUUUCUCCUUUAUAUAGUUAUCUUAUAGAAAUGUCAAGUAAUCUGUAAGCUUCCAUAUAAAGUAGGCAGGUUUCUCUUUUAUCUAGUUAUCUUAUAGAAAUGUCAAGUAAUCUGUAAACUUCCAUAUAAAGUAGGUAGGUCUCCCUUUUAUCUAGUUAUCUUAUAGAAAUGUCAAGUAAUCUAUAAACUUGCAUAUAAGGUUUUGAUUGUGAGAUUGAUAUAAUAAAUUCAAAUAAAUAAUAUAAUCAAAAUAUUCUAUUUCUAAAAUGAACCUGCCCUGUUUUAAGAGAAAUGGCCAAUUAAUUGAACUAUAGAAGGCAACCAAAUCGACUUACUCUUUUCCUUUCAUGCAUGAAUCUAAGACUAUUGCUAUCUAUAUAAGAGACUUGUGAUCAGAUCACUAACAUGCAAGUAAAUUAUAACAAUCGCUUUUAUUUUUUUUUUAGUGAAUAUAUGAUAAGAAGUUCAUUAAAACUUCCAAUUAUUUACAAGAAGAAAUACAAAGAUAUGGCUAUGGAAAAGAGGUUUUCUCCUUUUGCAAUUUCUUAUUCAUAUUAUUGUUUCAGACAUAUAUAUAUUUCAUGAUGAUUUUACUGUUGGAUUUUCUUUUUUAGUAGUCAUCAACCUAAUUAAUAAAUAAAUAUGGAAUUGGACAGGUUCUUCUUCGGUCUUCUCAUUGCAGCUAUAGUAAGUGCAAUCAGAGCAGGUGAUGUUAGUUUUGAUAAGAAUUAUCACGUCACAUGGGGAAACUCUCAUGUGACUUCUCUAAACCAAGGAAGAGAAAUUCAUCUUUUAAUGGAUAAUACUUCAGGUUCGAUACAUGAAAACAACUAACUUAUACAUUUGCAUGCAUGUAUAAACGUAUUUAAAAAAGACACGUGCAUAUAUAUAAUCACUCGUAGCUAAACUUUUAAUAUAUGAAAAUGUAAAUUAAAAAACAAAGAAUCACUAAUGGUGGUUAUAUGAAUGCAGGGGCUGGGUUCCAGUCCAAUGUCGGGUAUGCUUCAGGGUUUUUCCAAAUGAAAAUAAAGACACCCAACAAGGAUUCUACUGGAGCUGUUACAACUUUUUAUGUACAUAUAUCUUUUUCUGUACUUUAAAAAAAAAUUCCUGUCUUCUCUAACAUGUAUUAGUUAAAGUAUAAUUUAAUGAACAUUUUGGUGGGUUGAUGGCAUGUAUGCAGUUGACCUCAAAUCCACAAAACACAGGAAACCAUGACGAGCUAGAUUUUGAGUUUUUGGGUAGCAAGGGUCCUCCUUUUACAUUGCAAACAAAUGUUUUCGCUAAUGAUAGAGGAGGCCGAGAGCAAAGGAUUCAUCUUUGGUUUGAUCCCACUGCUGAUUUUCAUACUUACGGAAUUCUUUGGAAUCAGCAUCAAAUAGUGUAAGCAAAAACUAUUCUCUUUAAACUAAUUUGAUUCUAAUUUAACUAGUUACAACAUUGCUUUGAAGUCCUUGGUUUUAUGUUUUGUGCAGGGUUCAUGCAUGGAAAUUAACAUUUCUAAUUUAAGUCUCUUAAAAAUAAUUUGAUUCUUUAACCCUAGUUUUCUUGCCUUUUCAGGUUUUAUGUGGAUAAUACACCCAUAAGAGUUUUCAAGAACAAUACAAAUAUCGGAGUAAAUUAUCCUUCACAACAAUUAGUGAUUCAAGGAAGCCUAUGGAAUGGAGAAGGUUGGGCAUCGGGUGGAAGAAAAAUUGAUUGGAGUCAAGCUCCAUUUAUAGCCAGUUUUCAAGGGUUCAACGUGGAUGGUUGUCAAUUCCACGACACUGCGACCAAAGCGCAAUGCUAUAAUUCUAACUUGUGGUGGAAUGGAAACAAAUAUUUGGAACUAGACCCUGCUCAGCACAAAGCAUUACAGUAUGCAAGAACCAAGUACAUGUUUCAAGACUACUGCACUUCUCCAAGUGGGAGGUACCAUAAAGAAUGCGGAAGUAAUAAAUAAAUGAAGAGAUAAAUAUGUAAAAAUUUCUGCUUAGUUGGAUUGUUUUAUAUGCAAUAUAUAGAUAGCAAAUAAAUUAGAAUAUUUUCAUUAAAAAAUUAUAAACAUUGGUAUUCUUAUCCUUGUACAAAAAUGGAAAUUAUCAUGUUUAUGCCCUUUAAAAAAAAAACAAAAUAAUAAAUAAACCAAACAAAUGUCAAAUUUGUUGGGUAUUUCAAUUUCAAAGUCAAUCCCAAAGUUGCUUUUCCAAUCACAAAUGAGAAUGACGUCAAGCCCAUCCUUCUGGGCCCACAAUGCGGUGCUAUAAAGGCACUUUCACGGAGUUGGGUAUCUUCUCCAUGAUGGUUGGAUCCGACAAGCCACAAUUUAUGAACUUUGUUAGAAGGAAAGGGUCGUUCAAUAAAUUGGUAAGUGAGGUAAACGAUCAAUUCAAAGCCUAUCCAAUAAAAGAUUUUAUAUUUCGUUCAAAAAAAUUUAUAAAAAUACUUAGAGCACCAAAACUAAAAAGCGCACAUGAACAUGUGGAGGUUAGAAAAGUUCUUUCUUGCACUGCUGUGCAACAUGUUUGUCUUUGUUUUCCCACGCUUCCAACUUUCUCUUCUGAAGCCCAACCCGUGUUUGUUAUUUUCCAAAGAUGAACCUUUAGGUACUCUCUCUCAGCCUUGCUGUUCCAAUGUAAAAGGAGUCUCCUCCUAUAUAUAAAAUGCUUAUUUGAUUUGGUUUGCGCAACCGUGUCACCCUCAAAAUGAUUUUAUAUUGAUUCGGUUGGCUUUAAUUUGAUGCCAUCGUCAUAGCACAUGGAAAUCGAUUUAUUUGUGUUUAGUCAUACAUUUACCAUUCGUGAAGAAUUCAACUUUCUUGGUUGUUUUUUUUAAUUUAAAGCCAAAUUAAUCUUGAGAUUGUUUCUGACGUCUGGAUUAAUUAGGCGCACACAAAUACAAUUUAUUGCGUUUGUUUGUUUCAAGAGUGAUAAAAUAGGUUUAUAUGCACCAAAAAUCAAAAUGUUUUUUUUAUAUACUCAACUUUUAUUCCUAAAGUAAAUAAUUGGUAAACAUGAUUCAAACUUUGAAAAACUGACUUAAUUCAUUAAAUUUAAAAUCGAACCUAAUUUAAUUUGAUUAAAAAAAUCAUCGACAUAAAUCUAUUUAACUCAAUUUUAAAAUAACUCUCAAGUUUAAAUUCAAAGUAACUUAAAAUUGAGAUGAUUUAAACUUAAAAAUAAAUCAAAAUGAUUUAUUUCAAACUCGCUUAAUUACCAUACCUCUUUAGGAUCUUUUGAACUUUGUGACUUCAAACUUGGGGGUUGUUAAUUCUUCAAGUUAAGGAAAAAGAAACAGAUUAAUGUGUUAGUCCUCCACAAUCAUUUGUAGUUUGAAGUUGCUUCCAAUUGUUCAAAGCAGUGCUAGAUAGAAUACGUGUAAGAGGUUUGUUGUAUGCGGAUAACAAUGAAGAAGUCAAUAGCGUGUAAGGAAGUUGGAUCAAAUGGUGAUACCUUAUACUUUUCUUUUCUUUUUUGGCUUUUUUCAUGGAUAGAUCUUAGUUGGGAAGCUGGCAGAUCAAAACAUCGAUCCCUAUAUAAACUCACUAAAUGAUAAUGCAGUCGUUACUAAAGAUAUGGAAAUGCAAUAUUUUUCCCUGCAGCUAUGUUUACUUUCAUCAAUAUUUUUCCUUCUUGGCUGCUGCAGCCUGUUUGCAAACACUACUGAUAUUGUUAGAUUUGAUGAAAACUAUGAAAUUACAUGGGGAAGUGAUCAUGUUUUGUCUUUAAAUCAAGGAAGUGAAAUUCAGCUCUCAAUGGAUAUCUCUUCCGGUUAUCUUCUUUCUCUCCUAACACUCACUUAAUAGCUAUAAAUACAAUAUAAUUUAUGGUACAGAACAUUAUGCAUGCUUUUUUUUUUUUUUACUUUUUAUUUUUUUUAAAGAAAAAAAGACAUAUUUUUCAUUUGACUUAGUUGAAAAUUAUGUCACAUGGUUUAUACCAUCUUAGAGAAUCUUUUCUUUUUCUUAAAAAAUCUUAAAUAUCAAUAUUUAUAUGAUACGUUUAUAGAGUACUAAAUUAUUAAUUUCAAUAAUCAAAAUUUAAUUUUUAAUAACUUUAAAUUAAUAUAUUAAAAAUAUUUAAACCCUAAUCAUUAAUAAGAAUCUAACACUAUAUGAAUAGAUACUAUCAUUGUUAUCACUUAUAGAGGAUUGAUUUAAUCCACUGUUCUAUCUUGAAGUGCGGAAUAUUGAGGUGUUUUAAAAUGUGGUGGAAUUAUUAAAAAAAAAAAACCAAUUACCAAAUAAAUCUUUGUGAUAUUCCCACUAUAUUUAACUUCUUCAUUUUUUUUUGUCACUAUUGUUUAUUGAAGAAAUUAAAAAUGAUCAAUUACAGGAGCUGGGUUUGGGUCGAAGCUGAGUUAUGUUAGUGGGUUUUUUCAUUUGAGGAUAAAGCUACCCAAUAAGGAUUCUGCUGGAGUUGUUACUGCUUUUUACGUAAAAUAUCUUUCAUUUCUGUUUAAUUUCCUCUUGAAUUUACCAAUAUUCUUAUUGAUUAUUUGUAAUGACAAUUAACAGCUGACAUCAAAAGGCAAGAGGCAUGACGAGCUGGAUUUUGAGUUCUUAGGUAAUAGAGAAGGCAAGCCGAUUAGCUUGCAAACCAAUGUGUUCGCAGAUGGUGUUGGGAAUAGAGAGCAAAGGUUUCUUCUCUGGUUUGAUCCUACUGCAGAUUUCCACGAUUACCAAAUUCUUUGGAACCAACACCAAAUUGUGUACGAAUAAUCUCCCCUUCUCCUUUUUCUGCAUUGCAUGCCUUAAUUAAUAUGAUUAUUUUCGCAUCAAUAAUUUUGUGAAAAUAUAUUUUUUUGAAUUUAAAAUUUAAUUAAAUUAAUUUAUGUACUCAUUUUUAAACCAUGAAAUCCAAUGAAUUUAAUAAUUAAAUAAAAACAUCUAUAAUUUUUUAUUUAUCAUCAAAUUACGCUUACGACUGAUUAUACCAUUAUAUUUGAAAUAUAUAUGGUUUUAAUUAAAUGUGAUGAGAACCUUUUCUCACUGCACUGAAUUGCCUAUCAAAAUGGACACUAUAUAUAUAUAACUAUAUGUAUAGGUAUAUUUAUGCAUAUGGAUGCCUGUGUUUACAGAUUCUACGUGGACGACAUCCCCAUCAGGGUGUUCAAGAACAACGACGAUAUUGGAGUUGGGUACCCAUCACAGCCGAUGAAAAUAGAAGUAAGUUUGUGGGAUGGAGAUAGCUGGGCAACCGAUGGAGGCCGAACAAAGACUAAUUGGAGCAUGGCACCUUUCAAAGCCCAUUUCCAAGGAUUUGAUAUAAGUGGUUGCCCAAUAAUUCAGAACUCGAGCAAUAUUCAACAAUGUUAUUCUCCCAAUUAUUGGUGGAAUUCAGAGAAAUAUUGGAAGUUAGACUCCAAGCAACAAGGAGAACUGCAAAAUGUAAGAAAGGAAUACAUGAACUAUGACUAUUGUUCGGAUAGGCCUAGAUACCCUGUUCCUCCUCCGGAGUGCCUUCAUCAAUAGCAGGCUAGAGUUCGUGGGGAUGGGUUAAUUUAAGUUGCUAUAUUAUUAAAUAACAAUGCAGCUGAUGUAAUAAAAGAAAAUGUUAAAUUGUUCGACUUUAUAAAAUUAUUAUAGUUAUUUUUUAAUACUUUUUAAUAAUACAUAUUUACCCAUUAUUAUUGUUACAUAUUCUACCAUGAAUUAGGAUCUAUUAUAGUUAGUAACAGCACAAGGUGACCAUUUCUCUCAUGGAAAACUCAUGCUUGAACCGAUCAAGUUACAAUAAAUUAACACAAAAAUACUUGAUUUUGGUUUUGAUUUGAUUGCUUCUUCUCUUUUACUAUAUUUUUCCCAUAAAACGAAAUUAAACAUAUCGAUGAAGAGAAAUGAUAAAAAGUUUAUUACAAUUAUCAAACAGUAAUAAAAAUUAAGGCAAUAUAAUAAAAUAAUAAAUUUUUAAAUUUUUAAUUUUUAAAUCGAUUAAUUCAUAUAAUUAUAUAAUAUUUUUUAUAUUCAAAUUCUAAGGUUUGUAAUUUCUUCUUAUACUCCUAUGCUAUCAUGUUACAAUCUCUUUAAAAAAUAAAUAAAUAAAUAAAUUUUCACCGGCCAAUUGCCUAAUUUAUAGAGUUGUCACAUGCUGAUUUGUUUUUAUUAUUCUAUAAUCGAACGGGCUUAUAAAGCCCAAUCCACGAUCCAAGAACUCCAUCUGUAAUUGGCCGAAAAAAGAGAAAUUGUAUAAUUAAAAAGAAAAAAGUCUUCACUGAUCAGGUAAUUUUUUUGAAAGCUACGGGGAAUGGGUAUUCCCAUGGCGGAUUUUCUAUAUCCAGUAGCAUAUUUUCAGUUUGCUACCCAGUAAUGGCCCUUCUUCAAAGACCCUUUUUUGUGCUACUUCUUAUACUAACUCAUCAAUUCAUGCAAUGUUGGAUUGCUUUUGGAUCGGUCAAUGAAGAAGGCAAAAAAACAAGAAGAAGAAUUCAAUGAGGAACUACUAUUGAAGCCGUUGCCAGAUCGCAAAGUGUUGGCCCAUUUCCAUUUUCGAAGCUCUGCCUCUCUUUCCACCUCUAAUGGCGGCCACCACCACUUAUUUCCCAAAGCCAUUUCUCAAUUGGUACUUUUUUAUUAUUUUAUUUUAUUUUUUCUUUUGGGUCACCGAGAAAUCUUAGGCUUUUUUUUUUUUUUUUGUAUUUAUGUUCUUUCAUGUUGCUUUUGUUUAAAUGGAGUUAGAGAAAAGUUAGCUUAGCCAAGUCAGGUGGCUUUCUUCAGUUUCUGAAUCUAUUAGUAACUUAGAAAGGUGGUAGGAAAGCCCAAGACUUAAAUCUUUCCUUUGCUCUUCAUACAUUUAUUAGCAAAAUAUUUAAUCAUUGUGUGGUGUAAAGAUGAUUUUGGGUUUACUUGCUUUUGAUCUGCUUUUGUGAAUGUUGAUUUUUUAAGUUUAACCUAAUGUUUGAAUAAAUAGUAAUAAAAUAAUAAAAAAAUAAUAUAUGUAUCAUUAUUUGGAUAAUUAAAAUUAAAAAAAAAAUUUUAUCAAUUAUUAUUUGGAUAAAUAAUAAUAAAAAAAUGAUUCAUUAUAAUAAUUUUUUUAUUUAUAACUUUUUAUUAUUUGUAAUUUUAAAAUAUUUUUGGAUUAUGAUACGUUUGUUAUCUUAUUUAACCUCAAAAUUACUGUUAUAUCAAUGAUUUUUAAUCAAGUGAGACAUAAAAUUAUUUUACAAAUAUGCAUUAAUGAAUUUUUUGAUCAUUGUCAAAAUUUCAACCACAAACAACAUUUCACAUAUUUUCCCUUUGAAAAUUUCGUGACCCAAACAUACCAGUAGGCAACGAUAAUUAGCAGACAGAUAAUAUAUGUGCCUCUAAAUGAUGAAAAUUAAAAGCAUAAUAAUAUUAUAACGUAACGUUUGAAUAAAUAUUAAUAAAAUAAUAAAAAAUAAUAUACAUAAUUAUUUGAAUAAUUAAAAUUAAUAAAAAAAUUCUAUUGAUUAUUAUUUGGAUAAAUAAUACAGAAGAAAAAAAAUGAUUCAUUAUAAUAAUUUUUUUAUUUAUUACUUUUUAUUAUUUGUAAUUUUAGAAUAUUUUUGGAUUAUGAUAUGUUUGUUAUUAUUCAGUCUCAAAAUUACUGUUAUAUCAAUAAUUUUUAAUCAAGUGAAACAUAAAGUUAUUUUAUAAACAUGCAUUAAUGAAUUUUUUAAUCAUUGUCAAAAUUUUAGCACAUUAUCACUUUGACGAUGUAUACAUAUAAAGCUAUUAAAUAUAAAAAAUACAAUCAUAUGAAAACAUUACAUACUAAUGAAUUAUAUGUCUUUUUUGCACCAAACAAAAAGUAAUAAUAUAUUACCAUAUAAUUAUCGAAUAUAAAUUUAUUUUACCAAAAAGAGAUAAUUUUAAAAAAAUUAUAAGAAAAUUGUGAUGUAGUUUUGUUUUUUUACUAAUUUUCUAGUAUUAAUAAAACAAUUAAAUAUAAUAAUCUUUUAAUAAAAAUAAAAUUUUUUCAAUUUUCAUUUUUUUAGCUUUUUUUUUUUUUAAAUUGGAGUAUUAAAAAAAUGAAGAUUACAAGAAAAAACAAAAGUUAUUGAGUUUUCACAUAUAUAUUUUUUAAAAUUAAAAAUUUAUCCAAACAAAAAUUUUUUUUCUGUUUUCAUCAUUAUUUUUUAUUUCUCUUUCUUUUUCUUUUCCUCUCCUUAAUCCAAUCAUACAGUAAGGAUCAGGUUAAGUAGGGAGUAAGGACUAUGGACUGGAGUUGUCAACUCAGGCUGAGUCAAUUUAAGUAGUUAGUGGACUGCAUCAAGUUACCAAAUAAUCGGGAUUUAAAAUUUUGAUUUAUUAGCUUUUGUUUCAUGAUGAAAAAUCGAUGCAUUAUAAGGUUAAAUCUUAUCAUUAUUGUCUUUGGAGCACUCAGUUUGGCCUGAGUCAAUUAAGGUAGGUCAUACAGGCUCUUUUUUUUCUUUAAAGCCUUCUAUUAGCUUAUUUACAUAAAAAAAUAUCAUUCAACCUAUCUCUGCAUUUUCCUAAUCAAGUUAUGAUUAGUUCAUUAUUUUCCGCAUUCAUAAAUAUACAUGAGAAUGAAAUGUUCUUAUGAACUCAUCCAACCCUUUCAGCAAUGUUAUGUCUGACAUGAAGUACAAAAUUGGCUACAAGUUUACCUGAAAAAUAUUAUGCACGAAUUGUGUAUGUCUUGCAUUAAUUUGUCUAUCUCUCUUUGUGUAAGGUAAAGAUAAGAGUCUUGAUAAACUUCCCAUUGUAGAUUUUACAAAGCGAGGAUCAGUACCCUUCUUAGGAGAAGAUGAAUAAACAUUCCUGCUCAUAUUUGGAAGAGGAACCUCCCACCGGCAUUGCAUUGGUGUAAUCAGGACAUAGAAUCAACGAACAGUCAAUGAUAAACCAUAAUGAAACAUAUAACCAACGAAUUGCUAUAACCUAAUGGAAAAGUGGAUGAUAUGGAACUGACUUAAAAAUGAGAAACGGGGUAGCCGUCAUGGAAAGCUAAGAUUCAUAAUAGGUUAGGGAAAAAGGAUGCCUUUUAAAUGAUACAGCUGUCUAAUCUUUUAAUGUUUACUGCAGUAUUUUUUAUUUCUACAUUUCGAGUAUUUGACAAACACCUUCUACCCCUCUCUCAUGUACAUACAUCUUAUUCAUCCAAAUCUAUUUGCCAUAUUGCAGAACCGAAUUCUAAUCUUUCCAUAACAUUCUACUUAACUUCCAUCAUUUACUUCAGCGUUUUACAUUACAUGACUGUUAAUAUUAGAAAUAUUCCAAAUAUUUCCUGAUUGUUGAAACCUCAAAAUGACAUCCAAUAUCAACAUAAUUGUUCUUUGGAUUAUUAUCCAAUCCGCUGCUAGUGCAGUGCAAACGCUCCACAAGCAGGAUUGUUUGAUGCAAUGCUUCCGUUUAACAAAAUGGACAUAGAAUUAGGAAGUUAACCUAACCGCUAAGUAAGGCAUGAAAAUUGAACAACCCCUUGAAGAGCUUUUGUGUUCUAAUAUUGUUGUAUAAGAUAAUGAUGUAUAUUCUUUUAUGACUAAGUCCUAAAGGAUGAUAGGAAAAGAAUAACGAAGAAAAGUUUGAAUACAAAGUCUUGACAACUAAUGCAGAUGUCUUACACUUCCAAAGAUCCAUUUCCCAGUAAGACAGCCAGAUAGCCCAUCCGUUGGUUGCAUUUAGAAUCAUUUAUAUCAUAAGGCUUCCAUUUUACAUCCCAAGCAACUUUUCCAUUGUGAGCUAGAAAGAGGACAGCUCUUGGCAGUGCAAUGUCACCUGGAAUAGAAGAACCGGGGCUGAACUCGAACGAAUUACUAUCUAAAAGAUUAUUCGGCACAGUAGCAUCCUGCCCAGAGUUGUAACAAAUUUGUUGGUUUAUUGUCAAUGAAGAUUCUGUUUCUUCAUUUUGAGUCAAUAAUGGGAGGCAUUUACCAUCACUAAUAGUUUUUGCUCGUGCCUUACUUUUCAAUUUUCUACUUUCCACAGAUGUAUUAGGGGCUGCAUCAGAUGAAAAUGCUGCCUCUUUGUCACCUUUUUGUUUUUUAUGAUGAUUCUUAUCUGAAACAUUUUCUUGCGUAUUUCCAGGAGCGUUGUCUAUUGCAACUGGCUCAAACGAACCUUCUGGGUACUGAACAGGAAGAGGUUGGAAAGGCUCGUCAUUCUAAUUGCUGUUAGGAGAUUCACCAAUUGAUUUGUUUGUAGGUCUAGCUGUUGGCCUCUUAACCUGAUCUAGUUGAGAUUCAACUAUUGGUUUCUUUCCAGGUCUUCCUCUAGGCCUCUUUGACGAGCUCUCCCCCAUGGCCUUUGUAUUUUGAGAUCUCCGUUUUGGCUUUUUCUUUAACAGAGGAGCUUCUUCCUCAUUCACCCCAACAUUUAGCAUACACCAUAUUUGAAUGAUGCCUCUACCAGUAAGUGGGGUGCCCAUCUUGUGAUAAUAAGAUUCAGGAGGAUGAGCAGCGACAGCAAUGAACUGGGAAAAAGAAGGCAAAAAAAGAAAAAGACAAAACAAGGACAGCCUCGCAAGAUUGCAGCAUUAAGAUGGUGAUAAUUAUUAUUAAAAAUCCUACUUAUUAAGCAUGCAGGCAAUAUUUUAAACCACUGUUUCAGAACAAAUCUAGGCUUUUGUCUCUUUCAUUUGAAAUAACCAAGUAGAUAGAGGUUUGGGCUAUAAUGAUAAAUUGAAGGUGGAAUACACGAAAAAAAAAAAAAAGAAUAAAAGGUUCCCAGAAGUGGGUUAGGGAUUUGGGAGGGGAGAAGUGGGGAAGUACCUCACAUUUGACAGGACUGUUAGGAUUCUCAUGAACUCUAGGACACCAUUAAUCUAAUGCCCAAACAGACCCUCCAACAUACAUCACGAAGUCCUUGCUGCAAGAUGAUUGUACUUUAAUCAUGUCAUUCAAUAAAUGUAUAAAACAUACCAUUUUGCAGCGGUGUUGGCUUCACAAAUAAAAAUAUUUGGGUGCCCAUACACAGAUCUUAAAUAAGAGGAGCAAUAAUAACACCAAGUUCUUAUCUUAUAACAUGUAUAUGCAUCACAGAUCAACAAGAGCAAACACCAUCCAUAACAUGUUGUUCAUAAGAGUUAAAAUUUUUUAAACAAAGGAGGAAUCCUGUAGGAUAGCAGAACUUUUAUGGUCAAGAAUAAAACUAAGACCUUUUCCAAACCCACAGUACACCAUCCUUUUACCACCUAAACCCAAUAACAUUGGAAACUGAAAUUGCUCAAACCAAAAUCCAAUCUAACAUGGAUUCUGGAGAUGCAUUACUUACUCGUAGUCCUUCCUGCUGCUUCCAUAAGAAAAAAAGAAAGAAAAAAAAGAAAAAAAAAACAACAAUGAGUAUUAACAGAAUAUUAUGCUAUAACAAGUAAAAACUAUUCCAGAAGAUUUAUGCAGUCAUUGAACAUUCCUCCAUGUGAGGGACCCAAAAUAAAAAGAUUUUCUUUCACCUUGGGAACAGUUGCUGAUGAAAACUGAGGCAAGUUUAUGCCACCAGAAACAUCUUUACCCGGUGAGUCUCCUAGUUCGCUAGCAAACCCAAUGAUCCUCGGUUCAUAAUUAAAAUGCCUCCAUUCCCUAAAAGCAUGUUUAAUAGUAAAUUAAGAACUUGUACAUAUCUAUAUUGGACAGAUAAAACUAACAUAAAAAAAAAAAAAAUACCCGACGUACAUCAGCAAAGUCAAUUCAAUCGCAUUUGGAAGUUCUAAAUGCACAAAGAUGAGCAUAAAGUUACCUUAAGAAAGUGAUUGAAGAAGAGAAUCUCCGGAUAUCAGUUUCAUCGAGACCAUCAAUCUUGGGUUCUUCACAAAUCUAGAGAUUGUAUCCAUUACCCUAAAAUGUUUCUCGAUUGAAUAACCAAAUAUAGAGAACCUAACUCCAGAAUCACCAUUAAAUGGUGGUUCUUCCAUUUUUCUGUUUCUUUUUUCCUACAUGUAACACAUCUGUUCGUCAAUCACUCAAAUAUGAGACAUAUAAUGCUAGAGAAGUUUUUUUUUUUUCUGUUAGUAGGAGAACAAACGUCCGUAUAAAGGAAAGAAAGACAGCGGAAUUAGAACCUACGUCCAUAAGUCUUUUUUAAAAUCUCUUAAUCAUUACAUCAAAAGAAAAGACAUAUAAUGUUAGAGAGUUGAUUAUAAGAAAUAAAACGUAAACUAUAACUGAAUGCUAAAUUUGAUACUUUAACUUAAAAAAAAAUUCAAUUCAAAAAAUUGUUGGAGCCUAACUCUGAGUUGCAAUCAACAAUAUAACUUAAUUUAAACAAAAUAAAUGUAAUAUGGAACAUCACAUUUAAUAAUAAUUACGACGCAUUAACUUGAAAUUCUUUCUAAACCUUUUUCAUCAGUAAACUUAAGUUUUUCCCUCUUAACCAAAAACAACAAAAAAUAAAAUAAAAUAAAAUCCAUGAAUUUCACAUAUUUUUCCUCUCAAAAUUUCGUGACCCAAACAUACCAGUAGGCAACGAUAAUUAGCUCAGAUGACCUGAUUUUAUUUCAAAGCAGACAGAUAAUAUAUGUGCCUCUAAAUGAUGAAAAUUAAAGGCAUAAUAAUAUUAUAUUUAAAGACAAAUAUGAUUUAUGCCUUAAAUCCAUUAUUUUAAAAAUUAAUAUUUAUGUGUAGCUUAUUCUUUGCCUUUAAUUAUUGGUUUUGUUGUAGUGUAUAAAAAAUAAUGUAUAUUAUAAUUUGAGUUAUAAUCGACUAAGUUUGGGCUUUGAAUGCUAGUCUCAAGUUUCAAUUUACAUUUUAAAAGAACUCGAAGACGUCAAAGGAUAGAGUAUGGGGCAGGUAGAAUAUUUUUCUUUUUUAUUCUCAAAUUUUUAUAUUAUAUUAAUUCUUAUAUCUAUAUUCAAUGAGAAUUUUAAAUUUAUUCACAUUUUUACCUACGAAAAUAUUUAAUUGAUGCAAAUAAUUCUUAUACUCUUAGCUUUUUUAAAAAAUAAAUUUUACCUUUUAAUUUAUUUUAAUUUUUAUCUUACAUAUUCAUAUAAUUUUUUUAUAAAUAUAUUAAUAUAUAUUUAAAAUAAAAUAUAUGUUAAUUUUAAUUAAUCUAAAAUAAAAUUUUAUAUUAUUUAAUAAUAAAUUUAUUUACUAAAUAUAUAGGCAACGGGUACAAAAUAUGUGCUAUAUUACUUGUCUCUAUCCUUGUAUCAAAUAAAAAAUUUAAAAUCAUAUUUAUCCCAUUCUUAGAAUUUAAUACCCAUUUUAAUCCCAUUGGGUAAAAAGUUGAAUUUUCUAUCUGAUAUGGAUAAAAUUAAUAUCCUUAAAUGAGUUUAAUGUUUUACACAAAUCUAUUUAAUGGGUUUAAUAUUUUUGUUUAAACCUUCAAAAAUAUUGAAUGAGCCCUCAAAACUUGAAUGGAUAACUUGACCAUUGGAUAAAUCUAUCAAAAUAUUUAACAUUUUUAUAAAUGUAAAACAAAACAAAAACAAAAAUAAUCGUAAAUAUAAUUUGAGUUUAAAUUUAUAAAUAAUAUGGAUGGUAGUACUUACAAGAGUAAGGAUACAGUUAUAAUGGUGUAAAUUUUACAUUUUUUUUAUAUCAAAAUUAAAUUUAUGUAUUAAAAUAAUAUUUAAUCUCAACCACUUUGAUCUAAUAAUAAAAAAAAAAAAAUGUAAAACUUAUAUUAACACAAGUGGAUCGCUCAUCUUACCUAUAAUGGUAUACAAUGAAAGACUCUCUCUAAAUUUUUAAUUAUCCACUUGAUAUUUUGCAAAUAAAUUUGUUGAACUUCAAAAUUCCUUCACUGAAUAAGGAAAUAAUCCAAUUGAAUUGCAUUCAAUUUACAUUCAUUGAAUAUGAAUGGUACAACAAAACCAAGUCCUAAUCCCCAUUUCUUAUCGAAUUAACCUAUUUACUUGCCGUCAAAGACUUUUUUUGUAUUAGAAAUUUUCGAAAAGAAGUUGACAAAUUUCACAAGUAAGACAUUAAAAGACAUUAAAUAAAGAUUUAAUUGAAAAAAAUAAAAAUAAAAAAUAGAAAGACAUGAUGAUUUGUUUGGAGUAAGAUGAUGGGUUUAUAGCAUUCAAAAAUUCAGUUUGAUAAUUACUCAUGAUGACGAGUAAAAAAAAUGUUUGGUAGGUUUCUCCUUUAUAUAGUUAUCUUAUAGAAAUGUCAAGUAAUCUGUAAGCUUCCAUAUAAAGUAGGCAGGUUUCUCUUUUAUCUAGUUAUCUUAUAGAAAUGUCAAGUAAUCUGUAACCUUCCAUAUAAAGUAGGUAGGUCUCCCUUUUAUCUAGUUAUCUUAUAGAAAUGUCAAGUAAUCUAUAAACUUGCAUAUAAGGUUUUGAUUGUGAGAUUGAUAUAAUAAAUUCAAAUAAAUAAUAUAAUCAAAAUAUUCUAUUUCUAAAAUGAACCUGCCCUGUUUUAAGAGAAAUGGCCAAUUAAUUGAACUAUAGAAGGCAACCAAAUCGACUUACUCUUUUCCUUUCAUGCAUGAAUCUAAGACUAUUGCUAUCUAUAUAAGAGACUUGUGAUCAGAUCACUAACAUGCAAGUAAAUUAUAACAAUCGCUUUUAUUAUUUUUUUUAGUGAAUAUAUGAUAAGAAGUUCAUUAAAACUUCCAAUUAUUUACAAGAAGAAAUACAAAGAUAUGGCUAUGGAAAAGAGGUUUUCUCCUUUUGCAAUUUCUUAUUCAUAUUAUUGUUUCAGACAUAUAUAUAUUUCAUGAUGAUUUUACUGUUGGAUUUUCUUUUUUAGUAGUCAUCAACCUAAUUAAUAAAUAAAUAUGGAAUUGGACAGGUUCUUCUUCGGUCUUCUCAUUGCAGCUAUAGUAAGUGCAAUCAGAGCAGGUGAUGUUAGUUUUGAUAAGAAUUAUCACGUCACAUGGGGAAACUCUCAUGUGACUUCUCUAAACCAAGGAAGAGAAAUUCAUCUUUUAAUGGAUAAUACUUCAGGUUCGAUACAUGAAAACAACUAACUUAUACAUUUGCAUGCAUGUAUAAACGUAUUUAAAAAAGACACGUGCAUAUAUAUAAUCACUCGUAGCUAAACUUUUAAUAUAUGAAAAUGUAAAUUAAAAAACAAAGAAUCACUAAUGGUGGUUAUAUGAAUGCAGGGGCUGGGUUCCAGUCCAAUGUCGGGUAUGCUUCAGGGUUUUUCCAAAUGAAAAUAAAGACACCCAACAAGGAUUCUACUGGAGCUGUUACAACUUUUUAUGUACAUAUAUCUUUUUCUGUACUUUAAAAAAAAAUUCCUGUCUUCUCUAACAUGUAUUAGUUAAAGUAUAAUUUAAUGAACAUUUUGGUGGGUUGAUGGCAUGUAUGCAGUUGACCUCAAAUCCACAAAACACAGGAAACCAUGACGAGCUAGAUUUUGAGUUUUUGGGUAGCAAGGGUCCUCCUUUUACAUUGCAAACAAAUGUUUUCGCUAAUGAUAGAGGAGGCCGAGAGCAAAGGAUUCAUCUUUGGUUUGAUCCCACUGCUGAUUUUCAUACUUACGGAAUUCUUUGGAAUCAGCAUCAAAUAGUGUAAGCAAAAACUAUUCUCUUUAAACUAAUUUGAUUCUAAUUUAACUAGUUACAACAUUGCUUUGAAGUCCUUGGUUUUAUGUUUUGUGCAGGGUUCAUGCAUGGAAAUUAACAUUUCUAAUUUAAGUCUCUUAAAAAUAAUUUGAUUCUUUAACCCUAGUUUUCUUGCCUUUUCAGGUUUUAUGUGGAUAAUACACCCAUAAGAGUUUUCAAGAACAAUACAAAUAUCGGAGUAAAUUAUCCUUCACAACAAUUAGUGAUUCAAGGAAGCCUAUGGAAUGGAGAAGGUUGGGCAUCGGGUGGAAGAAAAAUUGAUUGGAGUCAAGCUCCAUUUAUAGCCAGUUUUCAAGGGUUCAACGUGGAUGGUUGUCAAUUCCACGACACUGCGACCAAAGCGCAAUGCUAUAAUUCUAACUUGUGGUGGAAUGGAAACAAAUAUUUGGAACUAGACCCUGCUCAGCACAAAGCAUUACAGUAUGCAAGAACCAAGUACAUGUUUCAAGACUACUGCACUUCUCCAAGUGGGAGGUACCAUAAAGAAUGCGGAAGUAAUAAAUAAAUGAAGAGAUAAAUAUGUAAAAAUUUCUGCUUAGUUGGAUUGUUUUAUAUGCAAUAUAUAGAUAGCAAAUAAAUUAGAAUAUUUUAAUUAAAAAAUUAUAAACAUUGGUAUUCUUAUCCUUGUACAAAAAUGGAAAUUAUCAUGUUUAUGCCCUUUAAAAAAAAAACAAAAUAAUAAAUAAACCAAACAAAUGUCAAAUUUGUUGGGUAUUUCAAUUUCAAAGUCAAUCCCAAAGUUGCUUUUCCAAUCACAAAUGAGAAUGACGUCAAGCCCAUCCUUCUGGGCCCACAAUGCGGUGCUAUAAAGGCACUUUCACGGAGUUGGGUAUCUUCUCCAUGAUGGUUGGAUCCGACAAGCCACAAUUUAUGAACUUUGUUAGAAGGAAAGGGUCGUUCAAUAAAUUGGUAAAUGAGGUAAACGAUCAAUUCAAAGCCUAUCCAAUAAAAGAUUUUAUAUUUCGUACAAAAAAAUUUAUAAAAAUACUUAGAGCACCAAAACUAAAAAGCGCACAUGAACAUGUGGAGGUUAGAAAAGUUCUUUCUUGCACUGCUGUGCAACAUGUUUGUCUUUGUUUUCCCACGCUUCCAACUUUCUCUUCUGAAGCCCAACCCGUGUUUGUUAUUUUCCAAAGAUGAACCUUUAGGUACUCUCUCUCAGCCUUGCUGUUCCAAUGUAAAAGGAGUCUCCUCCUAUAUGUAAAACGCUUAUUUGAUUUGGUUUGCCCAACCGUGUCACCCUCAAAUGAUUUUAUAUUGGUUCGGUUGGCUUUAAUUUGAUGCCUUCGGCAUAGCACAUGGAAAUCGAUUUAUUUGUGUUUAGUCAUACAUUUACCAUUCGUGAAGAAUUCAACUUUCUUGGUUGUUAUUUUAAUUUAAAGCCAAAUUAAUCUUGAGAUUGUUUCUGACGUCUGGAUUAAUUAGACUCAUACAAAUACAAUUUAUUGCGUUUGUUUGUUUCAAGAGUGAUAAAAUAGGUUUAUAUGCACCAAAAAUCAAAAUGUUUUUUUUAUAUACUCAACUUUUAUUCCUAAAGUAAAUAAUCGGUAAACUUGAUUCAAACUUUGAAAAACUGAUUUAAUUCAUUAAAUUUAAAAUCCAACCUAAUUUAAUUUGAUUAAAAAAAUCAUCGAUAUAAAUCUAUUUAACUCAAUUUUAAAAUAACUCUCAAGUUUAAAUUCAAAGUAACUUAAAAUUGAGAUGAUUUAAACUUAAAAACAAAUCAAAAUGAUUCAAUCCAAACUCACUUAAUUACCAUACCUCUUUAGGAUCUUUUGAACUUUGUGACUUCAAACUUGGGGGUUGUUAAUUCUUCAAGUUAAGGAAAAAGAAACAGAUUAAUGUGUUAGUCCUCCACAAUCAUUUGUAGUUUGAAGUUGCUUCCAAUUGUUCAAAGCAGUGCUAGAUAGAAUACGUGUAAGAGGUUUGUUGUAUGCGGAUAACAAUGAAGAAGUCAAUAGCGUGUAAGGAAGUUGGAUCAAAUGGUGAUACCUUAUACUUUUCUUUUCUUUUUUGGCUUUUUUCAUGGAUAGAUCUUAGUUGGGAAGCUGGCAGAUCAAAACAUCGAUCCCUAUAUAAACUCACUAAAUGAUAAUGCAGUCGUUACUAAAGAUAUGGAAAUGCAAUAUUUUUCCCUUGCAGCUAUGUUUACUUUCAUCAAUAUUUUUCCUUCUUGGCUGCUGCAGCCUGUUUGCAAACACUACUGAUAUUGUUAGAUUUGAUGAAAACUAUGAAAUUACAUGGGGAAGUGAUCAUGUUUUGUCUUUAAAUCAAGGAAGUGAAAUUCAGCUCUCAAUGGAUAUCUCUUCCGGUUAUCUUCUUUCUCUUCUAACACUCGCUUUAAUAGCUAUAAAUAUACAUAACAUUAUGCAUGCCUUUUUUUUUUAAAAAAGAAAAAGAAAAACAGGCAUUUAUGUUUUAUUUUGACUUAGUUGAAAAUUUUGUUACAUGGUUUAUACCAUCUUAGAGAAUCUUUUAUUUUUCUUAGAAAUCUUAAACGUCAAUAUAAUAUUUAUAUGAUACGUUUGUAGAAUAUUGAAUUUUUAAUUUUAAUAAUCAAAAUUCAAUCUUUAAUAACUUUAAAUUAAUAUAUAAAUAAAUUUAAACCCUAAUCAUUAAAAAUAAGAAUAUAAUACUAUAUUAAUAGAUAAUAUCGUUGGUAUCACUUAUAAAGGAUUGAUUUAAUCCACCGUUCUAUCUUGACGUGUGGAAUAUUGAGGUGUUUUAAAAUGUGGUGGAAUUAUAAAAAAAAAAAACCAAUUACCAAAUAAAACUUUGUGAUAUUCUUACUAUAUUUAACUUCUUCAUUUUUUUUUAUCACUAUCGUUUAUUGAAGAAAUUAUAAACAAUCAAUUACAGGAGCUGGGUUUGAGUCGAAGCUGAGUUAUGGUAGUGGAUUUUUUCAUUUGAGGAUAAAGCUACCCAAUAAGGAUUCUGCUGGAGUUGUUACUGCUUUUUACGUAAAAUAUCUUUCAUUUCUGUUUAAUUUCCUCUUGAAUUUACCAAUAUUCUUAUUGAUUAUUUGUAAUGACAAUUAACAGCUGACAUCAAAAGGCAAGAGGCAUGACGAGCUGGAUUUUGAGUUCUUGGGUAAUAGAGAAGGCAAGCCGAUUAGCUUGCAAACCAAUGUGUUCGCAGAUGGUGUUGGGAAUAGAGAGCAAAGGUUUCUUCUCUGGUUUGAUCCUACUGCAGAUUUCCACAAUUACCAAAUUCUUUGGAACCAACACCAAAUUAUGUACGAAUAAUCUCCCCUUCCCCUUUUUCUGCAUUGCAUGCCUUAAUUACUAUGAUUAUUUUCGCACCAAUAAUUCUGCAAAAAUAUAUCUUUUUGAAUUCAAAAUUUAACUCAAUUAAUUCAUGUACUUAUUUUAAAAAAUAAAAUCUAAUAAAUUUAAUAUUCAACUUUGAACAUCUAUAAAUUUUAUUUAUCGUCAAAUUAUGCUUAUCACUUACUGUAUGAUCAUAUUUAAAGCAUAUGUAUCUUUUAGUUAAAUAUGACGAGAAUCUCUUCUCAUUGCACUGAAUUGCAGACACUAUAUAUAUAACUAUAUGUAUAGGUAUAUUUAUGCAUAUGGAUUCCUGUGUUUACAGAUUCUACGUGGACGACAUCCCGAUCAGGGUGUUCAAGAACAAUGAAGAUAUUGGAGUUGUGUACCCGUCAAAGCCGAUGAAAAUAGAAGCAAGCUUGUGGGAUGGAGAUAGCUGGGCAACCGAUGGAGGCCGAACAAAGACUAAUUGGAGCAUGGCACCCUUCAAAGCCCAUUUCCAAGGAUUUGAUAUAAGUGGUUGCUCAAUAAUUCAGAACUCAAGCAAUAUUCAACAGUGUUUUUCUCCCAAUUAUUGGUGGAAUUCAGAGAAAUAUAGGAAGUUAGAUUCCAAGCAACAAGGAGAACUGCAAAAUGUAAGAAAGGAAUACAUGAACUAUGACUAUUGUUCGGAUAGGCCUAGAUACCCUGUUCCUCCUCCGGAGUGCCUUCAUCAAUAGAGUUCAUGAUCAUGGGUUAAUUUAAGUUGCUAUAUUAAAUAAUAAUGCAGCUGAUGUAAUAAAAGAAAAUGUUAAAUUGUUCCACUUUAUAAAAUUAUUAUAGUUACUUUUUAAUACUUUUUGAGUGAUGAGUUAUUUAAAAAUCAAGUAAUAUAAAAUCUAAGGUGUAAUUUAGUUGAUUUGAAAUAACAUUCAAAUUAUAAUAUUUAUAAUUUUUUAAUAAUGUAUUUACCUCUUUUGAUUUAUAUAUGUAUUUAAUAAUGCAUAUUUACCCAUGAGUUAGGAAGUAGAUUUUUAUUACAUUAUCUUCCAUGAAUUAGGAACUAGAAUAGUUAGUAACAGCAUAAGGUGACCAUUUCUCUCUUCUAACACUCACGCUUGAAAUGAUCAAGUUCCAAUAAAUUAACACAAAAUACUUAAUUUUGGUUUUGAUUUGAUUGCUUAUUCUCUUUUAUUAUAUUUUUUCCAUAAAAUAAAAUUAGACAUAUUGAUGAAGAGAAAUGAUAAGAAAUUCAUUGCAAUUAUCAAGCAAUAAUAAAAAUUAAGGCAAUAUAAUAAAAUGAUAAAAUUUAAAAUUUCAGGCAUAUAAAUUUAAUUACAUUAAUUCAUAUAAUUAUAUAAUAUAUUUGAGAUUUAAAUUUUUAUAUUUAUAAAUUUUUAUUGUCGUUUAUAAAAAGAAAAAUAAAAUUUCACCGGCCAAUAUGUUUUUAUUAUCCUAAAAUCGAAUGGGCUUACAAAGCCCAAUCCACAAUCCAAGAUCUGCAUCUGUGAUUGGCCGAAGAAAAGAGAAUAAUUAAAAUGAAAAAAGUCUUCACUGAUCAGGUAUUUUAUUGAAAGUUCUGGGGACCGGUAGCUCACAUGGCGGAUUUCGUAUAUAAAGCAGCAUAGUUUCAGUUUGCUAAGAAAACCCAGUAAUGGCCCUUCUUCAAAGACCAUUUUUUGUGCUACUUCUUGUACUAACUCAUCAAUUCAUGCAAUAUUGGAUUGCUUUUGGAUCGGUCAAUGAGGAAGGCCAGAAACAAGAAGAAGAAUUCAAUGAGGAACUACUAUUGAAGCCGUUGCCAGAUCGCAAAGUAUUGGCCCAUUUCCAUUUUCAAAGCUCUGCCCCUCCUUCCACAUCUAAUGGCCGUCACCACCACAUAUUUCCUAAAGCCAUUUCUCAAUUGGUACUUUUUUAUUAUUUUAUUUUAUUUUUUCUUUUGGGUCACCGAGUUAUCUUGGGUUUUUUUUUUUUGGGUAUUUAUGUUCUUUCAUGUUGGUUUUGUUUAAAUGGAGUUAGAGAAAAGUUAGCUUAGCCAAGUCCAAGUGGCUUUCUUCAGUUUCUGAAUCUAUUGGUAACUUAGAAAGGUGGUAGAAAAACCCAAGACUUGAAAUCUUUCCUUUACUCUUCAUACAUUUAUAAGCAAAAUAUUUAAUCAUUGCGUGGUGUAAAGAGGAUUUUGGGUUUACUUGCUUUUGGUCUGCUUUUGUCUGUAUGUUGAUUUUUUAGGCUUAAGGAUCAGGUUAAGUAAGGAGUAAGGGCUAUGGACUGGAGUUGUCAACUCAGGUUGAGUCAAUUUAAGUAGUUAGUAGACUGCAUCAAGUUACCAAAUAAUCGGGAUUUAAAAUUUCGAUUUAUUAGCUUUUGUUUCAUGAUGAAAGAUCGAUGCAUUAUAUUUGAGGUUAAAUCUUAUCAUUAUUAUCUUUGGAGCACUCAGUUUGGCCUGAGUCAAUUAAGGUAGGUCAUACUGGUUCUCUCCUUUUUUUAAAGCCUUCUAUUAGCUUAUAUACUUAAAAAAUAUCAUUCAGCCUAUAUCUGCAUUUUCCUAAUCAAGUUAUGAUUAAUUCAUUAUUUUCUGCAUUCAUAAAUAUACAUGAGAAUGAAAUGUUCUUAUGAACUCAUCCAACCUUUUCAGCAAUGUUAUGGCUGACAUGAAGUACUAAAUUGGCUAGAAGUUUACCUGAAAAAUAUUACGCACGAAUUGUGUAUGUCUUGCAUUAAUUUGUCUAUCUCUCUUUGUGUAAGGUAAAGAUAAGAGUCUUGAUAAACUUCCUUUUGUAGAUUUUAAGAAAUUAACAACAAAGAUAAGUAGCUUUGUUGUAGGUAUUAAAAGAUUAACAAUUACUCUAGUUGUUUUUAUAUAGGGACACUGGCCCUCCCUUGUACCCAAAAAAAAUUAACAAUUAAGGUAAGUCUUUGCAGUAUUUGAAAACAGUGCAUGACGAUGAAUAUAUUUGAACAGGUUCAGAAAUUUCGAGUUAAGGAAAUGGAGCUGUCUUUCACACAAGGUCGCUGGAACUAUGAAAGCUGGGGUGGAUUUGAUCCCAUACCAAGCAGCAAUGCAAAGCCCCCUGGAGUUGAGUUAUGGGCUGUCUUUGAUGUCCCACAACAUCAGAUUGAUGCUUCCUGGCAGAAUUUAACACACACUCUCUCAGGUCUUUUUUGUGCCUCAAUCAACUUCCUAGAGUCUACUACAACUUAUUCUGCCCCAGAAUGGAGUUUUCCACCCGCUUCAGGCAAUCUGAGGUAUGGUACAUUGCCCCGUGAAGCUGUUUGCACAGAGAAUUUAACUCCAUGGCUGAAGUUGCUUCCUUGUCGGGACAAAGCUGGGAUUGCUGUGUUACUGGAUAGGCCAUCAAUUUACCGAGGAUUUUAUCAUUCUCAGCGGUUGCAUUUGACCUCAACUGGAUCUGGUUCAGAGGGGAUGGUUUCGGGCAUCAUAUUAGAACAGACACUUACAGUUGUACUCCAGCCUAAUAGUCAAAGGGCCGGUAUGGCCUAUGCUAGUGAAAGACAUAUUCAACCAAGCUGGUCUCUUACUUCAAUUUUUGGGAAACAAGUUAGUGGAACAUGUGUUCUUGCCAAGUCUAGUAAUGUGUAUCUUCUGCUUGACAGGGGCUUAGUUGCCGAACUAGAGCAUCUACAUAAAGAAAAUGAAAAGUCUGCAGAAAAUGGUUUUACCUCACAGAAUUUUUGGACUAAGCCCAGCUUUGAGUUGUCUGCUGAUCCAGACAGGAUAUUUAUAGAAGAAAACAGUUUGCAUAGCAAGGGCUCAUCUGUUCUGUACAAGUUCCAAGUUGAGAAAUACAGUGAAUCUGAGCCAUUUGAUUUGAGCCUUACUUGGAAGAUUCCUGUAGUUUGGUUGAGUCAACAAGCACCGUUACAUGCUAGUAGGUUUUUGAUGGGAAGUGGGAAUGAGAGGGGUGCCAUUGCCAUUUCCUUAAAAUCUACACAAUUGAGUGAGGGAUUCAUGGGUGCUAAUGCUGAUGAUGAAAGGUGUGACUUGCAAGUCAAUGUUUUUCAAGUUGUGCCUUGGUAUGUCAAGGUCUAUUUCCAUUCUCUGCAAGUGUUUGUUAAUCAACAACCUAAGGCUAUUUCAGAUAUUAUUGAGAAGAUACAUGUUUCACCUUCCAAAGACAAAGUGUCUCCUGGCGUGAUGGAGAUGGUUCUGAAACUUCCUUGCAAAGUGAACUCAGCUGCUUUAACCAUAGAGUUUGAUAAGGUAUGCUUUUCAUUAUGUCUAUUUAGCUAUUAGUUGAUAGUUUUAUAAAUUCUAUUCAAUCAACACAAGUUAUUUGUUUUACAUGAGAAGUGAAUUUGUUAUUAAGGAUUUGUUAAAACUUCUACUGUGGUCUGUAAAGGUAAGAUGUUAGGCUAAGUAAUAUCAGCACUAAGUAUUGGUGAGUUCUGCUGCUGCGUUGUAGUCCAAUUUUUUUGCUUAAGACAGAAAAUCUGUUUGUGUAAAAGCUACAUCUGAUAAAGUAGCCAUAUAAGAUAGCAAAUUGAAUACCCUGAGUAUACCUAAUACUGACAGUCAGUGUAUCUGAAUUCAGACUUUGUCCAUAAAUGUUUGGAAGUUUGAACAAAAACCAAUUAACUAAUUCCAUUUGAUACAGGCAAUCCUGAAACUUCUACCUAUCCCAAUCUAUAGAUUCUCAACCCACUGUUUAGUCCUUGAGCUGGAUGCAUAGGAUGAAUCCCACCGAUACCUUCAAAUUAUAUAAUCUUUGCCUAUGAAAAAAAAGGAUAAAUAUUGCAGAAACUGCUGCUUCAUUAUAAAAUGGAAAAGUAGCUGCUAUCCUGAUAUACCACUAUCAAUCUAAGACAUUCUCUGCUUUUGGAUAAUGACUAUCUGUUUUGAUGAAAUUAAUUAUUUUGAACUGAAACAAAAAUAGCAUGCUUCUUGCUUGAUGAAUGAUGACUUUAGUAUGAUUUCUGCUUCUUGGGGUAUUGUUGAUUAGUUGAUCCUCUAUUUUGAUAUGUCUGAAUAGGGUUUUUUACAUAUUGAUGAAUACCCCCCUGAUGCUAAUCAAGGAUUUGACAUACCAUCAGCUAUUAUAAGCUUUCCCAACUUCCAUGCAAGCAUGAUUUUUCUCAAAGAUGACUCUGUGAACAAGUCACCCUUGUUGUCAAAGUUUCAGGUAUUAACCUCUUGAUAUUUCUAGUUCUAAACAUGAUCAAUUUGUAUUCUUCUUCUCAUUUGAUAUUGACUUGAUUUGUCAUGCAGGAAAAGAGUCCUGUAAUGUCUUACACAGAAGCAUUACUGGUACCUUUGACAACUCCUGAUUUUAGCAUGCCUUACAAUGUUAUCACAAUCACGUGUACAGUGUUUGCAUUGUAUUUUGGAUCAUUGCUUAAUGUACUCCGAAGGCGUGUUGCUGAGGAGGAGAGAUUUCUUAAAGAAAAAGGUAAAUUUAUUUCAUGAAAUAGGUCAUUAUCAGUUCUCUUGAGAAUGUGGUUUUUUUAAUUAUGGUUUUAAAUCGUAACAUUAAUCUCUUAUAUUAUCAUGGCAAUAGCCCUUUUUGUGUAGUUAGUCAAUACCACACAAGUCCAAUUUGUCAAGUUCAAUGCAAACUUUGGUAACAUCUAGUAACAGCCAUGUCUAUCAGUAUAUCUAAGUACUUAACCUCAUGGUCAGAUGAGCAGGUUUGGAGGUGAACCUGAAAUGAAAGGUGUUAUACUUCACUUGUAGCUAAUCGAUCUUGAAUAUUUGGUCCUUUUAAUAGUACUAGCUUCUAGUUUCUUGUUCUGAUCUGGGAUCUCUCUCUAUCUUUCUGGUUGGCAAUAGGGAUAUUCUCUCUCUCUCUCUCUCUCUCUCUCUCUCUCUCUCUCUUCUUUGUUUUGAUUUUUCUUUAACAGGCUUUCAUAUUUGUUGGGAGAAUGCAGGUUUAUUACAUAAUUUGUAGUUCCUCAGAACAUCAAUAAAAGGUCUUUAAGGAUUGCAUACUUGGUAGUGUACAAAGAUUGGACUUUAUUAAAAAUCUGAAGUAAAAGUAGAAAACCACAAUUUUUAAUUUUUGCAGCUGAGUUCAGCUUUACUUUGUAUGCUCUUGAUUUGCUUUAAGAUGAAAUAGGCAGUUGAGGUCUGAUAUCUUCUAAACGUCCAUCUUCAUUAAUUUUCCUCUCCCUGUCAUUUCUAAAGAAUAUUGGUUGGAAAGGUAAAUAUUGGUUGGAAAGGUAAAGGAAGAUCAGGAGCAGCCACCAGAAACCAAAAUUUAUGUGGUUUGGUUAUUUAAUUACAUUAUAUAUGGUCUGGCAAACCAGUGCUCAUGUUUUGAUUGCAGCUUUUGAUGAUUUAACUAUCUCAUCUUCCCUCAAACUGAUAUUUACCUUUUAUUGUUCUGCUUGCAGCUGCCAAGAAAACUGGUCGGCUAUCUCUGCUGCUAUCGAAGUUGUCUGCCAAGCUUAGAGGUAGACAAUGGGAACCUCCUUCUUCACCCCCAGCUUCAUCAUCCUUCAUUAACGCUAAAUUAGUAUUCAAAGUCAUACUGGUAGCUGGACUUGCUGUAGGUUGGCAAUACUUUUUUUCAUGAAGUUAAAAAUAUAGAGUUUUUCAGUACACAAUAUGAGCAGAACGACAGAAUACUGAACCUCAGAAUUUGUGAAAAGAUCAUGUUCUUCCAAAAUCCUAUGUGACUCAAUUUUGUAUCAUUUUGAGCUACUCAUAAUAUUCUUUUACUUUUUGAAAUUUGACUAACCUUUGUUUCACAUAUCUAUUCUCAUCUGCAUAAGGUCAUUGAAUUUCGAGCUCCUUUGGUUUAAAGGCUUGUAUAAAGAUAUACUGGUACGAAAAGGAAAAUUGAUCAAUUGUCAUUUUUAGCAUGUCUGCUAUGGUUAUUUCUUGAGGCUGUUCCUCACAUUGCUGAAGUUUAACCCCUAAUAAUUUCUUUUCUCAUCAUUCAUAAAGUGGCCAUUAAGCUCAACCGUUGUGGGUCUAGCCCGAAUGCUCGAGUAUCGAACCAAGGUCCUGUUUCUGGCCAUCCCAUGCCACGAAUCGAACUAACUUCGAUACCGAAGGACAGAAAAGCUUGAUUGAUCUUGGCUUGUCUCUGCUAUCACCAGACAUCCAUUUCAAUCUCUCUUUUUAGCGUUUCUUCCUUUAGCUCUAGAAGCUUUGUUGCAUGGGUACAGAUUUUUUCUUUUUCAUUUUGUAUUUGAUAAUCUUACGCUAGUUUGCUUCUAACUUCCGCCGACUUCUGGAGCUUAACCACUUAAGGCUGUGACAUGGCCCAGUUUACUUGCCUUACACAUGGAUCAUGAAAAACGAAGGGAUUAAAAAUAGAGGUCUCAAACUAUUGCGGGUAUGUUUGUGUCACAGUCCUCACAUGAAAUCAAAAAUCUCACAUCGGUUAAGUAUUAAAAUUAGUCUUGAGAUAUAAAAAUAAGUUAUGAAAUAUUUUUUAUGAAAUAAAAUUAUAAAAUCAAAUAGAUUAAAGCGGAUAAUAUUUUACAAAAGUAUGAAUUGUGACAAGUAAAUUGAUUUAAAAUAUUGAAUGUGUGCAUAUUCAAGUCUUAGAGUCGGACGAGUCUAGAGGUUGAGUUUCGGCUUGUGACAAGUGAUAUCAGAAUUAAUUUUGAGAGUACUAACAAUGUACCAUCAAGGACGAUGAAUCCUCAUUAGAGUGAAAGAAGAUGUCACAGUUCUGAAAUGAAGUCAGAAAUCUCAAAUAGAUUGAGUAUUAAAAUUGAUUUUGAGAUAUUACGAAUUUGAACAGAUAAUAUAUACAUUCAAAUCAUUAUCAACAGAAAAAUAACUUUUUUUAUUAACAGAAACAUAAGAUGAAUAAUAGAUACAUUCAAAUCAUUAUCAACAGAAAAAGAAUUUUCUUUAUUGACAGAAACAGAAGAUGAACAGGAAAAUAUCGAUUCUGAUGAUUGAGUCAAAAUUUUGAAAUUUUUAUUCAAUAUAGUUAUAACUAAUCCCGACAAUCAAACAAUUAUAAAAAAAUCUAAUGAAAUAAAAGAAAUAAGUAAAGAAAUUCCUCGAUGGUCAUACAAACUACUCGACAUUUUCGAACAACACCAUAGAGAAGGCGAGGAACACAGGGCAACAGAUUAUACAAUUCGUUCAAGAAUCUUUCGGUACGCAAUAAUUUUUUCUAAGAAGGAGUUAAAUGAUGAUUUUAUUAUACUAAACGAUAUACUUGUGACAAGUGAUAUCAAAAUCAAUUCUGAUAGUACUAACGAUGUACCACCGAGGACGAUGAACCUUCAUUAAAGUGAAAGAGGAUGUCACAAUUCUAAAGUGAAAUUAGAAAUCUCAAAUGGAUUGAGUAUUUGAAUUGGUUUUGAGAUAUAAGGGUUUAUAUUUUUUUUUUUUUAAGAUAAAAUUGUGAGGUUAGAUAAGUCAAAAUGGAUAAUAUUAGGAUUGGCAUCAGGUCGGAUUCGAGGCGGAUUUUGCUCACCCCGAACUCGAUCUUACCCGAAAUUUUUUUUUUUUUUUCAUACCCGAACUCGAACUCAACCCGAUAUUAUAUAAAUCGUACCUAACCUGACCCAAAAUUAAUAAAAUAUUAUUUUUUAAAUAUAAAUAUUUAAAAAUAUCAUUAUAUAAAUAUAUAUAUAUAAUUUUAAAAAUAAUUAAAAAAUUAUUUUUAUAUAUAUCGGGUCGGGUAGGGUCGGGUUUGCCUAAAAUUCGACCCCGACUUUUUCUUCAUGCCACCCGACCCGACCCUACACGAUACCCGAUUUUCAAAAAAAAAAAACCGACCCUAAAAGGUCGGGUCAAACAGGAUUCUCGUCGGAUAUGAAUUUUUUUAACUUUUUUAGACAAUAUCUUAUAAAAAUAUAAAUCAUAACAAAUAAAUUAAUUUAAAAUAUCAAAUAAAUACAUGUUCAGAUCUUAAAAUUACAUUAGUUUGGAGGUUAAAGUUUCGGCCGUAACAUUUGUAGGUGCUUGGAACGAAGGUUCUUUGCGUGUGAGCUAAUACCGAGGGCGACCCAAAGAUAUAUAAAGAGAGGGAAUCAAAUUAUUGCCAAAGAAAAAGGCAAGAAGCAAAGGGAAUGAUCCAAACCCGAAAUUGCCAUGGCUUUCCAAUGCUUGGAAUACUUAUAGAAUCCUCAUUCACAAACCAAUUUCUGCACUUUUCAACGGUUAAAUUGUUGGGUUUUCUUCCAAGAAUCCCUUUUUUCAUAUAAACCCCAUUUCUUGUCAUUUUUCCCUUCAUAUCACGAUCCUAACCUUUCUUGGAUCUUGUCUUCGAUGCAGCCCCAACAAGGUAUGUUUCAUUCAUGCAGUUUAAUUUAAUUUUUGGAAUUUAUCAUUUACUACUCUUUUCAUUAUACAAUAGAAAUUCCUGUUAUGGUAGUAAAAAUGAAAUCGCUUGAAGAACUUGAACCAUUGGGAUUCCCACGGGACCGAGCAGUUCGGGCACUUCAUUAUUCAGGUGAGCUUUUGAAUGCAAAAUGUGAUGCAUUUACAAUAUUUAUUCAAAAAAUAUGUGCUUUACUUUCCCAUGUAAUUUAUUUUCAAGGUUAAGGAUAUAGUUUGUCUGAUGUCUUCUUCUAGAGCUAUUGUGAACCUAUAUGUAUAUUUUAUUAACAUGAAUCUUUCUGAACUGCGCAGGUAAUACUACCAUUAAGGCUGCUGUAAAUUGGCUCAUUGAUCAUGAGAACGAUGCAGAAAUUGACCAGAUGCCCUUGGUAGGGUUUUCACCUUCUUGAUAGUGUUUCCUUCGUACCAUUUUAUUGGACUUUUCAUAGGUAACACAUCCCAUUAGAUGAGUACUUGGUUUUAGGUUUUCAAUCUUAAUCUUAUAAAAUGCAGUUGUUUUACGCCUUUUUUAAAAAAGUAACAUAGGAAUGUUCAUUUACAUAAAUCAUGACUCAGAGCAAGCUGAGAAAAAGUUUAGCCUAUUGAAGGAUGAAACCGACUCUCUUUGAAAGUUUUAAAAAUUGUUAAAAACAAUUUGUUGCUUUGUAGUGUAUGCAUUAGGCAAAGAUGUAUGGUUCCCAUCCAAACCAGCCUCUCUUCCCACACCAUAAUCAGCUAUUUAGUUUAUUUUUCUUUUCUCUAGUUUCUCCUUGCCAUGUUACUAGGUUCUAGGUUCCAGAUAUAUUCUUGAAAUUUUUACUAGUAUCUUUUAGCUUCAAUUUCAUAGGUCUCAUUGCUACAUUUCAUGAAAGAAGUAUCCGAUUUGGUUCAUAUAUCGAUAUAUUUUGCAUGGAAGGGCUUGAAAAUCUUCAGUUUUUAUUUUGAAUCCUUUGUCACAAGAAUUUCUUCUCACAAGAAUUUCUUCUCUUUGUUCAAUUAAAUCCAGGUGGCUCUAAACAUGGAUAUCGAGUCCCCUCAGCCAUCUGAUAUCACAGAAGCAAUACAAAUUAAAGAACAGGAACUAAGGUUUGACUUCAACAAUCCCUUCGUGAAGAAAGCUCUUACACCCUUUCAUGACUGUUAAGCUUUCCUAUUUGAUUGUCUUCCCUCAGCAUCUAUAACUACCCCUUUAUGUUUUGAUGCUUUAUUCUAUCUUGAUUUUGACUUUGUUAAGACUCAUACUACCCUUUUCAACCUGUUCCUUUUCAUGCUCAUUAAGCUGCUCACUCUUAGGGACUGAGUUCGCAAAAAGAAAGAAGAAGAAGAAAAGAAAAGUGAAAGUGAAAGGGAGAAGGUGUUGUUUAAUCAUUGAUUUUGUUGGUUUUACCACUGUUUGCAUCUAAGGCAUUUUAGUUAGUAUAACCUACCUUCUACACCUUUUGCAGGAAAGAAUUCGGGCAGGUAAAGAACUGCUUGAAGCAAAGAGAAUUGCAGAGGAAAAUGAACGACAACGGUUUGUUUUAAUACUCCAUACAUAUGAUCUUUCUAUGCAGAAAUUUUGUGCCUUAUAUCUCCUCUACUUUCUUAAAGCAAUGACACCAUUCCUUAUCAAUUUCUCGAUGCAUAUUUAUCAGCCUUUUAGCCUUGCGAAAAGCAGAGAAGGAGGAAGAGAAAAGGGUAAGGGAAAAAGUGCUUCAGCAGUUAGAAGUGGAUAAGGUCUUUUCUAAUUCUUACUAUUUUCUGACCAAAAAGGGGUACAUAAAUUCUUACUAUGUUAUUUUGAAUCUCAUUAUGUUCUUGAAACUGCAUGUGAUUCUAACAGUUCUUAUAACUUCACAGUUAGAAAGAAAACGAGCACUUGGAUUGCCACUUGAAAGCUGAGCUGUGAAACCAUCUGGACCUAUUAUACAAGAAAAAAAGGUUAUAUAUAUCUUUCAAAUAGUAUCUCAAAACACAAGGAAACUGUAUUUUAUGGAGAAUAUAAGAGAUCUUAUUGGGCUUGAUCCUGUUAAAGUUGCAGAAUUCCUUGCCUGUCGAGUCUGUUAAAAAGGCUGACCGCAUGAGAGAAUGUCUAAGGUCUCUGAAGCGCACUUACAGGGUAAGCAAUUUCUUAACUCAUUGUUUUCAUAGCUAAUUGAACAGAACAACUAAUAGCCUAUAUAUGUUAGAAUUGUCUUCAUGUGUAUGAAAAUGUAAAUCUGGAAACCAGAUUAUGUCAUUGAAUUUAGUAAAUUACGGAUAAUCCUUCUAGACAACACUGAUGCAACUAGAAUUUUUAGAAACCUUUAAUGAGGUGAAUUGUCUUUAUCCACACCUGCUUAACUAGUGUCACUGCUUGGUUUGAAAGCAAUUUUAAAUCCAUUUUCUUAUUAACUCACAGAACUUUAAUCUUGAAAAUAUCCAUACUAAUUGCAGGUACACAUAUUUUAAGCUCUACAAUCCCCCCCCCCCCCCAAGAGUCUGAUAGAAUUCCUACUUCCAUUUUUAUAUUUUGCAGGCUUAAACAACAUUGUCCGUUUUAUGUACUCUGUCUAGUAAAUUUUACUUUAAUCAACAUGAUUCUCUGGUUAAUUUUAUUCCAGGGUGAUAAUGCCAGAGUUAAAAGGGCAUUCCAAACCCUGUUGAUUUAUGUCGGAAAUGUUGCAAGGAGUCCGGAUGAGGAAAAGUUCAGGAAGAUUCGACUUAGUAAUUCCAGGUAAGGUGCCUUUUUAAUUGGUGUCAUUAUCUGAUUGAAGUGUGCGGAGACCUUCUCUAUGUAUGUAUCAGUAUUUUUUUGAUGAUGAUGCACUUUUCUUCUGAUCAGGAAAGGGUUGGAAGCCUGAAAGGAGGGAUUGAGUUUCUUGAGCUUUGUGGGUUUGAGAGAAGUGAAGGGAACGACUUCUUGGUUUUUCCUCGUGACAAUGUUGAUAUAGAAUUGCUUAACUCAGCUGGUUCUCUGUUAAAAUCUGCAAUUACAAAUCCCUUCUUUGGUCUUCUUGAACAGAUAAUAGAAGACUAGCGUUGUAAUAUCAGGUUUAAUGGACAUUAGUUGAGUGUGAAUGCUGAGAGGGUGACCAUAAAUGAAUAAAAGAUUGGAAUGUAUAGCAAAACUUCUAGUAACUUUCAUGUGUCUCAGUGUUUGCUAAUGUUGCACAAAGCAAUUGCUCUGCACAAUCUUUAGAGUUUGGAAGUAAGUGUUUGAUGUAUUUUCUUUAUCUUUUCACGUCGAGAAAGUUAAAAUUUCAGCAAAUAAGGAAUCAUGAGAGGAACUUCUGGAAAACAGAACAAAUAACAGUGACGAAGAAAGUUAAAAAGGCUUGCCUAUCAGGACCUUCUCGACCACAAAAGUGGACUGUAAAAUUAUAUUCACUAAUGUUACAUCCUUCUAACACCGAAACUCAACUAGCCUCCAAUUUCCCUAAACUUAUUAAAUGCAGUUCACACUAACCAACGCGGAUUCUCUUCGAGCUCUACAUAAAACUCUUAUCAUCUGUCACCUAGUCUAACCCUGUCACCUUCCUGGCACCUUCCUAUCACUGUCUAAACACCGUCAUGCAGUCCUUAUAUAAGGUAAACAGGUGGUCCACGUAUGCUCAUGAAUAAUCCUUACAAGUUCUUUACUUUUAGGCUUUUCGUACACUCCAUCUUCUUUCUCCUCCGACCCUCAUAUAUUUACGUGUAUCAAUUAGUUCGUUUUUGUGUAGUUAAAACCUAAAAAAUAUACUUUUCUCCUUCCGAUCUUCAGCAUGCAGCUUGGAUCCAGUUCUAAUUGAGACUACAUAACUGUUACUUUGAAUGUUCAGUUCCAUUUGAAGCCACAUAAAUGUUACUUUGAAUGAACAUUCAAGCCGAACCAAAAGGGCAGGUUGCGGCUAAAGAAGAAAAUUCCGAAAAUGCUGACUGUGGAACAGUUUGGUUGAAUUGAUACUUUCCAAUUUUGUAUGUUAAAGUUUUCACAUUCCUUUCAAUACUUUUCAAGAGAAGUAUUAGUUUCACCCAAAGGGGAAGAGCUCAACUUUUAGAAAAAUCAAUUCAAAGGGCAAAAGAACAGGUCAAAGAUAAUUCCGUGUAUGUAAUUGGCUUUAGAAAGACCAGUCAAUUCAAAUGUCACCAUAGUUUUUCUGACAGGUAUAUAAUCUCAUAGCACAAACAUCAAUCAGAUGUUUUUGUCUACAAUUUCAUGGUGGUCAUGAAAGCCAGAGGAUUUAGCACUGUGGUUUUCUUCCUCAUCCUAUCAUGUUUAUGGAUGGAAGGGCCUUGCACAUCUCAUGCACAGACUGACACCCUUAGACCUGGGGAAUUCAUCGGGUUCUUGGACUCACUUGUUUCAGCUAAUGGGAGAUUCAGGUUAGGUUUCAAUCGUUUUGUCGACUCCAGCAACAAUGAUUACCGUUAUUUGCGAAUAUCGUAUGAUGAAGAUGGCGCAACAGUGUGGGUGGCUAACCGAACCACUCCUGUUUUUGGUAGUGGUGGCAAUUUCACGAUGGAUGCAGAUGGCUUUUUGAAGAUUAUGCACGACCAAGGGAGUCCAAUAGUCUUGAAUCCAAAUCGAGCUUCGAGAAACUCAUCAGCUCUCCUACAAAACGAUGGCAAUUUUGUAUUGACAGAAUUGAACCCGGACGGCUCCACCAGGCAAAUCCUGUGGGAAAGCUUUGAUUUCCCAACAGACACCUUGCUGCCUGGGAUGAAGCUAGGUGUGAACUUACGAACUGGGCAAAGGUGGGUACUUACUUCUUCCAUAAGUAAUAAUGUUGCUACCCCCGGAGCUUUUUCUCUUGAGUGGGGUAACAACGGGAGUGGCAUAGAGCAACUAAUUGCAAGACGUCGAGGAGAGGUCUAUUGGACAAGCGGGGCCUUGAACUUGAAUGAUCGCAGCUUUGAAAACAUUUUAUGGAUGACAUUUUUUCCAAGCAACUAUAAUUUUAGCUAUAUUUCUAACGAGAACGAGAGCUACUUAAGCUAUUCUGUUCUGGAUGGGGCUCUUUCAAGAUGGCGCUUGAACCCGGAAGGGGGGAUUUCUGAUAUCCUGAAUCCAGUCUUUUUGUCUAGUGCUGCAUGCUACAGGAGUCCGGGUUGUCAACUCCAAGAACCAGCAUGCAAAAGUGAAACAGAUGCGUUUUUGCAGCGACCAGGUUUAUUUAGGGGUUUUCCAUUAUCAUCUGAGGGGAAUUUAAGCAUUGGUUUAGGAGACUGUUCGGCUCAAUGUUGGAACACGUGUUCUUGCGUCGGUUAUGCCACUCUUCAUACAAAUGGAACUGGGUGCGAGUUGUGGAGCAGAGAUUUGAACUUUUCAGUAAUUGAAACAGGAAAUAGCCGAAUUGUCUACGUGUUAAAUUCGACGUUAGCAGAAGGUGGAUCAGAUGCAGUAAAUGGUAAUGGUAAUGGUAAGUCUCUCCUGAAAAACAUAAUUUAUCUUGCUUGAUCUGGUUGCACUUUUUGUUUUAAUCUCUUCUCUGUGUUCUCUUUUUUUGUUUAGAAAACAAUUGGUGGAUCUGGAUCAUCAUUGCAUUUGCAGCCGUGCUGAUAAUACUUGCCUUGGGCUUCUUGUGUUAUCAGAGGAGGAAGAAACUCCAAGGUAAAAUCCUCCCCUUUCCCGCAGACUCAGAGGCAAUAUGUUUGUUGAUACAAAAAUUGAUUCUAACUCUAACCGUGCAUCCAAAUUUGAACAGAAGAUAAGGAAAGGGAGGACGAAGAUAUAUUACUCGAAUUAACUACCUCAAAUGAGAUUGGCAAUGAUGGGAGGAAAGGUCAUGAUUUGAAGGUCUUCACUUUUGCUUCUAUAAUGGCUGCUACAAAUGACUUUUCAUCUGAAAACAAGCUUGGAGAGGGUGGUUUUGGCCCUGUGUACAAGGUAAAUUCUAACAAGGACUAUCAAGAAACUAAGUUAUGUUCUAAUUGACAUCGACAUUUGAGGCUUAAGUACUUUAUUUCUAUACAAUCUUAUCAGGGAAAAUUACCCGAUGGCCAAGAAAUAGCAGUGAAGAGGCUGUCAAGGAGUUCGGGACAAGGACUAGUGGAAUUUAAGAACGAACUCAUUCUUAUUGCCAAACUUCAGCAUAUGAAUCUUGUCAGACUUUUGGGUUGUUGUGUUAAGGGAGGAGAAAAGAUGUUGAUCUAUGAAUUCAUGCCCAACAAAAGCUUGGACUUCUUCCUUUUUGGUUUGUAUUACUUUCCCACUUUCCACUCGUAUCUUCUCCAUUGCUAGUGUUUGAUUCGAUCAUUAUGAAUCAAAAAGGGACACGUACAAAAUUUGCAGAUCCAACUAGAAGAGAGCUACUGAACUGGACGACACGGUAUAGCAUCAUUGAGGGAAUUGCUCAAGGACUUCUUUAUCUCCAUAGACACUCUAGAUUAAGAGUCAUCCAUCGAGAUUUAAAAGCAAGUAAUGUUUUGCUUGAUGGUGAUAUGAAUCCAAAGAUUUCAGAUUUUGGAAUGGCUAGAAUUUUCGGCCGAAAAGAAACUGAAGCAAAUACGAACAGAGUUGUCGGAACAUAGUAAGUAGAUGCUAAAAUGAUGAUACAUUUUCUUAUUUGUAUUCAAAAGGCCAAAACAUUUUUAUUUUCACUAUUGCAGCGGUUACAUGUCACCUGAGUAUGCUAUGGAAGGCAAUUUCUCGGAAAAGUCAGAUGUUUAUAGUUUUGGAGUCUUGUUAUUGGAGCUUGUCAGUGGCCAAAAGAACAAUAGCACUUUUCAUCAUCUUGAUCGGCCCAUGAAUUUAGUUGGAUAUGUUGGUUUUCUGAAUCUCAACUAUUUUUCUUUGUUGUUAAUAAAGCUUCUGAUCUUUCAGGCUAACCCAUUAGUCCUUGGCUGGUUUCUACUUGCAGGCUUGGGAGCUUUGGAAAAGAGAAAGAAGCAUUGAACUACUUGACUCCAAAAUAGGUGACAAAAAUUUUAGAUCUCAGGCAUUGAGAUGCAUCCAUGUGGGUCUCUUAUGCGUGCAAGAGUCUGCAAUAGACAGGCCAAACAUGUCUGAUGUCAUAUCUAUGCUUGCAAACGAAACCGUGCCACUUCCAGCUCCUAAACAAAAUGCAUUUUCCACUCAUCAAAAAUUGGUGGAAAUAUCACUGUCUAGAUCUGUACAAGAAAGUUGUUCAAUCAGUGCAUCAGUUUCAGAUAUAGAAUCUCGGUGAAGAUGCAUAUAUUCUUACAACAGGGAAGUUAUACAGAAGUAGUAGCAGAAGAGCUCGUUCGUUCUGCUCUACAGAGAUUUCAAGUUUCCCCUAUUUUCUUUUAUUUAUUUCUGUACACUAGGAAAAUGAUCCCAUCAAUCUUUUAUACGAGGUAAAAUUAUGUAAUAGAUCUUUAUAUUUUAUUUAAAUAGCGAAAUAAUUUUUUUAAUCUUUUCGAAUUAAAAUUUUAUAUUUUAAUAAAUUAUUAAAUUUAAUCAAAUUAUUAAUGAUUCAAAAUUUUUGUAUUAAAAUUAGUGACCUGACCUAUUAAAUGUUUUACGUUGCAUGUUGAUUUUUUAACAUUUUUCUUUGUGACUGUUAGCUUUAUUAAAUGUGUUAAGUCCACGUAAAAAAAAUCAUGACAUGGCAAAAAUUUUUGUCUAAUAGAUACAAACAUUUAAAAUAUUGACUUGUUCGGCGUAUCACUGGGAUUAAGGACGAGACAAGACAAACCCAAUUUAUGGAAUUUAGAUUGAUGGGCUUCUAAGGGGCAUUACCGACUCUUUAUCCUUUGUUUUUGGUUUUUUAACGAAACGCCACGUUUUGGUUCAUCAUUCUAGUCGGUUUUGUUAGAGGAACUAAUUCCCAAACACUCUUUAUAAAAGGAGAAAAAUUAAAUUCCCAAACAGUCCCUUCGCUUCAAUCAUUCACCAAAUUCGAAAGCCAAACAAGUGAAAAGAAAAUUUUAGCUAAUCUACAAACUGGGGGAGUGAGAAACUCCGCUUUUAAAACAAAUAUCUUCAAAUUCCUAAUAAGAAGAAAUCAAUGUAUUUUUUUAUGCAUUUAUAUUUACUCAAUACAAAAUAAGGGCGAGGGGGUUUUUGAUUUUUUUUCUUUUUUUUUCCCUUAUGCUAAGCUAGAAUUUUUUUUCUUAGUUUUAAAGUCCUCAGGAAGGGCAGUUUUUCUUUCUUAGUUUUUGAUUUCGUCGGCUCUUUCUCUCGUGAUUUAUAAAGAUUAGGGUUAGGGUUAGGGUUAGGGUUAGGUUUUUUAAUUGGCUGAUAGAGAUGUAUGCUGAUCGAGUGGAUGAGGGUUCUGGCAAAAGGUCGGUAAAGGAGAGACUCAAUGGCAACUCCUCCGACAACUCUAUUUGGCGGCGUCAAGUCACUGGCAAGAGGUUUCGUUUUGUCUUUAUUUCUGUUUGUUUCCACGGAGUAUAAUUGGUGAAACAAAACUGGGUUUAUUUGCCUUAAUAGGAAUUUUCCUUUUUUACUUAUUUAUUUUAGUGUAAUGCAGUAAUUUAACUGUUUUCCAUUGUGCUUGGCCAAAAAAAAAAAAAAAAAAGACCUGUUUACCAUUGUGUUGGUAUUUUUGGAUGAUGAAUCAAUUUCGCUUUUGACUUUGCCUUGAAUAUUUUAGUUUAAUAUGCUGUGAAAGAUUUUAGAUAGAGUUGAUGAGUGCAUUGGAGUUAAAGACUAUUUAAAUAAAAUAAACAUGGUUUUUAUUUAAAGUAACUAAAUUCAGGAGUCAGAUUUGUGUUGUCCGUUUCCUAAAUCCUUGAAAUUAAGUAUGAUGCAUAGAAAGAAGGGAGGGGUUGGGGGCAGAGCCUUUGAAAUUUUAGCUUUCAAAGUAUGUUGGUUGCAAUGAACGUAAUGAGUUAUUUCCUUUUUACUAUAAAGUAUUAAGUAUUUUGCAUUCGGUGCUCAAUAAGCGGUCUACUCGCUUCUCCUAGGGGUAAAGAAAGAAAACGGAGGAAAGUCCAAGGCACUGUCAGUUUACUGAUGUGGUUUUUAUCUUUUGAUCUACUUCAUUCUUUUGACCCGCUCCAAUUUUCUUAUUUGUGCUUCUUGCUUAUGAACUUAGGCAUUUGUGGUUUGAGUUUGUAAGGGUUGAUUUUGCCUCUUGGGCAUCAAUAUUGCUAAAAUAUAUAUCCUUUUCAUUUAAUGGUGAUAGAUUUCAUCUGAUAUUAGCUGGCAUCAGUCGAAUUUGGUUUAUGUUCCCUUAUGUCCACCCAAAAGAAAGAAGUUGAAUUUGGUUUAUUUGCACUUUGUGCCUUAAUUCUCCUAAUCUGUGAACAUCUUCAUGCCAUAUCUUUUGCAGGCAGAGGCAAGAUGAAAAGUGGGAACAUGAUCUUUACCAAGACGAUGUACCUCAAGUUUCAAGUAUGGAUUGCCUGACACAAUCACAUGAACUAAAAUAUUGCUGCUAUAGUUGGAUGCAACUAAAUUAUCUCUAUUUGGUUUUGACUUUAUGUUAAUGGUUUGUGAAGAUCGUAAAGUCGAUGCUCGAGAUCUUCGUUUGAAGCUCCAAAGGAAAAGUCUCCAACAUGUGGCUCAAAGUGGAAGGGGAACUCUCUCAAGUGUACAUGAUCUUCGUGAAAAAUUAUCUGGAACAAUGAAUACACAGCCAAUAAAUGUUGAUCCAUCAAAACUGAAAGUGGAAGUUGCCAAACCAGCCAGGAAAAGUGUUGCAGUUGAAACUCCUGAACCAGAGCCCAAAAGGGUUGCACAUACAACAGCAAGAAUGAAGUCUCAGCAAAAGGCAUAGAACUUCUGCUCUUUUUGCUUAUUAUCUUCCCUUACCAUUUUAGCUGUUAGGAACACCCCCCAUCUUCUCCCUCUUCCCUAAGUUAACACAAGACAAUGGAAUUGCUAGCAUUUUUGUUUGCAUUUUAUCAUAAUAUAUGUCAUGAUAUUUUUAUACCUUGACAUGCAAUAUUUUUUAGUGCUUUAUGUUUGUUGGACAAGCAUGAUACAUCAAAGUUCUGUUUUAUCUUCUUCUCUGUUUUCCUCAUGUCAGAGGUGUAUGCAUAUGUGUUUAGGUGGGUGGAUGGGCAGGUGGGUGGGAGAGGGGGAUUUUAAAAACCUGCUAUGUAAUGGCAUGUGUAUCCCUAGGGCUUGUUUACAAUGGUUUGUAAUGCUUGAUAAAGUGAACUCAGUAAACUUGACCUGUCAACUUUGGAUUGCGGGGGGAAGGGUUCAAAAACCUGCUAUGUAAUGGGAUGUAUAUCCCUAGGGGUUGUUUACAAUGGUUUGCAAUUCAUGAUGAAGUGAACCGAGUGAACUUGACGUUGUCAAACUUGGAUUGCAGAGGGGAUGGGGAAAAGUUGACCUGUCAACUCUGGAUUUUAACCCAUCAUUAACUGAAAUUGGAAUGUGCUGCAUAGUGUUGGCAGUUUGAAAGUCCGAUAGGUGGGGCAAUGAACCAUGUUAUGACGCUUUAAUGCUAAGUUAUGGAUUUUGUGGAAUAUUGAAAAAGAAGUUAAUAAGUGUUCUCGUAAAUGGAAUUAUAACUGUCCCUGAGUUUGCACUUUUAUAUCUUUUUUUUUUUUUUGGUUCCCUUCUAUUCUUAUUUAAUCCAAAAUGGUUAUUUUGUACCCAUUCUGCUCUUGCUGUCUGAUGACUUUUUAGGUUCUGAACCCCAAAUAAAAAGGAUUAAAUGGAUAGCCUAUGUUAGCUGUUUAAGGUGCAAUUCAAGAGCCAUUCCCCCAUUAUGUUUUCAAGUCCUGAGUCUUACCAAUAUGUGCUGUUGUAGUUAUAUUUUCGUGUCUAAGCCAUGUGGUUUCUUAUGCAGGCUGAUACAUCAGUUGAGGGCUUCCUCCAGUCUUUGGGUCUUGAAAAAUAUGCAAUUACUUUUCAAGCAGAGGAAGUAUGUGGUUUUAUGCUUUCUUCUGUAUAUUGUAAAUUUGCCCCUUUUAUUUUAAAUCAUACGGUAAAGGAAUUUAUGCGCCCAUUAUAAGACAUAAACCUCGUUCUGCAGGUUGAUAUGACUGCUCUUGUACACAUGACUGAUGAGGAUCUGAAAACUUUAGGCAUACCAAUGGUAACUUCGAACUUUAGACACAUGGAUGCAAUUACGUUACUCUUCCACUUUGUUUUGUCCAGUUUUUAAAUUUGAGAUUCUCCAAAUGUUUUUCUCUUUUAAAGAGCCAAGGCAUACCUUCUUAACUUUAUGAGGAUGUCCCUUUUUCACCUAGAAAAUCCCUUUAUUUUGCUUGCUUUUCUUCUACUUGCAUAUGAUCAUUUGGGAGUGUUAUUGGAAUUAAUAGUUUAAAUGCAAUUAAAUUCAAUUGGAAUUCUUGGAAUGUACAGAUAAUUAAUGAUGAAAGCAGUCUUAGAAAAUCCUUUUAUCAAGGUAAUUUGAAAAUAUGUCACUUUACUUCUUUAGUCCAAUAUAAUGCACGUCCUUUCAGCUUACAGGCUUUAAAGAAUUUCCUUCACGAAGCAAACUUUUACUGUUUAUCUUUCUCUUUUUCUGUUAUAUGCAUGUAUCGUGAGUAUUCUAUUUUCCCUAUUUUCUACUUGUUUUCUCUUCCCUACACUUUGGUUUCAGGAAGUGUUUGGGUUUACUUCCAGGGCCCGAGAAAGAAGAUAAUUCUCGCGAUGGAAUCUAGAGGCUGAUAUUUGGAGUUUUAGCAAGUGGUUGUUGAGGGCUUGUGUUUUGGCUGAUAAGACCUUGCAUGUAGCAAUUGGUUUUGGUAUUUAUUUUUUCUCAGCAUUAUUGACAAAAAUAUAGCUUCGUCAGCUUGUUAUUGAAAUCAAAGGAUGGAGUUUUGUUAGAUUACAAGUGGGUGGGAGUUCCUUUUUUCUUUUUUUUUUUCAUUAGUGGCUUCAGUUAGAAACUUUAAAGAAAUGUAUGUGCCGCAUUGUCUUAAUAUUUUAGGAAGCUUUCUGAAAUCUAAAUCAGUGUAAAGGGUGAUUUUGAGCUGAAAUAAUGUGUCACGUAAUGAGAACCCCGCUUCUUUAUAUAUCAUGGGGCCAGCAACUGUGUUAUAAGCCACUCGAAUAUACAGUCUGUGUUUUAUUUUUACCCCCUAGAUGAAAGAUAAAAGUUUUAACUUCUGCAUCUUUCAUUGUUAAGUAAAUGUAGUUUUCUUUUCCUAUGGUUUUUGUCGUCAAAAGGCUUUAAUAAAAGGAAGGGGCCUCAAGAAUACGCUACACUUCUGUUGAUUUUCAUCGCUAACCAAUAACAGUCUGCAUAUAUCCAAGACUUCUACCCAUCAAAAUAGUCUCAAAUUCUUGAUUUUUCAUGGCUAACCAAUAAAAGUCUGAAUAUAUCCAAGACAUACUACUCAUCAAAAUAGUCUCAAAUUCUAACAUUUUUUCUUAAUAAAUUUUCUAUGGUAUAUGACAUCAGGUAAAUUGCUACAGAUACAAGCACGCAUAACGUGUUUCAAAAAUCGUGUUUCUCCCAAGGCUAAAUUGUUUUUUGAACUUCUCCCGUGGCUAGUUAUCUUCCUAUCUAGCUGUUGCAGCCUUUGCUUGAUGUCAAUCUUCGAUCCAGGGAAACACUUAAGAUGCUGUGUUUGAUUUAGCCUUCCAAGCUAGAUACUUGGCCUUUUCUUUCUUAUAUCUUCUCAAUUCUCUUAAAGCUGCAAGCCCAAUAUGCAUAGAAACGGGCAAAAAGAACGGCUGUACAAAUAGAAGAAAUGUCAUUGAGAUUUGUAAUCCAAGUCCAAUAGAUCAAUACAACUAAUGGUAACCUUGUAAAUAAUUUGCUUUAAUGAACAUAGAUACUAGUUCAGAAACCAGAGGUGACAAGAAUGCAGACUAAGAAGAAAAACUUGCAGAAUGCUAUGUUGUAAAGGAAAGGAAAAAUAAUUCACAGGAUUUUGUAUGUAAUUUCCAGCUUUAGAUCAUUUGGAAGAUAAUUUUCCCUCCCUUCCAUGGCCAAUGAAUACUUCAUAUAUUCUUCUUUACAUACCUUCAAUUGAGUAUUUAACUGUCAGAGACCACUUAAUGCCAAUAGCACUCAAACGAAAUCUCAUGAUAAGAAGCAAUAAAGAGCAUGCUUCGGUAAGAAAAUCUCAAUUUCUGAUUAAUCAUUAUCAAGAGAGGCAUGAAAGUUUCAUUUAACUAACCGAGUAGACAGCAAAACAGUGCUCAAAGGAAUAGUAGCUGACAGACAUAAUAGAUGGGUGGAAAAAGGAAUCCUCUGCCAGAGACCUUGCUUUUCUUGAGGAAGCUGACAAAAAAGUGUAAAAUGUUUGUUGAAGUGGACUAGCUGAUAAUAGAUUUCGAUUUUAAGACACAAUUGAACAAUAAUCUAAAGGUAAGUUUAGGAACAUACCAGCUGAAGAUUCAUAUACUCCACUAGAAGCAUUACUUUGUGCCAGCUUUGCUGCCUCAAGAGAAAGCUUUACCUACUCAAAGACACCACCAUAAAAUUAAAUACUGGUAGUUCAAUGAUUAUUUUCAAACAGAUGCUUACAUAUGCAAGUGCUCCUAUAAAUACACUUAUAGUCCAGCUUAAUAUCUUACCUGUUUUCCGAUCUCAUCCAUAAUAAUCAUCCUCGGCAGUGAUUGAACCUGCAUUAAAAUUUGUCAUAUGUAGCAAAAAUUCUUAUCCAAAUCAGACAGUCCUUUUUCUAACACCAACACAUACCAAUCUUGAAAGAGAUCCAAGGGUUGUAGCACAUGAAUGAAGAUUAAAACAUGUGUGCUGCCGUGACAAGACAUCCACUUCCCUGGCCAAGAAUUGAAAGCAAGAAACUCUCAACAGACAGUAUGAACAACUAAAUGAGACAAUACUAUAUUUCAAUUUUAAGAAAAUUUUGAUUUAAAUUAAGGCUUAAGCAAGCAUCAAGACGCAGAUAAAAAAACUGCGAAAUUGAGUUCAGUUCUCUCAGAUAAAUACUAUUAAUCCAUUAUCUGUCUGGCACUAGACAUAUAACUAUCAGUCAUAGCCUGGUAGUCACAUAGGAUUUUAUUUUACCACACAGUAAAACCUCUUUCGCUAGGUAGAAGGUUCCAAACGCCUGAUGCACCGGCAUAAACAUUGACAGACUUGAAACCAAAAAUUUGCCGGAACUGCCCAAUGAAUACUUCAAACAUGUUCUCAAGAUCCUGUUUAAGAAAGUUCAUGCGUCAAACUAGAGAAAACUAAAUUGAAGCCACCUGUGAUAAUAGAACAUUUACUUCUACUCAUUCAAUUAUUCUCUUCUUUUCCAUAGUCCAAGAUGGAUGGCAAUAAAUCCACAAACUAUAUGGUUUGAAACUGAUAUCUGAACUUCAGUCUCAAACAACAAUAAUUGCUCUGGAACUUUACAGCAUCUACAUGGUAAUGCAAGCAUGUAUGUGGGGGAGAGAGAGAGGAGAAUGGGAGGGGGGACCAUACAGUUUUUUGUUGAAUUUGUUAUUUAUCAUCUAACCUGCAUGGGAAUUCUGUGCCCGGCAGUGGGCUUGUUUUCUGAGUCCUUUAAACAGCCUUGGGGAUUCCAAACAAUAACACCUCCCCACAUCUAAAAGGUUUCAACGGAAGUAUUAAGGUAAUGUGUCUGACAAGAAUAAUAGGUUGGUGAAAGGCAUAUAAAUAAUAAAGGCUUGAUAACUAACUGGAGAUAUAAAGCCAUUUGUCUUGGAAAUCUCUCCAUUUGGCAGCUGGAGAAGAAGAGGGCAUUCCUUUGCAGAUGGUACAUAUCUGACAACAGAGAGAAAAACGAACAGCUUGAGAAAAUGAAACAGGCAUGCAAGCAAAUCACAAAUAUGAGAGUGAACAAGAGAGAUUAUUAAGAAAGGCAGAUCAAAGUUGGCUAACAAUCCUGAAUCAACAUUUUCUCCAAAAGUAGCAUCAAAAUAAAAAAUACAUUGACUAGGAUGGAAAUUGGAAUCGUAUGGUUAUUAGGUUGCUACACCCUAUACCUCAAUAAAUGCAAUCAUUACAAUUAGGAAAUAAAAGAAAAUUUGAGUACAAGAAUAUACACCACAAAUUGCAAUAUCUUUGAUCGCCCACCAGCUGCAAUUGAAGUAUCUAAGUGCCAUUCAUUAGAAUUUACCUGUUAAAACCAUGAGAUAAUAUUACUAGUACAUAAAAUAAGUUCCCUUGUUUUCCAUAUAAAAGCUACAAUAACUCAUGUCUAAACAACAAAUAGAAAGAAUGAUUGACAUAUCUUGUGGCCAAAAAGCACUAAAUGCAAAAACAUACAUAAAUCCAAUUACUAAGACAUAUUUCCAACAGCAUUCUUUUAUCAGUAACCUACAGAAUCAGAAGAAGAAAAAUCUUAAAGAAACAUACGAAGAAAGGAAGAUCUUUAUUACUAAAGACAUGGCUCUCCAACUUUUGAUUCCAAUAGGAGAAAGAGGCCUUUGGUGUGUGGUACAAAACCUAGACAUGAGAACAAUUAAAUCCCAAUCAGACGAAAAAAAAUAGAAUAUAAGUUAUGCCCGAAAUGAAGAAGGAAGAUGAUCCUUGACCUGACUCUCUACACUGAUGUUAGCCACAGGUCCCAAAGCGUCAAUCAUAGUGGCCAACAAACCGUCAUCAAUCUUUCGGAAAUCCCUGCACCAGAUACAAGGAAAUAUAAGAUGAGCAAAAUUCAACACCACCAUAACAUUCUAAUCAUAACAUGUUUCGUUUAGCAUACAAAAUCAAAACAAAACCAACAAACGUUUAAAAAUUAAUCAAAUUCAUAAAAAAAAAAAAAAAAAAAGCAAAAGUUAACAGCAAAGGCCUCAUACCAAUCAUAAACCCAAUCACGUGGAUCCGCAUUGAGUAAAUUGAAGGAAAGAACGAUCUUCCCAUCAGCUCCCACGGGCAUAAACUCAUUCCGAAUCGACCCUUCCUCUCUUCCACCAUUCACAAACACCUUGACCAACACCUCCGCAACCUUCACCGCUGCUAUCUCCAUCUCCCAGCCACCACCAACAACCAUCCACGCGUGCCUAUACUUUCCCACAACAGCUUUCUCACUCUCACCCUUCACCACCACCACACUGUACUCCUUAGUUUUCCCGCUAAAAACUGACUCCAACUUCUCAUCGACCGCCACGUCAUCGUUCUGAACAAAAUCAGUGGCGGUGAUCGAUCCGCACUGGUAAGAAAUCGAAUGUGGAGACGAAAUUGGGAACCGAAGGCAACGGGGGCCGAAGUCCACGGUGACGGAGAGAGUGUAAUUGUUGGAGCAUUUAGGGUUUUGAGAGGUUACUUUGGUAAUUUCGGAGAGGAUUGACAGACGGAUACGAUCGGGAUCUGAAUCGAAGCCGAUGAAAAGGGCGUGGAAAUGGAGCGGGAAGAGUAAAGUAUCGGACCGAAGCUGAGUCAAGAGCGAGUCGAUUUCGCGAAACGGCAGAGGAGAACGGUAGAUUUCGACGGAUUUCCAUAAGAACGGGAAACCUGAAAUUCAAUUUUAAAAAAAUAUUAAGAAGAAGAAAUUUUAUUUGUUUAUUUAUUUAGGAAAAAAAAAAAGAAGAACUAUAAUUAAAGAAGCGUCAGAGAUUUAGAGGCAGACCAAGGAGGAAGGAGAAGAGGACGGUCAAGGUCAGAAAAAGGCGCUUCAAUCCGGGUUUGGUUUCGCGCAUUAAUUUCGGGUCGAAGUCGGGUUGGGAUUGGGGUUGAGGUGGUACUUUACUAGCAUUGUCCGGUAAUUUGGAGGAAUCGGAGUCUGAGAUUUCGGGCAUUGCUGGAGAAGCUGGAGUUUCUUCUGCUCUGCACACUGCGGUGAUAGACUGACUGCUCUAAAUCUUGAGGUUGAUCUUGUUUUACUUUAUAGACGAGAAAAAAAAGAUAGUGUGAUCCGAUAUGAGGCCGUCUUAGCUCAGCCGGUAGAGCGCCUGGCUUUUAACCAUGUGGUCGUGGGUUCGAUUCCCACAGACGGCGAGCGUGUUGCCCUUUUUCUCUUUUCAUGUUAUCCAAAGACCAGUCGACUAUGAAAUCAUUGCAAAUGAAUCCUUUCCUUUUUAUUUUUUUUAAAUGAAAGUGGCAAUGAAAUAUUUAUAUUAAUUUCCAUAUGGGUUCUUUCCGUUCCAGCAAAUCUUCAUCUUUCUCAUGUACGAAGAAGUAGAUAAUGGCUUGUUAGAUGAGCAAAAUACAAAGAACUCAAUGUACCAUGCUACUACCAAUAUUGACGGAAAUGGAAAAGUUUGAGGGAAUUAACAUUUUCUUGAACAAUAAAUAUGGUUCCCAAUUUUAUGACCAACACUAACAGCAAGUCUCCCAGCGUCUUCUUUCUCUAUUAAAAUUUUCUUCACAAAGUGAAAAAUUCUGCUUUCGGGUGGCAAAUGAAGCUGCUUGCCUACCUUUGAACAUUAAAGAAAAAUAACUGUAAUGAUUGGAGCAGAAAACCAAAUAACCAUCCCGUGCAGACUCUGAUUGCAUAUAUACCUAUACUAGUAACUCUAUUUUGUACUACCAUAUCUUUAUGGGUGCUUGGAACCGAGUAUGAAUUCUUAAGCAUUUCUAGCUACUUUUCACAAAGGCAGGCAGGGUCCAUGUGGGUGGCAUGGGUGAAUGCCUGCAUCUUCUGAAGAAUGUUAGUUUUUAGCAGCAAGCUCAGCCAAAAUCUAAUUUUAGUAGGGUGAAUCCCUCCUUUUCCAGUUGGUCUUUUUUGCAACGUCUAUAACUUUCUUGCUAAAAAAAAGCAGACAAAUGCAGGCUCUUAAAUGGCAAAAGCAUCUUAAACCUCUCCUCUUAGCCUGCAAAGACAAAAAAUCCGUAGCUAAAAUUCACGCUUUCGUGAUUCUAACUGGCGUUUACAUACAUAAAACCUCCGUUGGCAAUCUUAUCGCAUCUUAUGUACGAGUUGGUGAUAUCUUGUCCGCUCGUAAAGUGUUUGAUAAAUUGUCUACCAGAGGUGUAGAUGCAUGGAAUGCAAUGAUCGUUGCCUAUUCUCGUAAUAGUUUUCCAAAACAAGUUCUGGGUUUUUAUCAUCAGAUGAUUCUUGAAGGCAUCAGGCCUGACAGCUCCACUUUUACCGUGGCUAUUAAGGCGUGUGUUAGUUUGAUGGACUUGGAAAUGGGGGAGGAGAUUUGGCGUAAAGCGGUAGAUUUUGGAUAUCAGAAUGAUGUGUUUGUAGCGUCUUCUGUUUUAAAUUUGUAUGUGAAGUGUGGAAAAAUGGAUGACGCAAUGAUGGUGUUUAACAAGAUGCCAAGAAGGGAUCUUGUCUGUUGGACUACUCUGGUAACAGGGUUUGCGCAGAGUGGAUGGGCUAGUGAGGCGAUUGAUUUGUAUAGAAAGAUGCAAAUGGAAGGGGUGGAAGGAGAUAGUGUUGUGAUGUUGGGGUUGAUUCAGGCUUCUGUAAAUCUUGGGGACUCAAAGUUGGGACUUACAAUUCAUGGAUAUAUGAUUAGGAAAGGUCUUUCGAUGGAUGUUGUGGUUCAGACUAGCCUUCUCGAUAUGUAUGCUAAGAAUGGAUAUUUGGAAUAUGCUUCGCGUGUCUUGAAGAAGAUGCCAAGUAUGAAUAAUAUUUCUUGGGGUGCAUUGAUUUCUGGCUUUGCUCAAAAUGGUUUUGCUAGAAAUGCAUUGGAGUUAUUGGUAGAGAUGCAGGGUUAUGGAUUUAAACCAGACUUGGUGUCCCUUGUGGGUGGUCUUCUGGCAUGUUCACAAGGUGGGUUGUUGAAAUUGGGUAAAUCCAUACAUGGAUAUAUCACUAGAAGGCUUGAUUUGGAUCAAGUUUCUGGCACUGCUGUGAUUGACAUGUAUGCAAAAUGUGGAGUGCUUUCUUAUGCCCGUGCACUCUUUGAUCGGAUAGAUUCUAGAGAUAGAAUCUCUUGGAAUGCAAUGAUUGCCGGCUAUGGAGUACAUGGGCAUGGAAAGGAAGCUCUAUCACUCUUCCUCCAGAUGACAAACAUGAGCAUAAAACCAGAUCAUGCAACUUUUGCUGCACUUCUCUCAGCUCUCGGCCACUCGGGACUGGUUGAAGAAGGUCAAUACUGGUUUAAUCUCAUGGUUAAUGUAUAUAAUAUCCAACCAACUGAGAAGCAUUAUGCUUGUAUGGUUGAUCUUUUAGCUCGUGCAGGACUUGUAGAAGAAGCUUAUAAACUAAUAGAUUCUAUGGACAAUGAACCUGGGGCAGCUGUUUGGGUUGCUCUCCUAUCUGGCUGCUGUAAUCAUGGGAAGUCGUCUAUUGGGGAGAUGGCAGCAAAGAAGGUACUUGAGUUAAAUCCAGAUGACUUGGGAAUUCAUGCAUUGGUCUCAAACUUCUUUGCCAUGGGAAACAUGUGGGAUGAAGUAGCUGCUGUAAGGAAACUCAUGAAAGAAACAGGAUUGAAGAAAGUACCUGGUUACAGUGUACUGGAUGUGAAUGGACAGCUCCAUGCUUUCCUUAUGGCAGAUAAAAGCCACAAUAAAUAUGAAGCUAUAGCAUCUGCAUUGGAUAAAUUGGACCAUGAGAUGAGAUUGCAUGAUCAAAAUGAAGGGCUUCCUGUUGCUUUUGGCCUCUAAAACUCGGUUAGGAUCCUUACUGCUGAUCAUGAGAAACCUUAAGAUGGGAGAGAAUGACCAUUUUAACCAAGUUUUAGUGCAAGGACUGUGGGAAGAGGAUCGUUUUGGGAACCAUGAAGCAGGCUCUUCACUCCCAAGUCCCAACUGUAAAAACAGCCUAUACCUGGCAGCUUCUAUGAUACAGUGAAGAACACCAGCUUGUCAUAAAUUCUGUAAUUCCUAUUCUUCCAUAUGUAAGUCCUCCUUUCUAUCUUCACUUGACAGGAAGUACAGCCUGGCCUCUUUUUCACAUCAUUUUUUUAUAUUUUAGAAAAAUUAAAGCAUGACGUUGGCAACUUUUUAUCUACUCCUUUUUGUGUUUAUUAUAACCGUUUAGCUCAGUAAAGUUAAUUUGGCACUAAUAGCAGGGUUGUUGGAAGAUGUUGAGGUACUAAUAGCACGGUUGUUGGAAAAUGUUGAGGCUAGAACAAUCCCGUCAAUGUGCCACACUAACAAGGAUUGUGUUGGCAAAUGCUAUCCUAGUUGUGAUACUGGUACGUGCAAUUUUGUUCAAUGUGUUUGUGGACACUUCCGACAAAAGGUCACUGCAGAAGGCAUCUUGGGUCCAUCUCAGCACAAAAUUGCCUCUGUAUGUGAACAGACCUCCAUACUCUUUUUUGUUGCAUGCUUGAUAUGAUAAUAUUGAUGAUCGCCCCUUAAGUGGCUUCUUUUUGUUACUGUUUAUUUCCUUGCCGCUCAAAAUUUUCCUUCUUUUGCGAGAAAGGAUGUAAUAAAAAGAUCUAUUGUUAAGCACGGGCAGAAUUAGAAACACAAAACAUAAAAGGAUGAGAAAAACUGAUCAAUUCUAGUCCUAGAUUCAAGAGAAUUACAAAAUUUUUCAACAGUGCAGAGGCAAAGCUACUUUCCACCAUUGCACAUAUCCCUUUUACCUCCUUAAGAAACACCAAUCAGUACCCCGAACACAAAUUUCUCUGAGCCCUUCAAAAUUUCCUCAACUCUUGUAUCCUAGAGCUUUAUUCUGAAGAUUUUGGUUAUCUUCUAAUAAGCGAUCAUACUCAAGUAGCAAUUCCGCAGAUUGUUUUUGGAGGGAAGCAACAUGUGCUUCAGCAGUUUCAAUAUUUUUGUCUUUUUCUUCAGAUUCCAAUUUCAGCUUCUUCAAAUUCUCUGAUAGAGUGGAAAUUUCCUCUUUCAGUUGCUUUAUCUCCUUGGAAGCUUUUUCUUCCUUCUCUUUAAGCUGCAUUCUCUCUUUCUGAAGACGUUCCAAUUCCUCUUUUGAAGAUCUCACACUACUCCUCAACCCAAUAAGUUUUCUAAGAUAAUGGUGCAUACGAUCAAUUACGAACCCGAGAAAUAGGGAAAAACCUACAAGAUCAAGUUCAGACAGUCAAAUAUGUAUGAUACCACCAAAAGAAGGGAUAGAAAUAGAAUAAUCAUUCACUCAAUAUUUAAAGGCAUGAAGCUUAUUCAGUUUAUGUUCAAUGAUUGAGCAAUUCUCUUCACUGUCAGAUCAGCAAUAGCAUAGAACCAAAAUUCACAGCUGGCAAUGGAAAAGAUUCAACUUUUAGAAAUCCUCAAUUUUAAUGUACCAUUCUGUAAACUGGUGACGCGUAACAACAGAGAACUGAGAAGAAGCCCAAAUUAGAUAACAGCAACACCCCGCAAGAGGCCAGAAGCUAUAAAGGGUUAUCCAUUGAAACAUCUUUAUAUUUCCAAAUUCUGGACAAGUCAAAAUGAUGCACCCGCCUGCAUCAUUUGACAACUCAACCUGGACCUAAAGGAGUGUAAAAGUAACAAGAAACAAGGUAUCUCUACACCUCAGAACAAUGUACAUAUUUGGAUUGUUUAGUGAGAGUCCAGUCAGAGACAGCCUCUUCACUGAAGUUCCAUGAACUUGAAUAGAGAUUUGGAAGAACCAGAUGCCUUCAGCAUUUGGCCUCAUUAUUGCAAUGGACCUGUAUAAGAUUCUAUUCCACUCCAAGCCCUUAUAUUGGCAGACGUAGUAGUGCUAUUCUUGCCCUAGAUUUCAUUCCCAUAUAAAUUUGAACCUUUCAAAAGCUAAACAGUAGCUUUUGGAAUAGCGAUUUGGCCACAAACUCACAAUUUAAUGAAAUACAAUUCAUCUUAUCAUCAAUGUCACACUGAAUAACUUAUCAGCUGUAUGCAUAUGUGAAAGAUAAACUAGAAUAUGUUUGUUUACCAUAUGUAGCAUACAACUAUUGCAUAUAUAUUGAGAAAAGAGUUACCUAUUUUUCAACAAAAAAAAAAAAAUGAGUUAAAUUUGAGAAUACUCUUGCAAAUCCUUGCUAGCAAAAACCUUGAACUAAGCACAUUGCAUGCUAAUAACUUUGAACUGUUUAAUUUCAAGCAAGGGUUUUAUUACGGGACAUCCUAAACUUUAAUCUGGUGUCCACUGUAACUACAACCUUUGCAUGGUUAAUCAUGAAUUAACAACUAGUUUACAAAAGGGCUUAUGAAAUGAGACCAUACUAGUUACAAGACCCUGUUACAGUUCAUAGGGAGAAUAGUCCUGUCAGCUUUGUUACAUACAUAAGCUUAUUUAAGCCAACUGCUUCUAAUUCUAUAAGCUUCACAAAGAAGAAACACAAAUGCAGCAAUGCUAGAUUAUAUAUCUUGUGUUAUUUGUAGAAUGUACCAACUGAUAAUGGUGUGAAGUCUAUAAUUGCAGAGUUUUGUUUACUCCAUUUUUCCAUCGGAAAGCCAACAAUUAUCAGUCCAUAAAUAUCUCAAAUUCUAGAUAGAUCAAUUAAAUCUAGACAACAGCAAAUUGGAUAAAAAGAUCCACCACGAGAUUCUUGGUAUAGAAGUAUGAAGUAAAACACUAGGGUAAAUAACAGAAAAGAUAUAUACUCCAUAACUGUUGGUGCGUAUGUGGGUGCAGGGGAACUGCAUAAGACUGAAAUAACCAAACAUUUGCAAGAACAAGAGACAAAAUAUAAGAAUGAAAGAGGCAAAGGCAAUGGCCUGAUGCUAACCACACCUAACCUCCAAAAGAAGGUCUUGAGCUCAAAUCCACAUCGCCAACUAUUGCAUACAAAAUCUAUUUCAUUUGCCAAAAUGCCCUAAUCACUUAUCAGGCAAAUAGACAAUUUACCACAAUCUUCAAAAGGCUAUAUAACUUAAUACUUGCACAUCAUAUGAUACAUCAUGCAUCAAUAUCUAAAGCAUUUUACCAUCACUUAGUGAUCCAUGUAGGCUAAAAUCAUGAUCAUCACACGGUGCCUUGAUAUCCUUGUUAAGCUGCUUAAUAGAAAAUUUAUCUAAAUUUAUUAUUACAUUAACAUAGGCAAGGUGCCUGACUAGGGAAAUUUGUUAACGCUGCAGCAAACCUAUAUAUACCUUCAAACAUGAAACCCCACUUGAGAAACUCCCCAUACAGUGUCGAGUUAAGACUACUAACUCUUCCUUAAGUGCCAUUGACCAAAUUCACAUUAAAAGAUUAAAGCACGACUAAUUUCUCUAGGGAGAAAUUCACUUGAUAAUGAGUCAAUAGGUAAAUGGGAAAUAUGAUUUUAUAGCAUACAUACCAGAUUCAUGAUACCUAAUAUAUUAACAUGGCUUUCCUCUGAUACAGAAUGUUUUUCCCAAUGGAGACUCAAACUACUCAAAAACCAUGUGAGGUUAGUCUCGCCUAUAUGCCCUGCAGUUGUCUUCAGCUGAGAAGUUUGUUCUCUUAGUUUUAACACCUACAUCUCAGGGUUUUUGAGUCUUUUUUCUGUAUUUCAUUAGAUUUUAGGAGUUAUUUCCUAUUGUUUCAGUUUUCAGUUUUGUCAAUUGCCUAUGUAAAGUUAAUAAUAUAUUCUAGGUUAGGCCAAUCUAAAACUUAGGAAAUUCAUAGAAAACAUAAACUAAAUGAUUAUGGUUGAUAUUUUAAAACUCUUAAAACCAAAGGUACCCAACAAAAACCUGAUUUUCUCUGUGCUGCAGCAACUAGACCUAUUAGUCACAAAGCACUUUUCUUGCCCUCUAUGACAACAAUGAUCCAAGAAACAUUGUGGAGGCUAAACACGGCAGUAAUUUAAAACUCAGCAGAAAUACCCAAGUUACUAACAGAUAGAUGCAUAAACCAAAUGACCCAUGAAAAGUAGCAGAAUCAUACCCAUGAGUGAAGCCUCAAGCAAGUGGGUUCUCCACAGAACCUGAUCCAUAGGUGACAUAGUACCAAGCUUUGCACCCUUGUUCUGGAUCUUGACAAUGCUCAUGAGACUUGAUAAAAGAAUCACAGACAUGGUACCAGCAAUAGUUUUCAUAGUAGCUGGACCUUUCCCCGCCUUCAAUUGAUCUAAACUCUUUAUGACAAGCUCUCUGAGAGGCCCAAUCUUUACCAAUAGAAGGAAUGCCACAACUCCCUCAGCAAAAAGAACCAAAAACAAUAACUGAAUCAUCUUACCUCCCAGCUCUCACAAAGAUUUGAUUUUGACUCAAUACAGAAAAAAAUGAAAUUUUCAGCAAGGAACUACCAAGAAUCUUUGAUUCUGAUUGCUGGCUUUUAGUUUUUCAACUAAAACUCAAAAACCCACAUAAGAAAGUAGGUUUUAUCUUCGGAAAAAGAGGAUUUAAGGCUAAAGAUCUGUACAUUUAGCCCUAAUGUAGAAAGCAAGAAGCUCUUUCGAAGAAACUUACUAUUCACAAGAUGAGUUCACUAAUGCAAGUUAAAAUGUGAAAGCUUGGGGAUUAGUGGUGUGUAAUCUGCUAAUGGGCUUGCUUUUGUAGGCAAAAAAAAAGAGGGGGGCACAGGCACAAGUCAAAAGUUAGAAACAAAAAAAAAAAAAAAAAGUGGAUGUACAAAAAAAAAAAUCCUACAAGCAGACAUGAAAAGAAAAUAAUUUUUUUAGGUUAAACAGAAAUUAUGGUAAGGCCGUGUUUGGUCGUGGGUAAGAUGAUGGCCCCUUUGUCUGGUAACGUGUAAUAACAUGAAUGGAGUGUUUGAUUGGAUGAAACAGUUGCUGUACUCUUUUCUUCUACAGUAAAUAUACAGAAUACAUAGUAGAUAAUAUGUGCGGAUGGACUUGCUAUCUGGAGAAGAGAAGAACUUCUUGCAAAAGCCUGCACGCUUCCCUAUAUUCACGCAUGACAAAGCUACCAAUGGCAGUACAUUGAGAGUGAAUUACGCAAAUGCCAUUCCGAGAAUCCAAGUGGACUGUGUCUGUCUGAAUGUCUGUCUUUCCCAUCUUUUUCGGCUUCCUUGUCAUUUCCCUGCCUUGAUUGUGAAAAAGAGAACAAAAUCUAGACAAUGAUAGCCCAAUAGGCCUCUGCCUACUGGGCCAAAUGACACACACAGUAUUGGACCAGAGCAGCUGCUGCCUUGUAUGCAGGUUAUAAGUCCAAUUCAAAGAAAAUGUGGCUAAGCUUUAUUUAUUUAUUUAUUUGAAAAAAAAAAGAUCGGAACUCUUUUAAUGUUUUAAUCCGACAUGUAAUUUUUUAUGUAAUGGAUAAUUUUUUUUCAAAAAAAUUAUAUUUAUAUAAAAAUAUAAGACCACUAAUGGGAUUAUUUUAUUAUUUUUUUAAUUAAAUGGAUUAUUUGACUCAUAGUAUUAAACUCGAUUAAAAAUAAUAUAAAUAAAUAUAUAUUACUAAAUGAUUAAAUUUUUUCAAAUAUAGUAAUAAAAAAUAAAUAAUUUGAGAUAAUGUAUAGUUGUACCAAUGAUGAAGCUUGAAAAUUGCCAUGGUACUAUGCAAGGAGGGGUGCAAAAUAAAUUGUAGGAUACAUGUGGCUCAUCCAAAAACACUUGAAAUACCGGCAGCUUUUGAAAGAUUAAAAUCUUUACUUGUAUCGUGGGCAAGAGAAUCCUAAAACCACGGUCCCAUUGAGAAAAUAACAGUAACAAACCAAAAGAGCAAUUAGAAACAAAUAGAAAAUAACAUGGCACCAUCAAAAUUUUGUAGUAAUUAGUAAUUUUUUUUUUUAAAGAGUAGAGAUUUGUUUCAAAUUGCAAAUAUUAUUCGUUUUUAUUUAAAAACUUUAUGAUUUUAUUUUAUAAAAAUUAUCUGAUGAAUAUAAAUUUAAAUUUAUAUAUAUCAUAACAAUUUUUAAAAUAUUCUUAUAAAAUUAAAAGCGUUAAAAAUAUUUUGCAUCUUCUCUUUGUGACAAGCAAAGACUCCUAUCCUUAAUUACUAAUCUAAUAAUUUAUACAAAAAAAUUUCACAUCAUUCAAAAUUUAUAAUCACAAAACUCUUUUUAACUAAUAAUUAUGAAUUGAUUUUUAAUUUUAUUUACUCUACCAGUUUUCUGAAUUAUGACAUUAGUUUUUUUUUUGGCUAAAAUAAGAUGAAUAUUUAUAUAUAUAUAUUUUAAGUUUUUAAUUUAUCUUUAACAUUUUUUAUUCAAUUAUAUAAAUAAUUAAUAUUAUGCAUUUAAAUUUUUUUCAACCGAUAAAUUUUAAAUAUAAAUUGAUUCAAAAAAAAUCAAAUAUAUAUAUAUAUUUAUGUAUUUAUUUAUUCAUAUAUUCUUACAGUUGGUGCAUAAUUGCCACCCCUUUAGGCGGUUCUGAGAAUUAUAAAAAUCUGGACCUAAACCUGACACGACAAUCUUUAUAGGUAGGUCGUAAGUACGGACAAGAGUCUUAAAUUCAUUAAUCAUGAAAUAAAAGUGGUUAGAAGCAUUAAUUUAAUUUUGUCUGAAUAUGAUUUUUUUAUAAAAUAUUAAAUAUAAAUUUAAAAUGUUUUGAUUUGUUAAUUUAAAAUAAUAUAUAAUGAUAAUAUCAAAAUAAUUAAAAAUAUAAUAUAAUAUAAAAUUUAUAAAAAUUGUAUAUAAAUAUAAUAAAAAAUUUUAUACAUUUAAUAUUUAUAUGAAUUAUAAUAUAUAAUUUUUAUAAAAAAUAUAAUAUAAAUAUAUCAAUUAUUAAUUCUCCCUUUUUUUUAUACCGUUUGAAAUAUAUGUUAUUGCAUUUUAUUUGGCCAUUAACUUUUAAAAGGUAGUAUAUAAUAAAAUUAAUUUUUUUUUUGUAGAAAUUAGUAGCACUAACCUGUUUUUACAAAGAAUGAUUAGUUCAAAGGUAGAGCGUUUCAAAUAUUAGCAUAUAAAAGUUUUUAUAAACUUUUGGCUUCAAAAUGGUCGUAAUACUGCUUUCUUUCUUUCUUUCUUUCUUUUUUGGUACAAAUUAAUAAUUUUUUACAAAAAAAAAAAGAUAUUUAUGCACUUUAUAUAUAUAUAUAUAUACAAUAUUAUGUGUAAGUGAAAAUGAUAAUAAUGAAAAAAAAAGAAUAAUAAUAAAAAUUAAAAAAUUAAAAAUGGCAAUGGAUUUUACAUGAACCAAAUGUUUCAGAUACAGAUUAUGAUUUUUUCAAAUAAUUUUAUAAAAUAAUCAUAAUAAGUAGUUCAAUUGGUAAAAAAAUUUAUUUUUAAUCAAUCAAAAUUUAAUUUUUAUGAAAAAUUCUUUGAUUUAUAAUAAAAUCAUGAAUGCAUCAAAGUCGAUAUAUGAAUAAAUGUGUCUUAAAAAUCGUUCAAUUAAAAAAAUAAAUCUAAAUAAAUUAUAAUGAUAUCGUGAUAAAAUAAAUCAUUAAAAUAAAAUUAGACAUUUAACUAAAGAAAAUAAUUCAUGCAAAGUUAGGAUUCAAUUUUCAACAUUUACGAAUUAUUUUUCUCGAAAUUUUUUCAAACCUUGGUUUCUUGUAUAUAAAAAAUAUUUAUUAAAAUUAAACUAACUUAUUACUAAAUUAACUUGUGACAUCAACAUGCCAAAGUUGACAAAACCCCAAAGUUGUUCAUAAAUGUAGACACUUCUUACUUAUUUUCCAACCAUUCCAGAACCACAUGUAUAUAUUUUAUAUAGAACGUGGAAAAUAUGUUUUGUCUUACUAAAAUCAUCCACCGGUUCUAAUGGCGGUUUUGAAUAAUUCUCCAUCCCGGCCGCGCGUAUGUCAAAAUUCAAACAUCCUUUUGCCCUUUUUACCGACAACUUGUUAAGAAAAUUCAUUGACCUUUUUUGGGUUCUCGUUUUUUUUUUUUUUUUUAUCGACGUAGAAUAGAAAAAACCAUUGAAGGAUUAUUUCUUUGAUUUUAAUAAUGAAGUGCACGACAAGAAUGUAUGGAUGUAAAGCCAGGGCACGUGGCAUUUUGGUCCGUCAAAGAAGCCGGCCACAUAUUAAAAAAUAUAUAUAUAUUUUUAUUUUACGUAGUCAUAAAAUUUUUAAUUAUUGAUAAAAAAAAAUUCCAUUCUCUUAAGCGUAAUUUGGAGGAUAAUAUUUGAAAGGCACGUGAGCCACUAUAGCAUUCAAAUAAUUAGAAUUAGAAAUAUUAUAUUAAAAAUUAAUAUUCAAUUUGAUAGUACGUGAAUUAAUAUCAAAGGUGUUCAUACUUUAGAUCAAAUCUAUAUUUUUAAAGUCAAGUUCCAGUUUAGUUUAGAUGACUUUUAUGCGUAAUAUUUUUAUUAUUAAAAUAAGUAAAAUAUUAUCUUAUAUUAAUAUUUUAAAAUUAUUAUUAUUAUUAUUAUUAAAAAUAUAUAUUAAUCAAGUUGAACUAGCUUAAAACUAAAUUUCUAUGCAAAACUUUACCCUAAUCACGUCGGGUUCAAGGGUCUCAAUAAAUAAUCAUUCGCCUUAUUUGUGAACACUUUUAAUUUAUAAGAUACCAAAAAAUUAUAUUAUUUUUUACAUAAUUCAAAUUCCUCAUCUUCAAAUGAAAUUGAAGGAGUACAAUAUUAUAAUGAGAUUAUAGAGCAUUCAUGAACGGAACUAGGAGCAGGGGGCGAUCACCCCCAAAAUUCCUAAAAUUUUUUAAUUAUUUAUAAAGAAAUUUAUAUUAUAUAUUUUUAGAUAAAAAAACAAAAAUGAUUGUUUCGUCUUCAAAAUAUUAAAUAUAAAAUUUGUACCAAAUUGGAAAUUCUGGUUAAAAUAUUAGAGUUGACAAUAAAUUAACAAUUAAAAGCCAAAUUAACUCUAGGUUUUACCAUAACAAUGUUUUAAGGGCCUUUGGCAACCAUCAUAGGUAAAAAGUUAGAGAAAAUAAUUGAAUAAUUAUCACAACAUAAUUUAAUGAAACAUCGCCAGCCUCUGCCAUGUUGGCAAGUCACAUCACCAGUCCUCUCAAAAAAGCUGGAAACAUAAAUGCAAAUUAAUAAAAACAUUGAAUAUGAAUAACAAUAGCUUAAUUGUUGUGUACCAGAACAACCUUAAAAAAAAAGCUCAAUAAUAUUAAAUUUGUGAUUUGUAGAUAUUUAUAUUAUAUAAAAUAUAAAAUAUUUAUAUUAUAUUUAAUAUAAAAAUUAUGUGUCAUAAGUUAUAAUAAUAUAAAAAUAUAAAAUAUAUUUUUUAUUAAAUUAAUAUAUAAUUAUUAAUAAAAUUUUAAAUCAUAUUAUUUUUAUAUUAUUUUUUUAUAUCAUAUUUACAUUAUAUAAAUAUAUAAUAUUUUAGAUUAUUGAAUCUGAAUAAUACCACUUUAAAUAAUUUAAUAAGAUUAGAUAUUAAAAUCAAAAGAGAUUUCAAAUGACAUUAUUCAAUUUCUCACUCCAAGAAAAUUGAAACUUUACCAAUAAAUAGGUGUAUUUGACAAUUGUCUUUAGUAGUUUAACUUCUAUGAUUCCCCGAUUUCAAAGAAAUUUUAUCAGAACAAGAAAAGUAAGUUUCAUUGCUUAUUUCUUUUUUCAAACUCUAUAAUUAACUUCCAAUUGCAAAGAAAUUAGUAUUUGUUUUUUGAAUUUACAUUAGUUCAUAUAUUUAUAUUUUAUUACAAUUAUAGUUAAAAAAGACAAGAUAAAUAUGCAGCAUGUUAAAUUUUAAUUUUAAUUCAAUUGAUACUUAAUAAAUUUAAAAUUCAAAAUGUAACAUGUACUUUUUUUAAAUUGUGAUUUUUUUUAUAAAAAUAUGCAUUUUCCUUUAUAAUUAUGAUUAGAUAAUUAAAAAGAAUUAAUUUAAUCAUUAUAAUAUAUUGGAAAAGCCACAUAAAUUUGAUAAACAAAAUAUUAUCUACAAAACAAACCAUCAAAAUUUUCCAAAAAUACCAUAAUAAGAAUAUUACCGAAAAGGAAAAUUCCAAAAAUGGACAACAUGUGCUUAUUUGUUUCCUUUUAAAUUUUAUAAAAACCAAAUGUUAAAUUAAAAUUCUAGUUUGGGAAAAAAAAUUUAGCAAUAUUUAAAAAAGUUUUGAAUAGUUGGAAUGGAACCAGAGAGGUCUGCAUAGAAGCCGACAAAGAAAAAAAUAAAAAAAUAUUAAUAUUAACCGUGGAAAAAGACAGACUCUCAGCUUUUAGGACAAGUCAGCCGCCAUUAACAGUAACGGCGUUAAAUUUUUGACUCUUAACAGUUUGCCAGCAGAGCCUUAAGAGUUAAGACCACUAUCCUCUGCACCAAACUUAUUCCUUCCAAUCGCCAAUGACAGCUGCGAAUGGAUGGGGAGCGGCUGUACACUGGUGUGGAAGGAGUGGAAAUUUACCCGCUACCAAGUUAUUAGAAAAAAAAAAAAGCCAAAACAUACGGAAACAUACGGCGACUUGGUUGAGACUUGAGAAAGACAUCUGAAAUUGAGAAGAAACGGAGAUUUUUACAGAGAGAAAGAGAGGGCGAGAGAAUGGUCAAACAUAACCGGUGGCGCCGGUCCAUGGUUGAUAAACCUCUCUCUCUCUCUAUUUUUUCUCCUUUCUAAAUUCUCUCUUUCUCUCACUAAAGUUCGCUUCAUCUCUCUCCCUUAUUUAUCUCCUUUUCUCUUCUUAUCUUUGAAUUUGGGUUGGAUGGUUCUUUAAAAAGUUUUUUGUUGUUUUUUAUUUUUUCCGGGUUUUGUUUGUAAUUGUUUGAUUGCAAAAGAAGCUGAUUUUUUUUUUUUUGUUCUUUUGUGGAUUCUGGGUCUUGUUCUUUGUCAAGUUUGCUGAAGAGAGAAAUGGCAGUAAGCUUUUAUCUUUUAUCUUUUUCUUUUUUUUCUGGUUCUUUUGUAGUUUUUGCUUUGGUUUAGUUUACAUUAUUCUUCUGUUUGUUUCCUGAGAAACUUGCAAAAGACGAAAGAAAGAUGGAAAUUGUGAAUUUUUUUGCUUUGUUGUGUUAUGUCAUUUUUAUUUUAUCAGGUAAGCUAAGCAAGAUUGUUGCUUUUUAUUUUUUUAGUUCUUUAAUUGAGUUUUUAUAUGAUCUAUUUGAGAUUCUUUAUAAUGAAUUUUGUUUUUGUUUUUUUUUUGACGUAAUUGAUUUAUAGAAAUAAGCUUAGAAUGGUUGAGACUAUGGUCUUUUAUGUUGUUGAUUCUUUAUUGAUGUAUUUUAGGAUGAACUUAUAUAAAACAUGAAUGAUUAUUUUGUUGAUCUGGUUUUAUGAUGUAUAGUUUCCAAAAUAUGGAUCAAAUUACCUUAUAAAAUUUUGUUUUUUUUUUUUUUUAAAUUGAUAAAUAAUAAUGCAAAAAUUAAAGCAUCUGACAAUGUGGAUUAAAAAGGAUAAAGAAGAUGAAGAAAAUUCACAAUUUAAAAUUUAAGUUUCCUCUUGAUUGCUAGAGGGGUUUGCUUGUGGAGAAGGUUGUAGAAUGACUAUGAAUCCAGAAAGAAUAUGAAAAAAUAGAGAACAGGAAUAAUUUGGUUUAGAUUUUUUUUUUUUUUUGGAUGUACGAUGGAUUAUGUUGAUUAUGUGAGCCCAUUGAUUAGGACCAUUAUUUCCUGUCAGUUACUUAUUGGAUGACACAUGUGUUGAUUAAUAUUGCACCGAUGGACUUCAUGUGACAAAUAUUAGGUAAGUUUUACUGAUAGCUAUGUGCCUAUCUCCACUAGUUUCUUAUGAUCACAAAAGAAGGAUGUGAGUCAAAGCACCUUAAACAGGAAAAUACCUCAAUAUUGUUGUCAAAAUUCAGAACCAAUAAUGAUCAUUAUCUAAUGUUCAUAUAGAGGGACCACUUCAGGACUUGAUUGAAAAUUUUUCAUUAUAUUUACAUAAUACUAAAGUGUUUAUCUUCUACUCGAGUUCAUUGUUUUUAUUUGAACAAACUUAGUGUUGUGAAUUAAGAGGGUUCAAGCAGAUUUGUUUGAUUUCUGAGUUGUUUCCAUUGAUUAAACAUGUGCUGUUUACAAAGUCGCAUUUAGUUGAUAGUAUAUUACUUGCAUUUCUAAUAUCUUGAUAGGGUGUUCUAUUGUUUAGUGAUGUAGUGCAAUGACCUCUUAGGAGCCCUUUUGCCUGAGACCUGAAUUUGUCUUCUUAGCUAGUUUGAUAAGAUGAAAUUGAUGUUCAAAAUUAAGAGUUAUUCUUUAAUCUUUUUUGAGAGGUACUUUCUUGUUUUAGAGUUUAGCUUUAACAGUGGAAGGAUUUUUUUUUUUUGCCGGAGGAGCUUGAAUAUCAUUUUUUUACCACUGGUGUGCUGUAUGACCUGCAAAAAGGGAUUAGUAACACAUUAUAUGCAUAUUUGUCCCUCUUGUUCAUCGUUUUUUACCUAAUUUAUGAACAAUCCUUUUCACUUGUUUUGAUAAAAGUAAUCAAAACAGCUAAAUAAGCCUUUGGAUUUGGUCAAUGGCCAAAUGCAUUUCCUGGUCAGUUAUUUUUAUCACCUCCUAUCCAAGCAGAAUAAAACUUUAUUGGAAGUUUCAUAGUUAGAAAUUUUAGAUUUGUGUUCAGUUUCUGAAUCAAAUGAAAGUGAUUUUAAGCUAUCUUCUGUUCACUUGCAUAUUCUUAUCUUCCCGAUCUAUGUAAUUUUGUUGUAACUAAAAAUCUUUUGGAACCAUAUAAACAUCAUUUAUACAUCUAUGACAAGAAGCAUAAUUAGAUUACUUCUUCUCCUGCCUGACUGUCCCUUAUUUCAUCCUUAUUUAAGUUCAUACUAGAAUGGUAACUUUCUGUGGUGCUCAUUUGGUUUUCUGAAUCUUCCGAAUGAAUUAUCCAAUGGAAGAUGAAUUGGUCGAACUUGUAUUCUAUUCAACCUUAGGUUCCAUGAAAAGAAUGGGCUAGGUAGAUUCAACAUUGAUUGAAUAAAAUAAAAACAAUAAUUAUAUUGAUCACACUCUGCAAUACAGAAAACCUUUUUGUCUGAUUUACUUCUAGCAAGAAUAAUAUCUUUCCAGCCUUACUCUUCAAUUGAUAUUUAAAAUGUUGAAACAACUUUGAACAAUUUGAUGGAGGCAAGCUUUUAAGCAGUGUGAAGACAGAAAGCUUAAGAGUUAUGCCACUUUUGAACAUGUAUUAGCCAAAAUUAAUUCUUGGUGAACAUUAAAUUAUAUACAUGCUCGUCUUUUUGUUUGUUGACAAUAAGACAUGUAUUGUCUAUUAUCACAAAUUCAUUGCGUGUUUGAUUUCUUUUGAGGUGAUAAAAUAUAGUGUUUUACCCUGAAAUUUGAACUUUGUGGAAAAUCUUCUGGCUUUCCUAUUUUGAGCCAUCUUUAGGUGUAAGGAUCUUGGAAUUAUUUUUGCUCCAUCUCUGAUCUGCUAAUCUUUGUCCUCAUUGAUGAUAAAGGAGAAUUUUGCUUUUGUCUUAUCUAAUAACAAGCUUUUGUUGCCGUUGCAGCAACGUUCUCAUGUACCCAAGUUUGGCAAUUGGGAGAAUGAAGAGAACGUUCCCUACACAACUUUUUUCGAUAAGGCCCGUCAGGGUCGCAGUGGAGGAAAGAUUGUAAACCCGAACGAUCCCCAAGAGAGCCCAGACUUACAUCACGAUUAUGUAGCUCCAUCUAGUGCUCCUCCUGCUUCAAGAGCAAAACCAGAAUUGGAUGAACAGGUAGGACAUGGACCUGCUAGAAGGGCACAUGAGCGUGGAAGGAGCAGGGAAGAAGGUGAACUCAGACUCUAUGCUGACUCUCCAGCACGUCAUGACAAUGUCAACCGUAGAGCUUCUGGGGACUCUACAGCUUCACGUUAUGGUCGUGGAGUAAGUUCUGGUGAAGCCACAAAACGACCUACAAGACCAAGUAUUGGAUCUGAAAACAGCAUAGAUAAAUCACCACUCCAUCACCGGGCACGGAUCACAGGGAGUGGUAGCAUGGCAUCACCUGCAUGGGAAGGAAAGACUUCAUAUGAUAGUAGCCAUGGUACUCCUGGGAGAUCCAGAUUGAGGCCAAGUACUAGAGGCGAUGAAAGCGUAAAUUAUCGUUCUUCUUCCUGUCAUUUUAUUCUGUCAUAAAUAGCAUAAAAAUAAUUGUUGUGGAUCUACUGGUUGGCUUGAAAAAGCCAUUCCAUUUCCUUCUUAUUACAUGUUGCUUAAUAAUUUUCUUCAUUUUCUUUUUCUUCUUUUCCUAAAAGGGUCAAACGUAAAGCAUAGCAUAUGCAUAGCUUAUCAACAACUUGAAGUCUUCAGGAUUGGCAGCCUACACGGCACUUGCCUCAUGAAAACCUUCUCUAUCUUAGAUCAUGUUCUCAUCCAGGAGGAAAUUUUUUUCUUUUACUUGAAUAUUUUUGUACAACUUGAUAAAGCAUCAUAAUUGUAAUGCAUUAUGCCUGUCUUAUUCGGCUUGGGAUUGAUUUUGUGAACCUUUGCUUUUAUAUCUCCUCUUUGCCCUUUCCCCAGAUGAUGACUCCUUUUGAGACAAAUUGAUCCAAAUGUAAAAAAUGUCACUUUAUUUAAGUUUGUUAUUUUCAUAAAGCUUGUCACUAAUAAUCUGGUAUCUGAUGUCACAGCCUGAAAAAGGUGCUGCUGUUCCAAAAUUUGGUGACUGGGAUGAGAACAACCCAGCAUCAGCUGAUGGUUAUACUCACAUUUUUAAUAAGGUGCGAGAAGAGAGGAACAACGUGGGCAGGGUACCAGGCAUGCCGGGUGAGCAAUCUCCAUACAACACUGAUCGGAAUCGGAAGCCAACUAAUAGCAGUGCUAAGGUAUGUUGUUUGGGAACCUCACCAAACACUUUGAUUGCUGUGCCUCUAGUCUCUGAAAAUCUUAUAAACACAAUUCCUAAUUUUGUAUUUCUUCAUUUCCCCCAGAGUUGCUGCCUUCCAUGGUGCAGGAAAUGAGGCCCUGUGAAUUUGUGGUUUUGUUAUAAGUUGUGUGCAAUAUUGUAAAUACAUUGAAGGCUCCUUCAACACAGUAAUUUCAGUGAAGUCGCGGUUGCUAUCUCUACGUAUGUGUGCUUUUUUUGUUAUGAUGAACAUAGUAUUCUGUUUGGUAAACAUGUAUUUUUCGCCUUUCUCUCUGUCAUCAUCUAUUUUUCACUCUUAGCUUGUCUUUUGUGUACCUAUACCACUUUACAUUGCAGUUAUCUUUGGUUAGAAAACACCAGAUGCAGAUUCUUUAAUUGUAUUCUAAAUGUAUGGUGUCCAUAUUUGCGCUUCCAAACUGAGAGUGCUGUGAUUGAAGUUUUUAACUAGGUUAUCCGCUCAUAUAAUUGUUUCAACUCUAGGCUGUUUGCCAAUUGCCACAGACACAUCAAUUCCUGUUUUAAAACCUACUCAGUGCUCAUCAUAUUUUUUAAGUGUGUUUGGAUUGAUGGGAGAGUAAGAAAAAGAAAGUAAGUAAAGUAAAGGAAACAAAACCUCCUUUUGGAUAAAUAUUUAAUUUUAAAAAAAUGAAAAUCAAAUAAUUUUUGUUUUCGUUAUAAACUCAAAUUUUUUAAUAUUCAAUUUGGAGAAAAAGCUAAAGAAAGUAAAGUUGAAAAUUUUUUUUUUAUAAAAAUAUUAUAUGUUUAUAUUUUUAUUAAUACUAAAAGUUUAGUAAAAAAAUUUAAGUAGAUCAUAAUAAUCUUAAAAUUUUUUUCAAAGUUAUAUAUUUUUUAAGUAAGUUUCAUAUAUAUCUUUCAAUAUAAAAUUUUUUUAUAAUUUUUGAUGAUUUGAUUUUGAUGAAUGAUUAAAUAUAAAUAAAUAUAUUUUUUAGGUUUAUGAAAUAUCAGAUUAACUCAAAAUUUAUUAAUAUAUAUUUGUAAAAUAUCUUUUUGUUUCAUUUGAUUAAAAAUUAUUGAUAUAAUAAUAACUGUACAAAAUAAUAAAUAUAUUAUGAUUCAUGAGUGUUUUAAAAUUACAAGCAAUAAAAAAUUAUAAUUGAAAAGAAUUAUUAUAAUUGAUUUUUUUUUCAUUAUCUAUCCAAACAAUAAUUAUUAAAUUUUUUUAUUAAUUUUAAUUAUCUAAAUAAGAGUUACAUGUAUCAUCUUAUUAUUUUUUAAAAUUUUUUUAAAUUUUUUUUAUUAAUAUUUAUUCAAAUGUAGAAUUAAAGGAGCUUCGAUAAGCUACCAUUGUUUUGUUUUUACUAUUAACCAGGCAUGGAUAAUGGAUGAAUAGAAUUAGGAUGUAAGGAAUCAGGUAUCAGUGCAUCAGGCUCACGGCAUGUAUUUUUUCUUUAAGCUUCGAAUCAGGUUGGCAAUCCAAUCCAAAUUCAUCAGAUUUUAACCCAAUCCGAUCCUAUUGAGUUUUUUUUUUUUUUUUAAUCUGAUUUCAGAUUAGGUUUUAUAUAUAUAUAUAUAUAUAACAUUUUUUUUAUUUGUUUAAUUUUAUGUUUAUAUUUAAAAAAUAAUAUUUUAUUAAUUUUAAAUUAAAACGUUUAAGAUUUUAAUUUAUGCACAUAGAAGUUGAAUUGAAUAUAAAAAUAAUAUUUUAAUAUUAAAUCAGAUUAAAUUCAAAUAUUUAUUAUUUAAAGUUGAGAUCAGUUCUCAUCUGAUCCAUUACAAUCUACAUUUAAUCUCAUUUUUCAAAGCUUUGACCUGUCAAUAGAUGAUUAAUUAUGUAUUUUUUUGAUAUAAUUGUUAGGAGUUUGAAAUUAUUGAUUUGAUUAAAUUCAAAUUUUAAUGUAAUUGAUUUAUUCGAUCAUUAUUUUUAAAAGAUACCAUUAUAUAAGUAUGAGGUCGUAAUUUAAAUAUAAGAGAAAGUUACAGAUGCUACAAUUUGAAUCAGACUUGCUUAAUGUUGCUUGAAUCAAAGUCAAUUUUCUAAUUCAAAUUUUGAGAUGCAGUUAUUAAAUUGGAAAAGAAAAAAAGUCAAAAUUGACCGGGCCCUCUAAAAUCUACAAUGUUACAAGUUGUAGACAAGCGAAACUUAACACGUUAGGCAGUCGGCAGUACCAUUUGUCCUUUAUUUCAUUUUCUACGCAAAAGCAAUUCAAUCCUGACCGUUGAUUUUUAAAGCAAGCAAACGGAUAACAAAGAACAACAAUCUGACGGCGUCAGUCAAACUUAAGAGCGCCAAAAUUUCGCGGUCGCUCAAAACAAUUCAAAUUUCAACAAAAUCCCCAAAAUUCAAAAACCAACAUAACGUCACGAUUAAACAAAAUAUAGCUUCCUCCAUUUCUCUCUUUCUUUUGCUCUCAGAUCUGAUAUUCAAAAUAAGAUAAGAAAAAAAAAAGGGCAGAGAAAUUUCACCAUUAUUUUUCUUCAAUCCCAGGUACUUAAACCAAUCUUAUAUUCCAGAUUUCAAGUGAACUGUUCCUCUUCUUGGAUUGUUCUUCUCUAUUUUUAUUGUAUCACAAAUUUGCAAUUUGUUUUUUCUUGGUUUCAUUUUAUUGUACGUUUGGAAUUGCCUCAAUUUUAUGAAUUUUUGUGUACCCAAUUGAACUUAAUAUGUAUCAAAUUAUACUAUGAGCUGCUUCUUUUAGAUCUUAGAUUUGGGGUGCAAUCUAGAGAAAUUAUGUGAAAAAAAAGAGGGCAAUUUUCUUGCUGGGUCUUAAGCUUUUUCCCAAAACCCCCCGUUUUUGUUACUUGCCCAAGAAAAACUUCCAAUUUUCUAUCUAUUUUGAGUACCCAAUUAAGGGAAAAGAGAGAAAAUGGUGAGGGAGGGAACAGUGGAAUCAUUUUACGCAAGGCUUAGAGAAUCGGUUAGGGCAUCAUCUCUCUCUCCAUUACUCAUAUUCCCAUCAACCUCUGACGUGGACUCUCUCUGUGCUCUCAAAAUCAUUUUCCACAUUCUUGAAUCUGAUUCUGUCCGGUACUCGUGUUAUCCGGUGUCUUCUUUUCAAGAAAUCCAAGAAUACGCUGCUUCUGAAUUGAGUUCUUCCUCUGAGGGCCCUGUUACCAUACUUUUGACAAAUUGGGGAUGCCACCGUGACCUCCAGAAGGAUCUUAAGUUAGGGUCAGCUGCGCGGGUUUUCGUUGUUGAUAGUCAUAGGCCGAUUCAUUUGCAUAACUUGAGUGACCAGAAUGAUCAGGUGGUUGUUCUCUAUGCUAAUGAUGAUGAGCGAUUAGCUGAUCUGGCGUAUGAUUUCGAAGUUAUGGAGUUGGCAAAUGCUAGCUAUUGUUUGCAUAAUUCAGAGUUGGAUAGUGAAGAAGAUGAAGAUAGUGAAAGCGAGGAUGAAGAUGAGGAUGAUGAGGAGGAAAGAGGACCCAGGGAUGGCUCUAGGAAACGAAGAAGAAUGUCUUCGGAAGGUGAAGAAGAGCCAGCAUCUCGGCGUUUUAAGAGAUUGAAAAGGGAUUAUUAUCGGAUGGGAACUUUCCAUGGCAAGCCAUCGGGGUGUUUGAUGUAUGAUUUGUCGCAUUCUUUAAGGAAAAACACAAAUGAGUUGCUUUGGCUGGCUUGUGUUUCACUUACUGAUCAGUUUGUUCAUGAGAGGCUAACAGACGAGAGGUAUGAAGCUGGGGUUAUGGAGCUUCAGCAGCAUAUUAACAGUUUAGGGAAUUUAGAUGCAGUUACUUCAGUGACUCUUAAAGAUGGGACCAAGGUUCGAGCACCUGAUUCCUCAAGAAUUGCCUAUGAAGAAGAACCAAGACUUAUGUUGUUAAGAGAGUGGAAUUUAUUUGAUUCAAUGCUGUGCUCCUCGUACAUUGCCCCUAAGUUGAAGACUUGGAGUGAUAAUGGUAUGAAAAAGCUUAAGCUUCUUCUUGCACGGAUGGGAUUUGCCCUUGUGGAUUGCCAGCAGAAGUUUCAGUACAUGAAUUGUGAAGUAAAACAAAAGAUGAAAGAUCAAUUUGAACAAAUUUUGCCUGAAUAUGGACUUAAUGAUUUCUACUACAAAAGUUUCUUGCGUCUUCAUGGUUAUACUUCAAGGAUUUCAGCUGCAGACAUGGUAUAUGGGGUUACCGCACUGCUUGAAUCAUUUGUGCAAUCAGAUGGCUCUUGUGCUUCGAAGCAGUUUGGUGAGGCACAUGAUGCACUGUCCCUCAGUAAUCUUGAUAAGCUGAAAGCUGGAAUGGAGCAAGCAAUCAAGAUACAAAGAGCUAUUCUUAGGCAAGGAAGUGCCUCAAUAACAAAGAGUGGCUGUGUCAGGAGUGGGAGAAAGUUUAGGUGGGUGAAGCUUGAAGAUUCAGAAGAUACAAAGCUGUUGGGUCACCCCCAGGCUCUGACUAAGUUCUGCUACUUUCUAAUGGAUGCCUUGAAGGAGAAAGGAGCUAGGUUGAAGCCUUUGCUUUGUGCCUGCAUACAAGAGCCAGCUAAGGUGUUGAUUGUUGGGGUCUGUGGAAAGCCUCGUCUUGGAGCACUUCAAGGGAAUGCGUUUGGUCUUGCAUUCAGGAAUGCCGCCGAGGAAACUGGAGCUGAAUUCUUUCAUGAGCUCUUUGAAUCUUCAUGGAUUGUGUUGGAUGCAGGUGCUGUUAAUUCCUUCAUGGUCAGACUAACUGAAAAGCUUUGAUGUAAAGCUUUCAAUAUGUGCGCAAUAUGUAACUUUGUUGUGUUCGGUGUUCUCAAAAGGAAAACAUUUGUUCAUUACUUUAAGUGAGUAAUUUUUAGAUUGUUUGAAAUUAUUCAUAAAUAAAAAUCUAACUUGACUUCCUCAAGAAUGGUUACAUACUUUCUUCCUUUAUCUCGUUUUUCUUCUGAUCACUAACCAAUCAACAGAAGUUGAUCAUUGAAGGGAAGCUGCAUAUGCACAUGAUAUGAUAAUACUAGCACUUAUCAGUACCAAGAUUUUUGCAUUUAAAAUGUCGAGUGUUCAUGUGAUAUUGAAAAACUUUUACAUCAUCAAGAAGCAGACGUUUCAGUAAAUCGUGAUAAGGUAUGAAAACCUUUUCAAGCUCCGGCCAGUAGAUGGGGGCUUGAAAAGAGUUCAGCAAUGAAAGUGAUAGGUAACCAGCAGAAAAAAAAAAAAAAAAAAAACGCAAUCUUGGCCAAAAUCUUUCCUGGUUCGUUUACAAGCACUCUUGGAUUCUUCUUCACAACCUGGGCGAUUUAAGCAUUGUUGAGCCCAUACAUUUUGAGAAGGUUAAGGGCUGAAUCUGGCUUCUCGGAACUUCUAAACUUUUUAACUUCUGGGAGACAGAUUCUAAAGACAACCCACGUGAGUUUAUGAGGUAAGAGACUGUAAAAGAGUGAACCCAAUUAUCUAAUUUUUAUCUCCAAAGAUGGAGAAACUGGUCUGACAAUAAACAAGGCAAUAAUUUGAAGAAAACCCAGAUUAGGAACCAUCGGUUGCAAUCUUUUACCAAGGAAACCAAACAUGAUUGACUCACCAGGUUAAAACUGAAACUAAGCCAGCUUUUCCAAAUGCAUCUAUAGUUACUGAAUCAUCCUUUUUCCAAUAAUGAAGGAACUUCGCCUUUUCUUUUUGAUCUUAAGGACACCAACUGGCAAACAGCAGUAGAGAGAAAACCUUAGGCCAGGGUUUGGUCCUGUUGAAAACUUGGGCCACGAUAUUAAAUAUCCUUGAAAUUGUUUUUAGUAGUAAUUUAUAAUUAGUAGAAAUCAGUAGUUAAUUUCAGAUUUAAUUUAAUUUAUAUAAUUAUAUUUUUUAAAAAUAUUUAUAAACUUUCAUUUGAUUACGGUCUUUUUUUAUAUAUAUAAAAUAUGACAUCAGUAGUAUAUUUUAAACUGAUAGUAUCUUGCAACUUAUAUUAAAGAUGAAAUGUAAUUCUUCAACUUUAAUUUUUACUAAUCAAAGUUACGCAAAGUAAUUAGAGGAUGUAAGUUAAAUUAUUAAAUUUUUAUUCAUAAUUAUCAUUUGAAGCAAAAACAAUAAGUUUUAAUUGGAUGAUGAAUGAAAUAUUUGAAUUCAAACUCCAUUUAGAACAAAUGCCAAAGAUGGUGAUUUUACUACCAUAUAUAAAUUAUUUAUAACAAAUGCCAAAUAUAGAGAUUUUACUACCAUAUAUAAAUUAUGAGUUUAUAUUUGAUAUAUUAUUGGUAUAUAAAUUUUAUAUAUUAUCGAUAAUAUUAUCUUAUUAAUGAAUAAAAUUUAAAAAAAAAUUAAUUUUUGAUAUAAUUAUUUUAAAAAUUAAUAUUUACUCAUUAAUGAAAUGAUAUUAUUUUAUUUACUGAUAAUAUAUAAAAUUAAUACUAAUAUAUCAAAUAUAAACUCAUAAAUUAUUACCAAUAUUUUAUAUAUCUAAUGUCUAAUUUAUUUUUGAAAUUAUAUAUAAUUUUUAAUAUAUGUGAAAAACAUAUAUAGUAUCAAAAUAAUUGAUAAUAAUGUAAUAAAAAAGGUUUAAUAGCUUUCUCAUCUCAUAAAUUUUAUUUUAUUUUUUCAAAAUUUUGAUUUUCACUUCAUAAUUUUUUUAUGUUAACAAUUAAUCUAAAGUAUUAUAAAAAUAAAUAGUAAAAUAAUUUUUUAUUUACUUUUAAAUUAUAUAAUUGAUAUUUAAAAAUUAUAAAUUUAAAAUAAUUUAUAUACGUAAUUUUUUUCAAUAAUGUAAAUAUAAUAAUAAAAAUUAGAGUCGACGGAGAAUUUAAAAGAAAAUAGUAAAAUAAAUAAGAAUAUAUUAUAAAAUAUUACUCUACGAUUAUUGUACUGUUCACAGUCAAACAAAUGUUGUUUGUACCAAAAAAAGCGUAAAAAAAAUUGGACGCGCGUUGAAACAGCAUUGGAAAAUCACGCGUUGCAUAUGGAAGCAAAUACGUAAUAAGUAUAAUAAUCGAAAAAGAUCACGCUACGUGGAGCUGUCAAGCUCACACCGACCGCGCGUGUGUAAGAGGACAAACAAUUUCCAUGUUUGUGCGUCGCAGUUUCUCUCCAUCUUCUCAUACUAAUUGAAAAUCUUUUCCCUGUUUAAAAACCCUAGACAGGGAAGAUUUUCAUAAGGUCUCUUGGCUUAGCUCGUUUUCUUCGAUUCUUCUUUAUCUUUUUGAGGGAAAACUUUUGAAUUCUCGAAGCGCUUCGAUUUCGCUAGGAUUUCAAGGUAAGAUUUUGAUCUCUCAUACUCUGUCUCUCUCUCUUGUCAAAUUGUUUUCUUAUCCCAAUCCGUCUGGAUUCAAUGGAUCGGUGUUGUGAUUGAUGUUCCAUUGUUAAGGUUUUGGGAUUUUUAAGGCUACAUUUUGUUGCGAUUGAUGUGUGUUCCUAAAUUUAAUCGGUUAAAUUUCUUAAAUUUUAAUUUUUUUAUUCGAUCAUCGCUUGAUCAUAGUUAAUUGCUUGUGGGUUUUUUUAAAAAAUCUUGCCAGUGGUUCGAAUUUGAAUUUUGAUUAAAUUUAUCCCAUUUUUAUAAUAAUGGUUUUAUGGCAAGUGAUUGUUCAUUAUGCUGUAGCUUUUCAUAAAUUUUCUUAAUAAACAAAUCGUCCUGGAAAUUUGACAAUCAUUGGUUAAACUGAUUUGCUGCUAUUUAGACUUUGAAGGAAGCAAAGUUUGUGAAAAAGGUCACUUUUUUGCUAAAAUAUUAUUCUAAUUAAUAUUCACAUAUAUAUCUUUCACUGUUUUUAAUUUAAAAAAAGUUUUCAGAGAAUAAAUUGUCUGUCUGUGCAUUUUCUAGACUUUUUUCGUAACGAGGCUUGUUUGCUUCGGAGGUGUUACGAUCCAGAUUGAACUCGUUAUGUUUUAGCAAGUUUCUUAAAACUUUCCAGUGUUAUUUUUCUCGAGAAGCUAAUUUAAUCUUUUAGCUCUCAAAUCAAGUAAAAGAAUUGAUUGCUUUUAGUGAAAAGUUGAUAUUAUAUUUACGGUGAACAUAUCUGUGAAAGGUGUUUUUUUAGUCUUUUAGGUUUUUUUGAGGCUGCUAUAUUUGGAUAGUGCAUAGAAUAAUCAUAAGCAGAGCAUGAGCACUCUUGAAGUUAGGGGCCCUCCUCUUAGAGGGUAUCGACGGAGGAAGGCAGUGUUGGAUCUAAAUGUUCCUCCCAGUGAAUUAAGGGAACAGGAGGGUACUUCGCAACAGGCUGGCCCUGAGGAAGUCUCUAGCCAGCCUGUACAGCCUGCGCCACCUGCCACUAUUGAUGUUGAGGCUAUUGAUGAUGAUGUAAUUGAAUCUUCUGCUAGAGCAUUCGCUGAGGUAUGCUUCUCUUGUUCAAUAAUUUUUUAUUUUCACUUUAACUGUAUAUGAAAUCUGUUUUUAUGGAUUCAUUUGAACCAUGAGUGUUUCUAAUUUUCUUGGGAUUUUAUGUCAGGCUAAAAAAAAUUCAAGGAGGAUCUAUGGAAGGACUGUUGUUGAUGUAGAUUCAGGUAGUUAAACUUGUGAGGGAAGGACGGUUAUAAUAUUUCCUUUUCCAUCAUGUGCUACUUGUCAUAUGCUUGUUGCAUAGCAAAGCUUAUUUUGAUGCACCACCUUGUAAAUUCAUUCUAUUUAUCUGCAUGAGGUCAAAAUAUUCCUUGUUAAUUACAUUGUUGAGGCCCCGUUAAUGUAAGAAUCUGAAGGUACAUAUCCUGUAGAUUUCAAUAUCUGUCUUGGUUUAGGUGCUUCGGUAUUUUUUUUUAUUUAUUUUUUUGAGUUCAGGGUCCUUAUGACAAAUGAACCUACCCUUAAAUUGUUCAAUUAUCUUGAGUUAUAGUUCAUUUUUUCAUAUUUGAUAAAUAUAAAAUUAUUAACUAGAGUAGGAAAGGAACCUGGAUUUAUUCUCUGCAAAUGAAGUUUCUGAAAGGGGACAAAUUGGAAACAAAACAAUCAUGCUUCAGUUAACCAAACACAAUGUAAUCCAAGUGAAAAUCUAGGUGACAUUAAGCUGAUGGAUCAAAUUUUUUUUUUUGUACUUUUGAAAAUUGCAUUAAAAUGGAAAUAAAACUGCUGGUACUGUUGUAAUUUUACUUUGCUUUACGAUGUCCAUAUUUUCUCAGAAUAUCUAGUUGGUUUGGUUGUUUUGUAUUAAGAAUUAGUGAGCACUGAGCCGCAAACUCCUAUUGUCUACUAAUGUAUUUGAUGACUCUGUAGUCUAUACUAGUUUGUUGAAGGGAUUGUAGAUAUACUGUUUUUAAAGCUAGCUGUUUGUCUGGUUUGUUGAGCCAUAAAUUCUCUGGUUUUUAAAGCUAGCUUCGGGGCCAGUGGCUUGUGAAGUGGGGUUUACUGUUUGUCAAUGGCUCAAACACUAGAAUAAAACAAAUCCAACCUCAAUUGACGUAGAUGUUAUUGCUUGGCAACUCUCUGGUCCAGUCCAAUCUUAUGUUACUUAUGUGACUGGGAAGGUCAACCAAUUUAGAGAUUUGUGGAUCUUCUUUUACUUCAUUUAUCUUUGUAGUUGAACCCCUAGAUUACUUUGUCUGAAGUUGGUGUGGCUUACAUUUCUCUCCUUCCAGGACGGCUGGCUAGGUCAACUAAUAAUAAUCAGAACAAGCGCAGAAGACUUCCUCCGAGCCCAACAGUUAUCAAUUGUGAUCAUUAUAUCAAUUUGGAAAGCACGCCACAGUCUAUUGUAAGAGCUCUUUUCUUAGUGCUUUAUUCAAAAGAUGUAACUUAAAUAACUUAAAAUAUUUUCAAGGACAAGAAUAUACAUAUUUGGCUGGUCAUUAGAUCUAAGACAUUGUGAUUGGACAUCUCUCUUUAUUUUUGUCCAUGCACGUGUUCUCAUGUAGGUGCAUCCCUUCUUUUUAUUAAAUUUAUGAAUGUUUAAGACUCAUUAACUAAUUUAUUGUCAGGUUGAGGAAACUAUAAAGCCGCAACCACCUCCAAAGGAACCAACCUUCAAUUGUCCAAUUUGCAUGGGUUCAUUAACCGAGGAGAUGUCAACAAGGUGUGGGCACAUUUUCUGCAAGGCAUGCAUUAAAGCUGCAAUAGCUGCACAGGGAAAAUGCCCAACCUGUAGGAAAAGAGUCACUGUGAAGGAACUAAUUAGGGUCUUCCUUCCAUCAGCCAGUUGAAUAUGAGCUUCAUGCCAACUAGUAACGUAAGUUUCCUAUUCUAUCUUUUUUUAAGGUUAAAUUUCCAUAAGGAAAGAAAAUGAAUUCAUAGAUUGUGAAAGUGAAUUAUAUAUGGUGAAUAUUCAUUGUGGAAGACAUGCAUAUCUUUCUCAUGCGCUUGGAUGCUGUAUUUUCAUGGAUGAGGGCUUUAUCUAAAUCUAUAUCUGAUAUGUUACUCUGCUAUUUUUCCAAAGCAUUUUGUUUACUGUAGUGGUGCCGGGCUUGAAGAUGUUGUUUUAACUUUGUUGAUAUGUGGCAGCUUUCUAAAUGCUAUUAUUUAUUCUUUUAAAUUAUGUUGUGAUGAUGAUUGUUGUUUUAUUUCAGGGAUAAUACAAACUGCCCUUGAAAAGAGAAAGAAUCAACAGAUUUGGUGUCAGUGGAACUAUUUUUUGAAUUUUGGAAUUUCUAACGUGCAUGUUUAAAACAAUGUUUCCAUGGACUAUCUUUUUGAUUAGUUAUCUGAGCGGGCUUUUUUGCUUUCAAAUAUGUAUGCAAAUCUGCCAGUUGAUAACUUGUUCAGCUCAGCUUCAUUGUUAUUUGAACUAAACUUGGACUUGACAACUUUUUUAUAUGUACAGUAAAAGAAAUUAAAAUCAAUGAUUUAUUAGGUUACCUGUGUUUGGUCCCUUGUAUUGCUAAGGUUCAUGAGCCGAUUGGUCUUGGUCGACUGCCUGUUUUUGCGGAGCAGGCAACCAUCAGCCUUAGGCUUGAGUUAGGCUGAAUUAGCUCUGUUAACUGUAUUCUUGAUGAACAUGGAGGGUGUUACAGUUCACACUAAUUUGUGAGUUAUUGUUUGUUUUGGUCUGUUAGUGUCACGAUUUUAUUUUAUAAAAGUCGUUACACAAGUUGAAGAGUUGUGAAUUUUUAUAUUUUAAGAUUAACUUUAUUACACAGUCGAUAUAAUAUUUAUAAUUCUUUUUUAGGAUCAUGAUAUUUUCUCUCACUUCAAUAGAAGUUUACCAUCUUCAAUGGCAUAUCGUUAGUACCUUUAGAAUCAGUUCUAAUAUCAAAUGUUAUGGUUUACAUUAACUUGUGAGAUAUUAUUCGGUCUGGUUUGUUAUUUUUAUGAUUUUGUCUCACAAAAAGUUUUUCAUAAGUUGAAGAUGUGUAAAUUUUUAUAUUUUAAGAUCAAUUUUAAUAUACAGUAUAUGUCAUAUUCAUAAUUCUUCUUUAAGAUCAUAUUAGAGGGCCUGAGGAUGAUUGUUGGUAGGCUGUUUGUUUUAAAUCUAUUAAAAUACAUUUUUGAAGAACGCUUUUAAUUAAUUGUCGAGAGAUGGUCAUAAAAAGGAACAAGAGCAGCUUGUUAACUAAUUUAUUCAAGUGCAAAGACACUUGAGAUAGCCAUUGCUCAUGUAGGUGGUACAAUAACUACAACGAGCCAAUCCCCUAGUUGACUCUCUUUAUUAAGAUCUAUAGACCAUGAUGGCAAGCUCUCUCUCUGGUCAUGGGGAUUGGUCGAUGGCAUUGCCUUCACCUUCAGUCACUUCUGUUCGCUUUUCAUCAGCCUUACUCAGCGCUGCCCUAGCUUUAGGUGCCCCAAGGAAUGCCAACAGACCUCCGCAGCAUCCUCCAAGCCAAGGUGGCUUGACCAAGGGAAGUGGCCACCCAAAUAAAGGAAGACCCCAAGGACCAAGGAGACUUUGCGGACUGUAAACUUCGUCUUUCGCCGGUAUAUCCCUCGCCCCUUCAGUCAGAAGAAUCGCCAAAAGAAAGAGAAGGAGAACGGAUGUUGCCUUGGCCAUUUUCCUCUCCAUACUGGACUUUUGCUUCUGUCUCUCACUCUUUUGCUUGGCGAGUCUACUUCCAUUCCACCCUCGUUUUAUAGUGCGAUUCUGAUGGUUUAGUAGCUUGACUUGGGGAGAUUGUAAUUACUGCAUCAUGCAAUGGGGAGCUUGGUUCUUUUAGAAACCUUAAAAUAACCAACCACCCAUUGGCCAUGGCAGGUGAUGGUGGUGCUUAACGCUGCAGACCCCAUCAUUUGCUAUCAAUGUUUUACGUCUUAGGUUGUUCGGAUCGUCGUAGAUGAAAAUUUUAAGCAGCUUCAUUGGCGGCUAUGGCCCCCCCAAAAGAUUAUAUUGGUGUAAAUAGGAUUUGCUUUGGGAGUAAAGCCUUACCAUUUCCAUGGAGCUUUCUGAUGGCUAAAAUUCGUAUAGUAGUUACUUUUGGAAGUGAAGAUAAAGUGGUUGGAUAUCUACCUCAUCUCCCAGUGAGGAGCUAGCGGUGCCUUCAAUUCAUGGAAGAAAUUGAUGCUUUUUCUCAUUUCAUAUGGAAGAUUGGCUUGUUUAACAAACGAAAAAAAAAUUAUUUUUCAAUCAAGUCGACUGGUAGAAAUCAGAACUAUAGGUAGAUUCCUUGACGAAAAUUUUUGUUUUUGUCAUCAAUUUAAAAUAAAUUAAACAAAAAUUAAGAUGAAAAACCUGAAUGAAAACAAUUUUAUGAUAAAUCAUGUUGAAAUAAAGUUAUUGAUACUGUACAUGUAUCGGCCUGUACAUAUAAGUAAUGAGAAAAAUUGAUAGAAUAUUUAAAUUUAUGUAUGGUUUUAUUUUUUGUAUUGAUUAGCAUAAGAUUUUAUCUAUUAUUUUUUUAAAAAAAUUAUUUAUUUUAUUCUUUUAAUCCAUCCCUAACCUUUCAUGAUCAUUGUUAUUUUUUCGUAAAUUCAUUCAAAAAUAAUACAUGUUAAUUAAGUUCAUUAAGUUAUUGAACAAUAAUUUAUUAUAUUUUAUAUUUUUAAAAUCUAUUUUGUGUAUACAUAAUGAAAAUGUAUUUAUAUGUAUAUAUAUAUAUAUAUUUUAUGGCUAAAAUAUUAGAUAAUACCACUAAAAUAAUAUAUAUAUAUAUAUAUUUAUAUAUCAAUCGAUUCAACACUGGCUACUUCGACUGGCUGAAAUAUAUAAUAGUUCAAAAAAUUGAAAUGGGCCGACUCUUGUAAAAAUAGACCGAGCUUUAUACAGGCUGAGUCAAACCUCAUAGCCCCUAAGAGAAUUUCAAAUGCCUGCUAAACCUAAUAGGCCAUCAGUUCGUGAUGGGCCGAAUUAUCUUAUCAAAAAUUCAGAAUACAUGAAAAAGGCACAUCUUUAAUCUUCCACUUCCAAGGGAAAGAAAAAGGGGUGAAAAACGUGGAGUAACUGAAUAAGCCCUUCAAAACUCCUUCACUCCGUCGAAAAGAGAAGAGCCCUAUGGCUGCAGACAGCAACAAGAGGAAGAGGCCGAACAUUUUGGUAACGGGCACCCCUGGAACGGGUAAAACGACGACGUCUUCUGCUCUGGUGGAAGCCACCCAGCUCCACCAUAUCAAUAUUGGGGAUUUGGUCAGGGAGAAAAACUUGCACGACGGAUGGGACGACGACCUCCAGUGCCACGUCAUCAACGAAGAUCUCGUAAUUCCACUAUUUUCCUUACGCUCUAACCGUUUAAUUUCUUGAUUUAUUGUUGUUGUUGUUCAACAAUGAAUUAGUUCAUUAAGUAGUAUGAAUUUGAUUUUAAUGUGUCGAAUUCUGAAGGUCUGUGAUGAGCUUGAGGAUAUGAUGGAAGAAGGGGGAAACAUAGUGGAUUAUCACGGUUGUGAUUUCUUUCCUGAGCGAUGGUUUGAUCUUGUGGUGGUGCUUCAAACGGACAACACUGUGUUGUAUGAUCGGUUGAGUAAGAGGUGCCAAUGUUCUGUCCAUAUGAUUAGAGUUUCCAGUUAAUUUACUUGAGUUUUUUUUUUUUUUUUUGGUCUCAAAAACUCUUUUUCUGGCCAGAGGUUAUGAGGGUUCCAAGCUUUCAAACAAUAUAGAGAGUGAAAUCUUUCAAGUUCUGCUGGAGGAGGCAAAAGAAAGUUACCCAGAGGAUAUUGUUAUAGCUUUAAAGAGUGAUAAUAUUGAGGAUAUCACUAGAAAUGUUGCGACUAUUACAGAUUGGAUCCGGAGUUGGCCCCUAAGAUCUUGAUCGAAUACAGUUUUCGUAAUUUGCCCUGCCAAUGCCUGCUGCUUCACCUUAUGAAAGAAGCUGCAAUGAGGGCUUUAGUCAAGUAUGUCUUUGUUUAAGUUUUAGCUCUAAUAUGAAAUCAGUUAAUUUUCGUAGUUUUGUUAUUUUCAUGGAUUAGUCUCAGGGUUCAGACCGUGCGGGAUCUUAAUUUUUAAUUGAGUGUUUUUUAUUUUAUUAAUGGUGUGUAAUUGAUAGUUCAAGGAUGUAUUGUGAUCAGUUAAUAGACACCGUUUUCUACUGGUAAAAAGAAAUUAUAACUAUAAGCCAUUAGGUUGUGGAUGUCUGCCACAUGCAUUAUUUUCUGGAGCAUUCUAUACCUUCAUUUCGGUCUGUAAUAUGAAUAUGUGAGAUUAGAACUACCAGAUGUCGAUGGCAGAAGGAUAUUUGCCAUCCCUGUUUCCAUGGUUGUUCUAUUGCACAGAAAGUAAGGUGUAGAAUACAAGAGCUCCAGCUUAUUAACUACGAAUAGAGCUAACCUUUCUCAAAUUGAUCUACCAGAAAUGGAGAACCAUCAGUAAUGUCAAGCCUGUAAUGCACAAUGUUUACCGCAUAACCCAUUCCAUUUGUCAUGAUUCAUGAGGCAAUAACUGCUGGGGUAAUGCAAAAUUUAAGUAGAUUUCUAUACUUUAAAAGUUGUUCUGAAAGCUACUUGCCAGAAAUUGUCUAAUGCAAUUGUAUUAACAAUGUGGCUACUUGGAUCACUGAUCAGAACUACAACUUCGUGGCUGAAUCUUUUCUUAUUCAUCUUGAAUCAGUCUGCACCGUGUUACAACAAAUAAGUUGCAUUAUAUGCAAAUAAUUAAGGCAUUUAACAGAGAAAGUGUAAACAGCUAUAUAUUUGUUGUUGGCCUCAUUUGGUAUCAUGCACAUCAACAAUCAUUAAAACAUCCAUCUUGGGGAUGAAUGAACAGUGCUUUGGUGUGGUUUGCUUGGUGGCUGCUCUGAGUUGUUACGUUUCUUCAUGAUUGAGGAAACUGUAGGGCUAAAGUAGUCGUUACUCCUUUGAGAAGUUGCCCCUUGUGAGUAAGUCUUCUUUCCAUGGAUAAAGGUCCUCUGCUUUUCCAGCAAUGCCCUGCGAGCCACUGAAUUUCUUUGAACAGCUGCCCAUCUAGUGUAACCCACACAACUCUGGCUCCUUCCCACUUGCUGAAACUUCCCCUCUCUGGGACUUGUGUAGUUUCGGCUCUCGGCAGUCUCGGCAGAGUACAUGGUCUCCCCCUCACUGCUAUAUCCAUUAUGCAUCUCCGAAAGUUCUACAGGAGAUGAACUAGACUGGACCUCACUCUGGGUCCCAUUUACAGACCCUGUUGAGGCAACAUCAGCAUUCUCACUGGGACUUGUCUGUACUCUAUUCCUGAUUUGAUCUUCUUCUCUCAGUUGGCUUUCUGGAGGAAGUUCCAUCAAACAAUUCUCAUCUGAGUUCAGAAGUUGCUGUUUGGCAGGCCGCAAAACUACAGCAGUUUUUGCAAUCCUGGGAGGAAAAUUUAUAUCCAAAAGCUGGAUUUGGGUAGUCUCUUUCUUCCUAAGAGGGACUGCAGUCAACUUUGAUGAUUCAUAUAUUUCAGGAGUUGGGAUUCCUUGCGCAUGUGCAGCAUGUGGAUCAGAACAUCGCAUUUCUUCUUCAAUGGUGUUCACUGCAGCAGAAGAGCUUGGUCCUGACUGAUCCCUAGUUUUCAUGAUUAUAUUCGAUGAGGAUGGAGUUAUGUCAUUAUCAGUUUCUGUUGACUUAAAAACCUGGCGCAUUGUGAAGGAUGCAGAUGAAUGCUCACUCUUCUGGCCUGAGGACAUCAACCUAAUAAUUGGUAGCUUGGGUUUGGUAACUUCAUCAAGACUACCUUCCCAAUGCUGGUUUAACCAAUCACAAAUGAUGGGAAUGGGAAUACCAAAUUGCAUAGGAGUAUCUUUCUUCCAUGAUGAUGAGGAUGAAGAAGUCGAGGACGACUUGGUAUUAGGAGAUGUAGCUAGCUUCAUAGGAUCACAGAUCAUAAAUGCAAGGUUCCCCUGUGCAUCAAAUCCAGCUGAGCCCGGGUUCCAAAUUAUUCCAUCGGUUGACAGUUUUAUGAGAUUGUCAGUAGCAAUCACCACCUUUCCUUCACCUACUGUCAGUUCUUGUUUCUCUGUGUAACCUAGAAGGUAAACAGCACUUCCUAGAUCUAGAUUUGGUUUAGAACAUGUCUUCAAGAAAUGAGGUUGCUGCCCCUGGAUAUUUGAUUCUCCAUCCAUGACAUCUAAGCCCACUAUUGUUAGAUCUAAAACAGAGCUGGUAAUGAAAAACCUGCAACCAGAUUAAAGACAGGAAUAUAGUUUGAAGUAUGCUAAAUAAAAGAAGAUUUAGAAAGAAAUAUUUCAGGAGUUCUGCCACCUUUUUUCCUUUGCCCAUGCAUAACAUCAGUAAAUUACCAGAGGAAUUUUAAUCAUGAAACUAUUAAACCAAAAAAAAAAAAAAAAAAAAAAGAGAGGCAGGAGUGGAGGAGACACUCCAUGGUGGAGCAAAACUCUAAUGAAGCCCCUAAAUGGGCCAGCCUAGAGAACAAUUAGAACAUUAUCAACUAACUAGAGCAAGCAUUGGACUAUCUUUCAACUUUUCAUCAAAUAUCAAGAGUUUCCACGGGCUCUAAGAGUGAACUAAUGAGGGCAUUUCCUAUAGCCACUACUACCAGAUGGCUUCCAAUUGGAAAGAACUUGCCUUCAGUAAGGGAACAUGGAAUUCAAUGUUAAGACAUCAUAUGAAAAGGAAAUACAAAAUGUCAGGGUGCAUCCAUGGUUAGGUUGAGGGGUAGAAUGAGAACUUCUCACUUCAAUCCAUACAAAAGGGUCAAAACUUAAAAGAAGAGAAAAGGUAACUAUCUAGAAGAAAUCCAAAUUAUCAUAUAAGUUUCCAAAAAAGUACCAUUAGCAUAAGUGCCAAAAACAACUAUGUAUAGUCUAAGGAUAAAAAUAAUAAUUCUAUAAUCAAGAAACAGAAAUUAUCAAUAAUACACCAAAUCUGAAUAUCUCUCUAUCAAGUCAAUCAUAGUAUCAAUGAAGUACAUAGAAACCCUUGGAGGAGUUCGGGGGGAAAGGAAAAAGAAACCCAGCAGGAAAUAACUAAAUCAACAGCAGAACCUAUGAUGAAUUGUAGCCCAAUAAAUAUUCUAAUUUAACGGGACUUUUAAUAUAACAAAAAUACAAACGUUAUCUAUUUUUUCAGUUUUACGCAACCUAAUUUUAAGCCCGCAAGAGGGCAUAGUUUACGAAUUUGCAAAACAGAAGAACAUAUUCAUUUUCAGAUGGAUGAUAACUAAUGCAAGGUGACUUGCGAAGUAUUGUGCACAUAGAAGCUGUUGAAGACUUGAAGUGUCUUGUUAGAUUCUUUGCUCCUUUGCAAGAUGAUCAUUUUAUCCUCAGGUGUUAAAAGUCGAGAGAAUAGUCCACAGACCAUAAUCAAUAACUUCCAAAAUUUUUAGCUAAGAUUGAUAAAUUAUGAACAUUGCUGUUGCACUGAGACAAUGAAAAUGCUAAUUAACAGUAUAUUACUGACCACAGCAUUAAGAAUCACGGGUGACUAUAUAUACACACACACACAUACAUACAUACAUAUAUGUAUAUAUAUAAUUCGUCUGUUGAGAAAAUAUGUUAUCACUAAACGCUUGUAAUACACAUGAGUUAGGAAAACACUUUUUUAUACAUUAAGUUAUCUAACAUAACUGUGAACACAUCAAAGUAUAACUUCAUUGAAGAAAUCCAAAUGAUACUCAACUUAUCGCGUCCUCACGCUGCAAACCGAAUAAGAAGCCUUGGAUGCAUAUCUUUUUGUUAAGGUAAAGUAUUAUGGGCCUCUAAUGAUCUAAACUAAUUUAACUUCUAGGUGAAAUGCAGCACAAAUUGCAGUUAGCUAGACAUUCAUAGUAAAGUUAUGACAGUGAAAUGUCAACAAAAAAAAGGUCGAAAUCUUAACAAAGAUCAAUGAAGAAUCUUCUUUUAUUAAUGAAGACUUUACAACUAUAAGUUCGACAUGUAAUGAAAUACAAGCACAAAAGGUAAAGCUAAACUGAUUGGCUCAAUCAAAUCACAAAGUUGAGAAUUCUAAUAAGCAAAAAAAAAAAUUCUACAACCAUCAAUCUUGGACCCAUAUUUCUUUAAUCAACCAAUAAUAAUUCGAAAAGCGUUUUCAUAAUAGUAAUUCAUACCCACAUCAAGUAAAUGAGACAUUAAAAAUUCCUCUUUUUCCCAUCAGUUAAACGAAAAGUACAAAACCCAGAAAAAUAAAAACAAAAAUAACCUGUGAGGAACGAGAGUGGCAGCCACGCCGUUUUGGAGCCGGAUCUCGGAGCUUUCAGCAGCAGCUACAGAAGGGAGGUUAACGUGAGUAGUCAAGAGAAGAUUCCGGUGAAUGAGGAAUCCGGAAACUGAGAUUCCAUCGACGGAGGCUCCGGUGAUUCUCGCCAUUGCCGGAGCUUUACUUGAGGAAAUGGCGCCCUUCAUUCUUUCUGCCUUGCUUACUCCUUUGCAAAAACACCAUGAUUCUCUUAAACCACCCAUUUUUUUUCUUUUAAAUUUUCAACAAUUUAACGAGUCCAGAAAUUUGGGUUUUUAUGUUUUUGGUUUUUGUCAAAGGGCUGGAUCUGGAGAGAGUGACAUUUUGAGGUAUCUGAGUAGAAAAGUAAUGCAAUAUAAAGUGUUUGACACUUUGCUUCACUGAGAGAAAAAGGAGAGAAGGAGGAAGAAAGAGCAAGGGAGGGGACGAGAUGGUCGUGAAAUGAGUAAAGUGAAAGGGGAUUUGCGUUGUGUUUUCGAGCUGGAGUCUUUGGACAAAAAUAAAAAAGUGUCUGCGAUUAAAAUACUGUGACAGAGCCAGAAUCCUGAAUGAUUGAUUGUGUUUUGUAAUUUACAUCAAACUCAAUUUGAACCAUACACGUGUUAUAAAGAUGGCAAGUCUCCCUUCACACACUCUACGUAGAAAUCGCACUUUGUUUCAAUAUAGACGCUAUUGGGAGUUUGGAGAUAUUUAAAAAAAAUGUAAGAAUGAUCAAUUUUAAUCACAAAUUCAAUAUUAAAUAAGAUAUAAUAAUUUAAAUUUUAAUUCAAUUGAUUUAUAUAAUUAUUUUAAAAAAUAUUAUUUAAUUUGUAUAAAAUUUAAAUCUUAAUAUUUAUAAUUUUUUUAAUUGUUCUUAAACUAUAAUUUUUUUUAUAUAACAAAAAUAAAAUAUCAAAUGUUGAUUAAAAAUCACUACUAAAGUAAAUUUAUUUUUUAUCAUACAAUACUUAACACAUUAGAUCUGGACCUAAUGUAUAAAUUUGAACCCACCAAAUUAAUGAAGUUGGAAUCGAAUUCAUUUAUGAGUUUGGUUUUAAGAUCAAUAUUAAAAGUUUGGGAAUGAUUUUGAAUUCAAAAACGAAAUUAGAAGUAAGUGAAAUGUUAUUCCAUGAAUGUUUAGUACAUAACAACAUUCCAUUGAAUGUUAUUCUAUAAGUUUUAAUUGAUGGUGGGUUUCUCUCAACCUUUUUUCCUUUUUUUUUUUUUUUAAAUUUCUAGUAUUAAAGAGUUUAAUAUAGUAUGUUCAACUACUAUUAUAUUUUAGGUGAAUUAUAUAAAUAUACUUAUAAUUGAAGACCGAAUAAAUUUAUUCACUGAAAUUAAUAAUUAUUUUUAAUUAUUUUAUGUAUUAAUUAUGUUAUUUGAAUUUUAAUAUUGAUAAUUAAUAAACACGUAACUCUUAUAUGAUCAUCUUUUUCUUUGUUUUUUUUUUUGUUUAUUUCUUUAUUUUUAUGUAUUGAAAAGUUAGAAGAAAAAUUAUUUUUUAUUUGAAAGUUAUCAAUUUAAAAUCCCUGAUUUUUAAUUCAAGUUUUUCUUAGAUUUCUAAAAAAACAUAAAUACUAAACCAAAAGUCUAAAGAAAAUCCAAGAAAUCCCAUUAGGUUAAAACAUUCAAAUCCAUCCCCAAAGAAAAAUCAAAAUCCAAUCUCAAUAUAAAAUCAAACCUAAUACACAUUAUGGCUAAUUAUUUAUAUUAAUAAGAUUAAAAUUAAAAUUACGAAAUGAAUAUGAAGAAAAAGAGAUGUUGAGCUUGGAGUGAAAUUGGAUGUCUGAUUCGGUGGCCAGCUUAUGACUGAUAUAUUCAAAAACAGUUGAAUUCAUUCAUUAAAUAGGGAUGUUUUCCAAUGAAGAGGUUGAUAUUUUAAAAGACCGUAUUAAUGAACAAUUAAAAUAUUUGACCUUCAAAAAAUAUAUAAUUUUUUUUCUAAGAAAGGAUGACAAGUACCAACUGUUAUUGUUAGUUGCCUGAAGUGAAAAUCUUCAUGUAAUCAGUGAGUUCGCACAUGAAAGAACACGUGUAGAGUGAAGUGAUUUUCGGUCUUUUUUGUUUUUUUUUUUUUUGCCUUUUCUGCUUCGCUUGAGUAAGCUGCGAGUGUGGAGAAAACAUGUGACACGUAAUAAUUGAGUGGAAAUGUAAGGGUUUAUAGAAUAGCUGGACCGAAGAACAAAUAUUUUUGAAUAUCCAUAUAAAUUAUUUAUAAUAAACCCUUAAACCAACAUUUUUUUGUCUUAUUAUAUAUGGAAAUUUAUUUUUUUUAAUACAAAAGAGACCGAUGAAAAAUUAUAAAUAUUAAAAUUUAAAUCAUAAAUUUAUUAAAUAUUAUUUCUUACAAAUAACAGCAUAAACUAAUUUAAAUCGAGGAGAUUAUCACAUUUCAAUGAGCCAAUGCCAAGUAACGCGAAAAUGGGCCUUAAGAAACUUAAAAUUCGGUAAUGAUAUUUGACUCUUCAAUUCCGCCUAAUGGCAAUAACGUUGUUCAAAUUUGUCACAACUCAGUUGUGACUUGAUUAAAGUUUUAGGAUUACGAAGAGAAUAGAGGAAAAUUGAAAAGACUAAGGAAAGAACAGAGAAGAAUUGAGGAGACUAAAAAAAGAAUAAAGAGGGAUUCAAAAAAGAACUAUCAUCAUCUUCUGCCAUAGUCUUGCUCAUGCUACUAUUGCUCUUUUCCAUCAAGUUCAUCACAAAACUUUGGACUUAAAAACAACAAACUUCCAGCCGUAAUGACACUGAAAUGGCUAAAAUCAAUCAUGGGUUUGAGCAUGGAAGGGCGAAAAACCAAAACCCUAGAUGAAAAUAAGAAACCAUAAAAUCGAAAAUGAGGAAGGAUGUCUGAUUUUCAUCAGUAGUUCCAAUGUUUGAUAGCCCGAGAUUCGACACUGGAUAGCUCCACCUGCGACUAAUGGUACGACACUCCAAGUAAUCAAGUUCUUAAUUUGUCAAGAACACUUUAAGAUCUCACCUCCAAAAUGAAGACCUAAAAUCUCAAUCUCCUGCCAGACCAUCCCACCGUCAUAAGUAAACCCCAACAAACAAUUUCUUUGUAGAUAUAGGUUAUUGCGUCACCCUUUUGCAAUGUGUUGAAUGUUGCUAUUACUAGAGCUUGGUAGUUACAACUCACUGGAUCAUACCAAACAGAGCUCAACCAAUCCAGUGGCAUAUAAAGCACUUUUUUUUUUGGUCCAUUCGGUAAGGAAUAGGGGAUGAGGAUGGUGGGGUUCAACUCUCACCUUACAUGUCUUUCUAAGCCUUCCUAGCCAUUAGGCCAAGAAGCUCAAGACACAUAAAGCUCUUUGAGAUCAUGAAACUCACUUUAAAGCAUAAAUCAUAGGUGUCUGACUCUUGAAAUAAGAUAACUGUAAAGCAUAAACAUGCCAUUUUGCACCUUCACAGCAGAAAGAUCGAAAGAUAAACUUUGUGCAAGACACCAUCAACAUGUUUGAUGAAAUGGAAAAAAAUUACCUCCUUAGAGCACUGAAGCUUUGUUCCACACUUGAUAAACACCAAAAAAUAGCUAGUAGCCAAUUUGUGAGAGCUGAAAAAAUGGCAAUUCAUUUCUUUUACCAAAAUAUUCCCCAAUAUAUUGUUAGACAAAAGCACUACAAUUCCUCUAUGAAAGUUAUCUAAACUUUGAAGUUAGUUUCCCAAUCUGUAAUUUUUCUCUCAGGUCCAAAACAGAGAUCCAUUGGUAAAGCUCGAAGCAAUUUGCUCCAACUUGGGUCUAAGAACAAGAAGAGAUAUUAAGAAGCAACAAUCACUCAGAACCAACAUCAACCCCCCUUUGCUUCAGAAAGUCCUUGGCCUCACCAAUGUCCUAUAAAUAUACUACAUAUUAGGGAACCGCCAAAAACAAAUAACACCAAGAAAUUAAAAUAAUUAUCAUCAACUUAUUACAAACAGGGCAAAUACAAUUUGAGAUUGCUUUUAGCAGAUAAGAAGAUUAUUCAAGUCCCAACCAAAGGACAUAUUACCAGCCUGCUCAAAAGCAUAGAGGAAAAACAAAACGAGAGGAAAAGAAAAAGGUAAGACAUUCAUCACUAGUUACCCAUAUAUAAUUUAAACACUUAUGAAAAUAAAAAUUUUAAGAUGUGCAGGAAUGUGCAGGAAAAAAGAAAGAAAAUGAAAUACCUGCUGCAGCAGCAAUGCUUCUUGAGGGCAAGUCGGGAAUCGCAUUAGACCAACUCCCACCAUUAAUAAACCAUAGCAUCCGAGUGACACAAUAAAAUAGAUAGGUAGCUGAAAGAUUUUAUAGAGCAAAAUAAGCAGUAAUGAAUUAGAACAAGUAGAUAUAUAUAGAUCAUGAACAUCAAGGCAAAAAAAGAAACUCACCAACCAAGUAUGGCUUUGUGGUAUUAUAGAUGCCUGCAAGAGGCCAAUCCAAAGCGCAGAGAUGACCACCAGCAGAGAGAAAAUCUUCAAAACAUGCUUCAUCGGAUUGGCAAUGAUAAUUAGCUCAGAUGUCCUGAUUUUAUUUCAAACCACUUAAAACUUUAAACAGAUAAAGACAAAUGGCGUGUAGGUGAAAAACAAAAUGCAUAUAACCAAGUGAUUUAUCAAAGGCUCAAGUAUUUAUAACCACCUAAGGCACAAAGAGCACGUCUAUACAUGAGCAUGUGGAACUUGUAUGUGAUAUUUAUAAAGUGGAAAAACAUACUAAAAUUUAUAAGUAUGAAAAACACAUAGCAAUGAGAAGUAAACUGCAAAAUAAAUUAGAAUAAUCACCAAGAAAGAAGUUCUUGAGAUAAACAGAAACAACAAUCAGUUUCCUACUCUUACUAUCAGUUGGAAAAAAGGGAAAAACGCAUGUAUAAUAAGAACAGACGCACCAACAAAUAUGCUUAAAAAACAAACAAAGAAGGCCUUAAUGAAAUCUUUAAUAUCUAGUCCGUUCUAAUCUAACUGCAAAAUCAGUAGAAACAGAGUUUUGAGUGUCCCUUUGUACAAUUAUUAGGUCCAUCCUUUAUAGCUAAAAAUGCUGUUUGACAUGGUGAUUCCAAACAAUGUGGAAAACUAAGAAUUCAAACAUAUAUAGAAAAACAAAUUAAGUUCUUAUUGCCAUCAGAAGGGAUAGAGCAGAAAUGAUAUUUCAUAAUUGUUCCAUAGAAUGGAACUCAAAGCCCUUGCGCAAAACAUCCCGAACAUCAGCUGGCAAACUCUCGUAAAGGGAUCAGCCAUUUCUCAAAUCUAUGGUAAGCGAACUAAAACCCAUUUAAACACAACAAAAGAAAAGCAACCCAGAGGAAUCAAAAGUAUAAACUGCCAUCAGAAUGAAUAUCUAAUAAAAAUCUUUUUUUUUUCAAAGUCCCAUGCUGCUUUUGCAUCACAGGAACUCAAAGCCCUUGCGCAAAUUUCCCAAACAUCACUUGGCAGUUUCAGUUUCAGUUUAAGAUUUGUUUUUUUUUUUUUCUUCCCAAGUAAAUAAACAAUCAGAUCGAAGAACGAGUAAAUCGACUGCUAAAAGAGCAUACCUGCAAAUAAAAAAAGAAGAUAGAGGAGAGUCAGGGGUACAGCAGCCGAAAAAAGGAAGAAGAAAAGCGAACAGAAAACCAGCAGAGGCAGAGAGAAGGUCUGUUUGACUAGUUAACCUUUUGAUAUGCACGGCCACGGAACUGGGUCAUUUGGCCUUUAAUUCUAACUAAUGCAAAAAAAAAGAUUUUGAGGACGGUUAGAUCUGAGUGUGAAGCGUGAGCUAUGGUUUUGGUUUUCGUAUCCUUUCGAUGCGGCGGGGGUGAGAGAGGUGGGCUGACACCUAUGGUAAGAAGAAAGAAAACAAAGCUGGGCUUUUAAGUCAGAGAAAAGAGCACCAGAGCGAAUGUGGUUGAGUUUGGGCCUUUAAACUGUUUUCAUAAUUCCCCUGAUGAAUUUUAGAAAAUAAAUUAUUAUUAGAAGCUAUAAAAUCUGAAAAUUUAACUCAACCAAACAGAAGGUCUUCUUUGUAACCGAAAAUCAGGUUCUGAAAAAAUAAAAAUUCAUUCGAAAUUAUAAUAUUUAAUUUAAUGUAUUAUUUAAAUUAAAAUUAUAUCUAUUAAAUUUAAAAUUAAUUUUUGUAAACAUUUAAAAAAAUAAAUUAAAUCGAAUUAUAUAUUUUUAUUAAUUUUUAUAUAUAUUUUAAAUUUUUAUAAAAUAAAAUAAUUAUUAUAUAUAUAAAUUUAUUUAAAUAUAUUUAAAAUUUUAUUAAAAUAAUAUAUAAAAAAAUAAAAAUUUAAACUUUAAAAAUGAAUAAACCAAAUCAAAUUAAGAAAAUUUAAUUCCAAUUGAGUCAAUUUUACAAAAAUAAAUCAAUUCUAUGCAUUAUUAAAAAUACGGUAAACUUAAAAAAAAUACCUUGUGAUUAAAGCUAAAAGAAAAAUGUCUUCUGAGAUUUAAGAUGUGACACUUAACGACCUUAUGCAAGUAUUUCGUUAUCACCUACUGAACGUCGUUAGAAGUAAAAUGACUAAAUUGUCAUGUGUAUAACACAAGCCAUAAACAAGAAAUAAAAGCAAUUGAAUAGUUAACAAAAAAUUAGAAAAACUUUCUUCAUCAAUCUGAUCUUCAUAGAAAAAAAUUUUCAUUCAACAAUCAAUACUCAAAAUCAGUCGAUUAUUAGUAGAGAAAAGUGUUUGAGCUGGUGAUUGGGAUCAAGAUUUAGGUUUGGAGGUGAAAUUGAUUUUAGGUUUGGAAGAAAUGAAAUUUGGGCACAGUUUAGAGGUGUUGUGUUGGAUUCAACAACCAAAUAAGGUAUAUACAAUUUUCCCUUUAAUUUCGAUGCAAUUGGUUAGGUUAAUGUUAAGGUUAGCAAAUUUUAUUCAAAACAUUUGGGGAUUUUUCAUACUAAACUUCAUAUUAGAAUCAAUUAAAGGUUUUUGAAAAUUUGAAAUGUUAUUAACUUCAUAUUAGAAUCAAUAUGUUAUACUUAACUUCAUAUCAAAAUAAAUCAUAAUUUCACUAAAAAAUCAAAAUUUUAUUUUGCUACAGAUUUGGAAUGCCAACAAAACUAUUAAGUUUUAUCAUAGUGGGUUGUCUAUGCAUAUUCCUAACAAAGUUUGCGUAGGAGGUGAUGUAGCAUGGGUGGAUGAUUAUCCUUUAGAUAGGUUGUCAUUUUUUCAGUUGCAAGAUUGGGUUAUUAAAUUGGGGUAUAAGAGUACUAGUGACAUAUUUUAUUGUAUUCCUACGCUAUCACUUGAUGAAGGGUUGAAAUGUAUUCAUUUAGAUAUACAUGUUGAACAUAUGGUUUUGUGUCAUCAAAAGAAAAAAAUCAUUCUAAUAUAUGUUGUAAUAGGUAAUACUCAUCUUUCUAUUAUAUAUCCAUGUACACCAUCUGGGAAUGAAAAAGAGGUACAAACAGGGAGGUCUAUUCAUGAAAACAAUGGUGGAAAUGAUAUAGGUAAUUUGAUGGAAAACGUUGGUGCUAAUAAAGUUGAUGUUGGUAUGUAAUGAGGCAAAAAAUAAUGAUGCAAAUGAGGUUGAUGAUGGUACUGCUUAGCAAAAGAUAGUUGUAUAAAUGAGAUUGAAAAUAAUGCCCGAAAUAUUAGUGAAAAUACUAAAAAUAAUGAAGAGAAAGAUGGUGAAAACAGUGAUGAUGAUGAUAAUGACUAUCAUGCAAGCAGUGAAUAUAAUAGUGAUGGAUAUUUUAGUAGUGAUUAUAGAUGCUUUGAUGAGGAAAUAAAGGCUAAUGAUGUAUUUGAGGAUAAUGAAGUUAGUAGCCUUAAGAAAAACAAAAAGGCUUAGUAUUACACAAUUUAUUCCAAUGAGGCUAAUUGAAAACAUUAUUUUAGAAGAAGAUGUAAUGAUGGAUGAUAGUGAUCUACAUAAUGUUUAUGGAUUUGAUGAAGAAAUAAACCAUUACACAAUGUUCAAUGAAGAGUUGAUAUGAAGAAUCAGCAUUUAAAUGUUCGAUUAAAGUUUAUUAAUGGCAUUGCUUAUAGAAACACAUUGAAAAAGUAUUAUGUUCGUAAAGGUUAUGACAAUAAGUUUAGAAAAAGUGAUGAAGAUAAAAUUAUUAUUGUUUGUGUUAAGAACUGUGGAUGGAGAAUAUUUGCAUCUAAGUUGAGAGAGGAUUGUACCUUUUAAAUAAAGACUUUUCAACCAAAGUAUAAUUGCUCAAGGGAGUUUAAAAUUCACCAAGUCACUACACCUUAUUUGGUUGAGGAGUUUUUGAUGAUUUGAAAGAUAAUCUGAAUUGGGAAACUACAAAGAAAAUGAAAAAGAUUUCUAGAGAAUUAAAGGUUAAAGUCAGUUUCUCUCAAGUAUAUAGAGCUAAGAGAAAAGCUAGAGAAAUAAUGGAAGAGGAUAACAAGUUACAAUAUUCGAAAUUGUUUGAUUACUAUGACAUGAUCUGAUAGACUAAUUCUAAAAGCUUUACAAUUAUGAAAAUGGAAAGUUAAUAUUUUGAUGCAACCACUGGUAUUCCUAGAUCUUUUAUUCCCAGAUUUGAAAAGAUAUUCAACAUGUUCGAUACAUAAAAAAAAAAUAUUCAUGGUUGGAUGUAAAAAGUUUAUACGAUUAGAUAGUUGUUACUUAAAAGGUCAUUUUGAAAGAUAAUUACCAAGUGCUAUUGCUAGAGAUAGGAAUAACAACAUUUUCCCUCUUUGUUAUGCAAUUGUUGAACAAGAAAAUAAAGAAACUUGGUCUUAGUUUUUGAAUUUGCUACAUGAAGAACUUGAGAGUUUCAUUGAACUAAGAUUAGAGUUUAUAUCUAACCAAUAAAAGGUAUUAAUUGUCAUUGUAUUUAGUUUUUUUAUAUAAUGUUUAUAUCUAACCAAUAAAAGGUAUUAAUAUGUUAAGCUUUAGAUCAAACAUUUGAAGAAAUAUACUCUCAAGUUGAGUAUAGAUUCUGUUUAAGGCAUUUGUAUACAAAUUUCAAACUUCACUUAUAAAAAAGCUCCUUGGAAGGCAACAAGUGUGGGUUCAGUGAAAGAAUUAGAGAAAGCUAUAUUGGUGCUGAAAGAGCUUGACAGAACAGGGGCAACACAUGCUUGGGUGAGUAGAUUAAAUCCAAAAACUUAGGCCAUGUCUCAUUUUAACUCUAAAAUGAAAACUAGUUUAGUAGUGAAUAAUCUUAGUGAAUCUUUCAAUGCUUAUAUAUUAAAAGCUAGAGAUUUGCCUAUCAUUAACAUGUUAGAAUGGAUAAAAAAAAUAUUGAUGAAAAAGUUCAUUCUAAAAAGGUUAGUAUAGAGUCUUACAAUGGUCUUUUAUGUCUAGAUAUUUAAAACUAGCUUAAGCAAAUUAAAAAAUACUUUUUUAAUUACUUUUCUAUUCCUGCUGGUAGGUCUAUAUAUGAAGUUGAGUGUGAUAUAACCUCUCAUGUUGUGAACUUAGUUAAAUAAAAUUAUACUUACAAGAUUUGAGAUUUGACUGGAAUCCCUAUAAACAUGUUUUUUUUUUUUUAUAAUAAUAGAGAAAUACCAUAAUCUUAUGUCCAUUGUUGUUAUUCUAAGAAGAUAUACAUGGCUAUAUAUGAUGCCAUCAUUAAUCUUAUUACAAGACAACAUGAAUGGACUAUAAGUAGUAACCCUACUCUUGUCCCUCUAAUCAUAUAUAAACCACCGACUAAACCAAGAAGUUAAGAAAGAGAGCACCUGAUGAACCAUAAAAUCAUUACAAAAUAUCAUGACAGAACAAGCCAAUUAGAUAUGGUAACUGUGGUCAAGUUGGACGUAACGUUAGAUGUUGUAAGGCAUCAGUGGUUUGAAAGACCCCAUGGUAAAAAAGAUGAGAUUAAAAGGAUUAAACAAAAUUUCUCAUCAAUCUACCAAUCUUUAGGUAAUUUACUUUUUUAAUUUAAAAUGAUCUUUAUAUAUUAAAUUUAACAUAAAUGAAGUGUAUUUUACAAAUUGAUCAAAAGAAAAAUGAUGCAUCUUCUUAAAAAAUAAAUACAUUUACAACUAGAAGCAGAUCCAGAAGAAGACUUAUCACUAAUGUUACUGCUAGAAUUGAGUUACAAUCAAAUAUUGCUAAAGGAUUGGAUGCUAGCAGAAGUUUAAGAAAAAAAGCAUAUGGUAUUGGUUGUCAAUCUGCUGAAAAUGUCAUUACAAAAUGUCACGAUAAAACAAGCCAAUUAGAUGUGGUAGCUGUGGUCAAGUUAGACAUAAUAUUAUAUGUUGCAAGGCAUUAAUGAUUGGAUAGACCCCAUAGCAAAAGAAGAUAAGGUUGAAAGGAUUAAACAAAAUUCUUCCUCAAUCUACCAAUCUUUAGGUAAUUUGCUUCUUUAAUUUAAAAUGAUCUUCAUAUAUUAAAUUUAACAUGAAUGAUGUGUAUUUUAUAGGUUGAUCAAAAGACAAAUGUUGCAUCUUUCUAAAAAAAAAAUACACCUACAACUAGAUAUAGAUCCAAAUGAAGUCUUGUCACUAAUGUUGCUACUAGAGUUACGUACAGUUAAAUACUACUAAAAGAAUGGAUAUUGGCAGAAGUUUAAGAAGAAGGGCAUAUAAUAUUGGUUGUUAAUCUGUUGAAAAUAUUGGACAAAAAGAUGCUAGAAAUGUUGGCAAAAAAAAAAAGAUGAUGCUGGAAAUAUUGGUUUAGAAAGAGGUGAUGUUGAAAAUGUUGGCACAAGAAAAGGUCAUGCUAAAAAUGUUAGCAAAGAAUGAGGUCAUGUUAGGGCCAAAGCUAAUCCAAUCAGAGAAAAAGAUAAGAGUAAUGCCUCAAGCUAUACUGGUGGUCAAUUUAUUAAUUCUCAAGCAUCUAGUGAUCCAAAUAUUAGUAGCGAAACAACCAGUAACCCAGUAGCCUGCAACCAAGUAACUAGUUGACAAGGUAUUUGGGUGAAAUCCAAAAAAGGCUCAUAUAUACUAUCAUAGGAUGAUGCAUUGAAUGUAUGCUAUUGGACUUAUUUAUGUUAUAAACUGAUAUGAUGUAUAGGUCUUUUAUUUUAAUAUAUAGGUUUAUGUGAUAUAUAGGCCUUUUAUUGUGCAUUUUGUGCUAGUUUUAUAAACUGGUAGCAUGAUUUUGUUCAAUAGAAAUGAUGAUAACAUAUUUUUUGUUCAAUAGGAACGUGGUAUAACAAAUAGCCUUAUUUUUUUCAAUAGCAUGGCUUUUGUUUUUUGCAAUAAAAAUGCUAGUUUUCUACAUAUUGUAUUUUAGAUUAUAAUUGUAUAAAUGGAUGUGGUCAUUUUUAUAAUUCUAACAUUAUGUAAAGGUUGUUUUUAAGGCUAUUUUCUGUAAUAAGAAUGUGGCAUUUGUUUACAAGGCUAUUUUUUACGAUAUGAAUGCUAGCUUUCUACAGGCUUUAUUUUCUUAAACCACUUUAAGAACUUACCUAUUUGGUUAAAAGUAGUAUAAUGUCAAUUUACAUGAUAAAAUUUUAGUAACAAAAGCCAUUACACAGCACGUUUAACAAAAGGCAAACUUUCAUUCCAUUCUCAAAUAGUAAGUUCACAUUGACAUUUCUUUAGACACUUGGUAUUACUACACAUUACACCCUAUAAACAUUACAAUCUUGCCUACAAUUAAACCAUACCUUGCAUCUUACCUACAACAAAUUAAAAAAAAACCCACUAACAUCAAUUCAUCAACUCAAGAAAAUUAAAUCUUAAGCUUUUUUACCUAAAGAAUGAAACAAAAUCAAAAUCAACAAUAACAUAACACUGCCACAAAUUAAAGCAAUUACCCUUUUCUUGAGUCGAAUCUGAACUAGCUGAUGCUUCAAAUGUAACUCUUUUGCAUGAGAUUCAGCUAGUUCAUUCUAAAUUUUUUGCUUCUUAUUUCGAGCUUGAAUAAGUUCUUUAUUCAAUUUCAAUUUCAUUUUUUCUAAUUCGAAUAGUUGUUGUUACAAAUGUAACUUUCUUGCUGAGCAUAUUGUCAAUGCUUCAACUAAUUCUUGUUUCCUUACAUUUGAUCUCAAAAGCUUAUCUGUCAUUUUUUUUCAUUGUUUCUUUUAAUUUCAAUAUUUGUUUUAUACAACUUUCACAUGGUAUCUUAUUAAUCUACUAAAAAAAUUUACAUUUUCGUAGUCUCUGUAAAUACAAAAACCCAAAGAUUAAAUAACUUUUUUACCUAAAAGCUAUACAACAAUUAACGAAAUCUUACCUUAAAAUUUUCACAUCUAUAAAGUUUUCACCUACGAUUAACACUUGUUUCAAAAGUUCUUAUCGGUGAUUCUACAUCAUAAUAGCAUAAUUCGGCACCAUUCGAUCCUAUGAAUGGCAAAGGGUCAGGUUAGAGCAGAUUUUUACUCGUCUCGAAUCUGAUUUGACUUUAUAUCUAUAAAAUAUGAACUUGACUUAACCUAAAGAUUUUUUUAUUUUUUUCAUAUUCUAACCUGACCCGACCCGACCCGAUAUUAUAUAAAUUAUAUUCAACUCAACUUGACCCAAAAUUAAUAAAAUAUUAUUUUUAAUAUAAUAUAUAUAUUAAUUAAUUAAAAAAUAAUUUUUUAUAUAUAACGGGUCGAAUUUACUUAAAAUUCGACCAUGAUCUUUUUCUUACAAUUAUCCGAUCCAAUCCAAAAUCCGAUUUAAAAAAAAAAAUUAAUCCUAUAAAAUCGGGUCAAGUUGAAACUCACUGUGAGCUAAUUGGGCUACCAACCCUAUUUCAAUCCUUCAUUUUUUUCAUAUUGUUGUGAAUUCAUACGCAAAUGAGCCUCCUUUUUCUCAAAGUAAUAUGGUAGGAAGAAAAAAAAAAGAACAAGAAAUGGAGAUACUUUUAAUUAUCGUGGAAGAAGUGAAAAUGGAAGAGAAAAGAAUAUGGGAAGAGAAAAUAAACUGAAAGAAAUAAACAGUGAUCAUGGAAGGAACAAAAAAUGGAGACUAACAAUAAUCGAGUAAGGAACAAGAAAUAGAAACUAUCUCUGACUAUCUUUUUAACAUUGAUAGAUGAUAACGGAAUAACGACAAAGAAUAAUUGAAUGUCACAUUUUAAAUAUAAUGAUACACUUUUAUUAACAUCAUGAUAUGUUUAUGAGGUUAACCUUAAAUAUAUUAAAUGAAAUUCGAUGUAAUCCAAACUGAAACAACGAACAUCCUUCAUAGGGCAUAGAAUAUCAGAGGAAAGAAAAUAAAAUCAAGUAAACCAGUAUUUGAACAAUCUCCCUCGGCCAGUCGAUCAAUCAAUAAUUCAAUAGAAACCAAAUUCGACGAUGGGGACGACGGGUGGGAGCGACGUGGAGGCGGGAUUCGCGAAGCUACAAGGCGAAGACUUCGAAUACUACAUGCAAACGUACUCCAUAAUGCUUGGUCGCAACUCCAAGAAAUCCACCGUUGACGUUGACUUAGCCAGCCUCGGCGGCGGCAUGAACAUUUCCCGCCACCACGCCCGCAUCUUCUACGACUUCACGCGACGCCGCUUCGCACUUGAAGUCGUCGGCAAAAACGGCUGUCUCGUUGAAGGCGUACUCUACCUUCCCGGCAACCCUCCCGUCAAGCUCGACUCCCAAGACCUCCUCCAAAUCGGCGACAAAGAAUUUUACUUUCUUCUCCCCGUGAGGAGUAUUCUCGGGGGACCCCUUGCGCCUAGGCACCAUGUUUCGAUUUACCGGACGGCGGGGGCGGAGGCAGCGGCUGGAGGUGUACCACAUUAUAGUUACCAUGGUGGGUCGGAGACGGGGAGGACGGUGGGGUCCGUUACGGGUUCUGCUGUGGUGGCAGCGGGAUCAAAGAAGGGGAGGGGAAGAGAUUAUCACGAGGAGUAUGGGGAGGAAGAUGAUGUUGGGAGUGGUGGGAAGAAGGUUAGGAAGGAAGAUUGGUAUAUUGGGGCGGAGGCCCGGUCCGGAGGAAAGGCUUGUUUGGCCGGAGGAUUAGGUUAGCACAAUUGAUUUUUGGUUUUUCGUAAAUGCUUAAAUCAUUUAUGCCAUUGUUUGAUCAUUUUUUUUUUUUGGUAGUUGUGAUUAUGGAAAUGUGGGGAAAAAAUUUGCCAUUCUUUAAAAAUUGCUUUGUAAAGUUUAUUAUUUUUUGUAACUAUUUAGUUAUUGAAAUAUAGAGUUAAAUUUUCCUGUUGUGUUAGGGCACUGAUGUUUUGGGAUUAUUGCUGCCUUCUUUCUUAUAUGGAGAUUAUUGUGACAUUUUUUAGAUAGCAAAAGAUAUUUAUCAUUUUUAGUUCAGAAGAAUGACAGAUCUUGGUUUUCGAGAAUAUCUAUGUUUGAGAUCUGCUAUUGCUUGCCUGAACUAUUUAGCUCCUUGAUGCAUUCUUUCUGAUGUUAUUCUUCUUGGUUUUUUGGCUAUCAUAGACACUGGCUUUAAUAAUUACUUGUGAUUACAGCACUCAAAAUACUUUGCUAGAUUGAACCUGGAUCCUUUUUCCUAGUUUCUUUUAUUUCCUAAGCAUCAUUCUUGUUGAUUGCCUGGUUUAAUCCCUGUCAUCAUUUUCUAGGAGUGUCCCAUUGUAUUUCAUAAGUCAUUAUCAGUGCUUAUCAUUUUUUCUCAUUCUGCAGCACCUACUGACUCUUGAUCUGGUUUUGGAGAAUCACACUAAUCUAUUGGGUGAUCCUGGCUCUCAGUUAUCUUUAUUUCUUUGGUAGUUGUUAAAGGUACUCCUUAGGAAUUGCAUAGUCUGUAGAACAUCCAAAGUAGUCAGUAGUCACCAUGAAGCUUUUAAUGAAACUAGUGAUAGUGCCUCCGCAGAAGAGAGAGAAGAUGAAUGAUGAUGUUUGAUACUGGUUUAAUACUCCAUAAAUGUUAUAAAUUGCGAUAAUUGGUCAGUCAUGGUGCCAAUUUUGUUUGUGGCACUUCUUGUUACAUUUUGUAGCAUUUACUCAACCAGCACUUGUAUGCUCAUCUUUCAUUUGCCUUUCUCGCGAUAUUAUAUGCUGUUGAAUCUUCUUUUUCAUCUGACUCUUUGCUAUUAGGCCUAUUAGCAUAGCUUGGUAUUAGUCUGAUUAUGUCUCCUAAAUGGAUGCAUACUAGUAGAACAUCCUGCCCUCUCAACCUGAAAAUAAGCAAGAAUCUAGUAGACAGUGUUUUUUCCAGUUAUCAUGUAGUCUAUGAGGUUUUAGGUAUAUAAUUUAUGAUAAAUUAGCAAAGCAUUGCUAUCUCUAUCAUUUCAAUAAGUUACUUUUGAUUUUUAUAGCACCGAAUGGUUUAUAGGAUUUUAUCAAACUGUUUUAUUGUUUUCCAAUACUCUCCUUUUUUUUUUAACCAAAUACUCCUCACUUACCAGUUUUUGAGCCUUGGAAAUGAGCUUUCAUUCCUUAAUGCUGUUCUCAUGCAAUUCCAUCAAUACGUUUCUCUCUAUAUUUUACUUGAACUUAGUAACUAAAAGUACUUUUUUUUUUAUUUACUGAAUAGUUAGUUAAUAAAUGCUGUUUCAUUGGCAUGGUAAUAUCUACAGUUCCUGUAGAGAAGAAGGGAGAGGGAAGAUCAAGAGUUGACCGUGAAUCUGAUAAUCAACAACUUAUGCAGUUGGAAGAAAAGGAUGUGGUGUCAUCUGUAGCUACUGUGCUUUCUGAUCUUUGUGGUCCUGGAGAAUGGAUGGCCAUGGAGAAACUCCACGCUGAGGUUAGUUCUAAGCUUAGGGUGAUCUAAAUCUUAUGCUAUUUUCAUUUUGAGCUUUUGACCUUGCAUCUUUUGAGUUUUAAUUGUUUUUUGCUGAUGACACCCCUGGCCACUUGACAGUAGUCCUUCUUAUGGUUGAUUUUGAUUCUGCCCUUAUUGAUAUGCUUUACUAUGCUUUAGGCUUUGCUUGGUAGGAAGGAUGAAAAGAGGUGAGGAUGGAAAACUUGCUCAUCUAAUGUUUAAAAUUUAUAACUACUUUCCUACUUUGUAGCUUAACCAUUAGAUUAACAAGUUUUUCAUCAUACCAAGCAAAACCUUAAAGACUUUGACGUGGAAAUGGUUUUCUUCUAUAUUUUGGUCUGACGUUUUGACAGACUAGGGGUGCACCUAGGGCAUUUCCUGCCUGAUUGAUGUCAUGUUUUGAAAGAUGCCAGAAGUAAAAUAUACACUUAUUGGAGAAAAAAAAAUAAAAAAAGAAUCCUUGUGAGAGAAUGAUAACGACAACAACCACCAUUACUAGUAGUGCUACUUAUUUUUACGUCUGCAAUUUAGAGGAACAAACAAGAUUUAUUCAGUUUGUUGUUAUAAUUUUUUGGUUUUAAAAUGCACAAACUAUUUCCACUCCUAACUUCCAUUUGUUUUAAAUGGCUUCAAAUUGAAUGAUUUAGUGGUCGUAUCUCCUUAGCAUAUCUGAUUAUUUUUUACAGUAUUUUUUUCUCCCAUUUGGUGUAUCCCAAUCCUGUGAUUUUUGAGCCUUAGGAUUUUACAAGAUGUCUUACUUUCUUUGCUUUUCUUUUUCAGUUGGUUGAACAGUUUAGUAAUGUGUGGCAUCACAGCCGAGUUAGAAGGUAUCUUACAUCUGAGGACUGGCCUGAUCCCGACUCCAAGGGUAAACCAUGGUAUGGUCUGCUUAUGUUGUUAAGAAAAUAUCCUGAGCACUUUGUCAUCAACACAAGAUCCAAGGGCCGGAUAACCCUGGAGUUCGUCUCUCUUGUAUCUUUGCUUUCAUAAGAGCAAUGGUCACAAAGCGUUAAAAGGCACUUCCCUAUCAUGGUCAUCUUACAUGCUUGUUGGUAAGUCAAAGAAGUUGCAGAGUUCAGAAUAUGAUGACAUAAUGUUCUUAUUUUUGAGAGCCACCCUCUUUGAUAUCUGGAAUGUCUUGUUGGGCAAAUUGUAUUUGGAUAGCAGUCGCUUAAGAUUUAUCGCUGUCAUUUAUUAUUUUGGAGACAAAUUCUCUGUACAUUUAUGCUGGCGAUGAAACUUUUUAUUCCAGGAAAGAAUGCUUGUUAUGAAUUAUACUGUUUUAUAGCUAAUAGUUUAGAGCCUAUUCCAAUUUCCAAACAAAGAGAAACCAUCUCGGUGUACGUUUCUAGAAGGGAAAAAGGUAAGCAAAUAAAAACCAUAAAAUCUUUUUCAAUAGCCCAUGCUUUAGAAUCUUCUUUUCUUUGGUUAUGGUUGACAAAAAGCGCUCCUUAUUGACUCAAAAAAAAAAAAAAAAAGUGCUCUUACUGACGAAGUUCUCGAGCAAACAAGGGAAAGUCUGUUGUCACGAGUCUGCAGCAAGUACCUAUAGCAGAUAAUAGGGACACAUAACGAAACCACGAAGCUGUUGGGGUAGUAGGGUCGGCUACAACUUGGCCAACAAGUUGAGUAAAAGGCUAAUUUGAACAAAAUUCCUAUGUAAGGAAACCAAUUCUAGAUUCAUUUUAAUUACUGAAUGAUUAUAUUAUUAUUAUUUUUUGGUAUUUAAGUUUUUCAUAAAAUAAUUUAUAAUCAUUAAAAUUAAAAAUUUGACGCUUUACCAUAAGAUAACACUAAAUGGCUAUAUUAAAACUCAAAUUUGCUCUAUUAAAGUUCAGAUUCCGAACCCUUUACCCACCAUGUAUAAAAAAGAAAAAGUACUAUAUUCGCUACAAUAUUGAUCAUUGCUUGACUUUUGGUUCAGACUUGGGCAGGAAGUAGCCAUGAUCUGAGCCUUCUGACAUAAAAAAUAAGAUAAGAACAUUGGAAAUUAGACAACAUUGACACGUUUAAUGGGGUCCAGUUAGAAUAUUUUCUAGUACAACUUAGCAAGCAAGGGAGUGUAGCCACUGGCGCCACUACAUCUAUAUCUGUAUAGAGCAUUAAAAUCUCGUAACACUACUUCCCUCUGCUCUCUUCAACUCAAACUCUUAUAAAUCAUUCUUGUUUUGCUUUGUUCAUCAUCUUCUUUUUCAUCCUUUUUAGUUUUCUUUAAUAGUAUGGAUAUGGUAAAGGGAUUCAGGUUCCACCCAACUGAUCAAGAACUCAUCGAGUAUCUGCAGAUCAAAACCUUCGACCGUGAUUCUGUUGUCCAAGUUAUUGAUGAAGUCCAAGACAUCUGCGAGUCGGAGCCUUGGGAAUUAGCCGGUAAAAUGUUUUAUUUAUUGCUUACUGUAGCAGUUUCUUCUUUGUUUCUGACUAGAGUCUUAGACUGAAGCCUUGUUGAACAUGUUGUGACGUUGUCAUAUACUCAAUUUUGUUUAGAUAUUGUGUGUUUGUGUUUCAGGGCGUUCGGCUUUGCAGACUGGGGACAGAUUGUGGUACUUCAUGUACCCACCAAAAUACAAGUACCGCAAUAGUAAAAGAAUCAGCAGGACCACCCUGGAAGGGUAUUGGAAACCUACUGGUAAUGCUCGUAAAAUAAUUAAUUAUGAUAAUGGCGAGGAGAUUGGCAGCAAGAAGACUUUGGUUUUCUAUAAAGGCCAAUGUAAUGAUAAAAACAAAAACAAGACUUGCUGGGUCAUGCAUGAGUACGAACUCAAGGCUGAUCCUAAGGCCUCUGAUUCUGACCAAGUAAGUGAUCAUUUACAUACCGUAUCUUCAUAUUCUUUGUAUUCAUUCAUGUCAAUGAAGUUUAUUUAUGAGCUUGCAUCAAUAUUUUGCUUUAGCUUUGAAUUUUUCUUUUUCUUUCCUUCGAUGUUGGUGAGGAAAAUUAUGGAUACUGUUGCAUCACAAGUAUGGGUUAGCUUUGCAUCCUUAUACUUUGUUAUUUAUGGAUGACUGCAAAUGCAAGUUAUUUGAAUCAUUGAAUCCCAUGGUUUGCAUUUUUUAAUCCUCUGCAAGUUAUCUAAAAUGGUUAUAAAUGGAAAUGUGAAAAUUUUUUAUUUUAUAUGUGUGAGUUCUGUUCUGUUUUUUCUUCGGCAUCCUAGAAGUUUCAACAACAAAAUAUUUUUGAUAUUUUAUUUAUAUGCACAUUAGUAAUACACUUCUUUUUCUAUUUAAUUUGUGUAGAGAACUUUCAAUCUUUGUAAACUGAAGAAAAAGGCUGAUAUUUCCAGCACUGAAGCUGGUCAAUCAAGUCAGCCUUCUCUUUCUAAUUUAGAAAAUCAUGUAGCAAACAAUGCAAUGUCACAGGUUAGAUGCUUUAUGAUUAUAUUUCUUCUCGUCAAUCAGUUUUCUAUGUCAAUGAUGGUGAGCGUGUUCACAACUAUUGUCUAUUUUUCUAUGAGCAGGAGUUGCUAGACCCUAAAGGGUCAAGUGAGCCAGAGGCAUCUAAUGGCAGUGACAUUGUUCAUAAUAAAUCCAGCAGCAUUGAGACAUUUGCUGGAGAAAGAAGCAAUCAACAUAAUAUAUCUAAUUACAUGCAUCACGUUGCAGAGGAUGCAAUUCCAAAAGUAAGAUGCCUGAUGCGAAAUUUCUUAAUCAUUUAACCUUGUGGAUGAUGACAAUCUAAAACUAAUUCUCUUUCUCUGAUUCAGGAACCGUUACACGUCAUAGAGGUGUCAACAGAAAAGAAUGGACCCGAAGACAGUAAUAGGGUUCAAAAACCGUAUAGCACCAUUGAACAAGACAAUGAGUCCUGCAAUUCAAUUCUCACUAAUGAUGGUGAAACUGUCCCCAUAGAAAGAAGCAAUCAACAUAAUAUAGUUGUUGCAGUUGAAAGCUUCGAAAUGCCUACUAACUUUGAGUUUCUUGCUGAUGAGGAUUUAAUUCCAACGGUAAAAUCAAUUUUGCUUAGUCAUUUGUUCGUGUAGACUAUGAUAAAGAUACACAGAACUAAGCCGUUUUUGUGUAUGUUUCAGGACCUGUUUUACAAUUAUGGGAUAUCACUUGAUGAGUUAUUAGCAGAGCCAAAGGCAACUAAUAACUCUAAUUGGAUUCAAAACCAUUCUAUUACCAACAUAGAAGAUGAGUUCCUGGAUUCAAUUUUUGCUGAUAAUAAUGAAGCCUACCUUCAAGAAGAAGACAGACGGCAGUGUUUGGCUGCUGAAAAUGGAGCCUUAGGCUUGCCCUGCAUAGGCGUAAUGGAAUCAUCUGAUUCAAUGGGGAAAUCUAGAAAAAGACCACGUCUUGAAUACGAUGGAUUAAACCAUCAUGUAGAAACUGGAGAGGCCUAACCUUGGGGAAAAGAAUACCUCUCUAUUAGCAAACCUGUACUCCCCUCGGAUUGGAGGGAGCGUUACGUACCCGUAAUAAGAAAUAUUAUCAGAAUGAUGCCAUCCCAUAGUAAAGCUUAUGUAAACCGAGAAAUAUUAUCAGAAAUGAUAAUCAUGUAAGAUGUUCAUUUAGAAUAGCUUGAAUUCAAACUAUGUUGCUGCUGUCUGUUAUUUUGCAUUUUGAGAUGAUUCUGCAUGUUUUUUUGUUGGUAAUGGAACAUUGCAUCUCGGGUAAGAAUGUUGCUCGCCCUGCACAAAAAUUGUAUUCAGAGCUAGGGAGAUGGCAUAAUAGUUUUCAUUUUGAUUUGCCAGAGUUAUCUAUUACAGUUAUGUUUUUUUUUUUUGGCAAUCAAGGCUGCCAUGAAGCAAAUUAAUAAUCCAGUAUUUGAACUUUUAAAUAUAAUCACCCAGAUGCACAAAUUCGGAUUAGCUGUUUACAAGUGUGAUUGCUAGAGCAUCGGUCACAAUGGGGAAUAAUGGAAUGUACAAAUGGCUCAUCGCCUCACCCCAAGGUUUGUCCCAUUUUCCUUUAUGAGUAAGACACAGCAGGGGACUCCAUUGGCUACCCACCAGCAAGUUGCAAUCCAUAUUCCAAAGCCAAAAACUGAUGGAAGUUUGUAUUCAAGUAAAACAUAUUUCAAACGGGGAAGAUCAUUCAACUUUUCAUCGAGAAAUGUUGGUGUUGAUCUUCAACAAAUGAAACAAAGGACGUUAAAAUCAUUCUCAAAAGUUCAUUAGUACAAAUUUUGACAAAGAUGACAGCAAAAUAUAACAAAAUCAAACAAUAAAAGAAAGGAGGACCCAAAACAUAAUCCACAGCAAAGAUAAUAUUAGCUGCCAAACAGCUGAACUAACAUCAUCCAAUAACAUUAUUAUUGAUAAUUAUAAAAGCACUAGAGCCUAGAAUACAUGAAUCAGCCUAUCCUUAUGAUUCUUCUUUGCUUAGAGUUCUUUGUGCAUAGAGUUUUUCUUCUCGAGCUCGUUUUGCAGCAAGGGCUUCUUCAUCAAGUACUUGUAUAGGAGACCAUUCUGGCAACUUCAACGAACCGUUCUUGUCAAACAUAGAUUCACUGAAGUGGCGUAAUUUAUGUCUUACUUUUGGAACAGCAAAAUCCACUGCCGUCCCAGCAACAGCAAAGAUGAGCGAGUAGCGAUAAGCACCAAGUUGACCACCUAAAAUGCCAAAGAAGAAACCUUUUAAAAGAGACAUCAUGAGGGAUGAUAAAGGUGACAAUCAAGCAACUUUUGCACUUUAGUGCUCAAAAACAGUUGGAGUAACAAUGCAGAGUGAUACUUAUCAACAUGUGCAAAAGCAUACAAGCACAUGGAAAGAGAGAGAAGCCAAUAAAACUUUACCUUGAAGACGACCCAGUAUAGCACCAGAACCAAAUCCAGCAAUUGCAGAAUUCAGUAGAUCAUCAGGUCCUGUUUUGCGAGUUGCUCUUACAAAUUCACGUGCUCCUGCCAAAUUAAAGGUAUUAUUACCGUUUCCAAUUUAAGUAAUCAGUUUGCAAGAAAUAUGGUGCUGUUGAUACCAAAGAAUCCACUAUUGAAUCUGCCGGGUGGCAAAAGCCUAUAUCUCCUACUGCCUUCCAUUUCCUUGAGUAGAAGAUCAAGUUAGCCUCAGCCAUAGAGGAAACGGCAGAAGACAACAGGGGGAAGGCAUGUGUUCUCACAAAUGGGCAUAUUAAAAAGAAAAAAAAAGUGUGAAAGGAAGCAGGGUUUCAGUUUACAGUUAAAGUAUUUGAGGCCUGUUAUAAGAUUGAUGCAUUUCCCAAUGCAGAAUACACAAUCCAUGUAAUUGCGUUUUGGCCCAUUAUCUACUAAAAUCAUCAACCUAGGGUGAUUGGCUAACACAAAAACCUAGGAUGUUCAUAUAAGUCAAAAGCUGCAUUAACCUUCAGAGUAACAUAAUAUUAUACAAUAACACUACUACAAACGAAGAAUGGAGAAAAAAUUGUAGUUCUCAGUAUCCAUGCUAUGGGGUUUCUCUUGAAUGGAGUUUGCAUUCAGCAGUGUGAUGCCCGUGAUGCUAAGUCACACAUGACUGUGAGAAUAGAGAAAUGACUGCAGUAUGCCUAUAUUGUAACAAGUUAUGUUAUGGAGAAGAGAAUGAAUUCCUCAUUCUUAUGACUAUCACAAGAUGAGAACUAACAAGCUCCCUAACAGUAAUGAAAUCAAAGCAUCAAUCAUAACAUCCAAGUGUAAACACCUAAUAUGAUACUCCACCCUAGUUCAAUCCCCUUGAAAUAGGUUGCAUUUCACUGCCUUGUUGUGCCAAACUUCCCUCUAGUUAUGUAAGUCAAGAAAGCCAACCAACCAAGUUGCUUCAAUUUCUGCACCUACAGAACUUCUGUUAACGAAGUUGUCAUCGAAAAAUCUUGCCCCAAGGGAGUACAGCACAAACAACUAAUUUUUCAUUUCGGAAGAUAAAAACAAACCAACAUUAUGGCUUGUGUGUAUAUGUGAAUAUGACUACAGAUGAAGACACUAAAGAAAAAAUGACCCACCAUCACAACCAACAACAUAAAAUUGGUAAAAGAAAUUUCUGUAAGACUCUGUUUGACUGUUGCUAUUUCAACUUUUUUCAAAAGCUACAUUUAGAUUAGAUGGAAAAGGGAGCAAUAUUUUGGAAGAAUUAAACAUAAAAAAUAUGGUUCUUAUAGAUAAUGAAAUUCAGGGUUUCACUUUUAUUCAAAUUAUGAUUGAAAUUACAGUACCUUUUAACCUUCUUUGCUAAUUUCAAUUGAAAAAAAAAAAAGAUUUGGGAUUUACCCAUCACUUGCACUUAGGUACUUAGGAAAGCUGAUAGGGUGAAAGUAAUAGCAAUGAAGAAAGGAAAUACCGCAAUAGCAGCCGGUAACAAUAGCGAAAUUAGCGGCAUAAGUAGCUGAAAUAUUAGCAAGGCCAUGCACUUUUCGAUGUUUUGACACCAACCCAACUCCUCCACCUGCAAACCCUGUUUCAAAAAAAAAAAAAAACCCACAACCAAACCAAUCCAACCAACAUUCCUGAAUAAAUAAAUGGUCAUAAAAAUGAAAGCUUUCGAUUGUUGAAGGAUGGAAAAACUCAAAAACCUGCAAGGACUGUAGGGAUCAAUAUACGAUGCCGCCAGUCCUCAGAGAAUGAUGAUGAUGGGUACUCUCCAGCCAUAUUUAUGGGUUUUGACCUUUUCUGGGGGCGUAAUCAGUUUCUGUUUGUAGAGUUAGUCGUUUCCAGGGAAAUUUUGAUGAGUGACUAACAGUCUGUCUCUCUUUUUGGUGGCUUGGGUCGGUAAACUAAAAACUCCAAUUCGAGUAGACGGUGGAGUGUGGACUCUGGAGUAUGGAUGGAAAUAUAUUGGGUCUGAUCAAUAGGAAAGGCCCAAAACCCGCAGACUUAUUGGUCCUAAUAUCCAUCUGCUACUACUUUAUUAAUGUAGCAAUUCAGCAGAAUUUUGGAUUUAAUUACGUUUAUGAAAAAAUUAAUCCAAAAAUAGUUUUUUGUCACUUUUAUUUCAGUCAAAUAAAGUGUUUAAACAUUCUUUCUUGCUUGUAAAUGCUGCAAAUCCCAUGAAAACAAGGUGAAGACAAUUUCCUAGGUGCUGUCUGAAUUUAUUUUUUCAUGCCUUAACACACUAGUUUCAGAUACAGGGCCAACUAAGCAGGAACCCCCAAGUCUCCCUUCCCCGUAAAUAGCAGAUGGAACCAUAGAGAUAAGAGUACAAUUGGCAUAACCGUAACUAGGAAGGAUUAAUUCUUCUUCUGAAACAAAGGGUUUUGUGCAUUCUGCAUUUUUGCAGUACAUGGACAGCAACAAUGACCUGAAAACAAGUUCAGGGUUCUGCUUCGGGGAAAACAGAAUAAGGCACUAUAUCUUUUUGCAUGCGUCCAUCUGUCUAGUAACAAUCGUGAUUCAUGAUCAGGGUGAUAAUGCAACUAAUAGUUACCACUUAUUGGGUUAAACACUAUUGACAUAUGCUUACCAGAAGAUAAUGAGAUCUAUCAUUACUUGCCCUAAUAGGGGCCUUUAUACACCCAAAAAUGGAGAUCCUGCAACUGGAAUUCAUUUGCUCAAACCAGAUCAUUCAGCCUCAUUCUCGAAACAUAAUUUUUUCAUGAGGCUGAAGAGUCUGGUCCCACCUCUUCUGAAGCUGAGAAAUUAUUGACUCCUUGUUUGCUGUCCAAGUCACUGUUCUCUAUUGCAGGUUCAGACCUCUUCUGUGGUCCAACCCCAAGCCUUCGCUUGAAUUCUGCAAUCAUCAUUCAAGAUAAACCCAUUGAAUAUUUAAAUGGUAAUAUCUCAGAUAAUAAGGAUAGAAUCCAUAUCAAAAAGGGUUACUUUUAUUGGUAAUUGAACGGCGAGUAUAUGCCAAAAACUCAUCCCACUUGAAUUUUCUAAGCUCUUGCUUUUCCUCCUCUGCAAGCUCAAAAUUAGGCUCCCUUCCACACAUGAAAGCAGCUCUACAGACAAAAAUAUCUACCAAUGAGUUUCAAAAUUCAUUAGUCUAUCUAUCAACACAACUACUCUCUAAGUUAUAUUACCAAAAAAUAAUCAAAACCGACAUUAGGAACCAGCUUAGCACAUUAAAAAAUGGUAGAACCAGCAUUGUUUACUUAUAGUAGAUGACAUAAUAAAAAAAAUAAACCAAAGAGAGGCUAGGACUCACAUUUACCUUCACAACCUUUUCAUACAUACCAUACCAUCCCAUAUUCUUGUGUACUUUGCAAUGAAUAGCACUUUUAUUGUAUUUAUCAUCAAUACACAUGAAAACUUUCAAAUAAAUCCAUUAGUAACAUGAAGAAAGAACAAUUUUACCUCAUACGACAAUAAGUGUGAGAACAAAUGAAUAAGAAUUGUUCUUCCAGCAAAUCAAUGUUCUUAUCAGACUACCAUCUAUAAAGCUUAAAGUUCUUUUUGCAUUUAUAUAAAAUUAUCCGUCCUUCAUACUUCAUGCUACUGAAGAAUAAUAUCUGUCUUACAAAUAGUGAUCAGAGUUUCUGGACAAAUUGUAGUAGCAAUCAUUACAAGCAAGAUAAAAGCUAACAUAUUACCUGUCAUACAAACGUGCAGCUUCUUCUUGCGAACCAACAGUCCCUAAGUGAAUCUGUUUCUUGUCAACUUUUAUUGCGGCCUGCCAUUUCAUAUUUUUGAAGUAUACACCCCUCAUUAGACAUGGUUCUUGGUUUUGAACAUGCUUCCUCCUGUGUUGCUUCCUACGUUUGAUUGGUUGCCCUACAGAUAAUAACAUUGUAAAUGGACAUCAGUCAAAACAUAGAAAUUAAAAUGGCUCCCGGCAUCAGAUUUUGAAGCUAAUGAGUAAAAUGACAUGUUUUAUGUGGAAGCACCAUGGCAAGAACUCAGUUCUCUGAUGUAUCAUUUUUCUAUUUAUUCUUACUUACAAAAAGGGGUAAAACACUGUCUCUUCCUCAAAUUGCUUAUGUAUUUAUGUCAAAUAUGUAAUUAUCACAAGAAACACUCUGCAAUAGCCCCCAAAGAAGAUAAAAGAAAAGUCUAAAACUCAUACGUCAACAGGAUUCUAAUACAUAAGAUAAAACGGUUCCAAUUUUUGCAUGUUAAAUAUCCGUAUAUCAAAUCAUUUUCAUAUCAUUUCACAAUGUUGAUUCUUUAGACAGUAGUACCGGUUUGCCAUACUGCCUUGCAUGAACUAAUGAUGUCAAAACCAUGAAACUUUGACAAACGAAUUUUGCAAUAAUUUUAUUUUUCUUCCUUUGCAAAAAUAUAAUCCUUAUUUGCUCGUCUCAAAUAUGGAAUACAUAAAACAAUUAGUGAGAGGCAAGAACGGUAUGCAAAAGAGCAGAGGGCAUGAGGGAAGAAGGAAGCUUUUGGAGAGUUUUUAGCAUAAUCGGCGGAACAUAAACCAUUGCAAUAUUAAUCCGGGCCUUAGCAUCAUAAAUGCAAAUAGGGCAGGGAUGCACUUCUUUCAAGCCAUUUAAAUCUGAAUAUGGAGGAACAGUAAACAACCAUGACAUAAAACCAAAUAAUGAAUAUAAGCUAGUAUUUCAAAUGGUCAGGUUCCGUUAAUCCCAAAAGAGCGCAUAUGGCCAGCCAAUCUACUUUUACUGAUCAGCUGCAUAUGGAUUUUAUAAGCUGGAAACCCAUUAAUAUCAUCUUAAAACACAUAUUUUCAAAGUAAUCCUCAUUAAAUAAAUUCCAAGACAUGCAUUAUUGUCCGACCAAAUUAUUAGUUGCACCUAACAAUCCAAUAGUUGAAUACAACUUCAGACAGCAAAAACAGCUUUUUUUCCAUUGAUUGGAGUUGGUGUUACUAAAGGUCCCAAAUAAAGAUCAUGCAAAAAUGUGAUUGCUUUUGCCAAUCAUUAUCAUGCAAAAUGUGAUUGCUUUUUCCAAUCAUUCCCCCCCCCCACCCCCCCCCCCCCCCCGGGUUGCCCCCACCAUUUUCUGUGUUGUAGUAGCACCUUAUUAUGUCAUACUCCCACCCAUGCCUCAGUUCCUUCUUGUAUGCAAUAUUCUCUAUUUCACUAAAAUUACCUAAUUUAUAUGUGUUUUGUGCAUGCAUCUGAGACAGAGGAAGUGAGAGAGAGGCACUGGAUUUUUUGUUAAUUUUCUAUCUUAAAAAAAUAAACAUGCAAAGAGAAAAAUAAAAAGUUAGAGAGAAAGGAAGAGGAAGGGGGAGAAAGGAAGGAAAGACCAACACCAAGCCAUAAACAAGUAAACAUUUUGCAGGUUUUGUCAAUGCUAACAAACAUAAGAGUUUUUUCCCAAACAAAGGUACUUUGAUAUCUUAUUUCUUUAAGUGGAAUACUUUUAAACUUUAUUCUUAAAAACAGAUAGUAUUCUACAAUUCAAUUCCAUGUCAGCAUGAAAUUCCACGUCACUUUAUUUUUUGAUCUUCUCUUCCUUUCUCCAUUGUAACCAUUCAUCUCUUAAAAAAUGCAGAAAGCUUAUCAGAUAGAAGACAAUCAUUGCAACGCUGUAACAUGCCCUGACAACAAGUAUAAACUUACCUUGCUAUUCGAUAAUAUUUAACAAAACCAAAAACCAUUAAUUGAAAAGAUGCGGGUUUUAAGGCAAAGCAUAGAAUGUUCUUGGAUUCUCGACGGCACCAAAUAAUUUUGAGCACCUUCAGGAGUAGAUCUAGAGAGUAUUGCAGUUUCAAUCUACCUCCAAAUAAUCUCUCUUUUUUGCUCCAGAAAAACUAUUCAUCAAUUUCUCUUUUUUUUUUUAAUAACCAUUCAUCUCUUUUUAAUUUUUUAUCUUUUGGCAACAAAAAAACUCAUGAACAAAGAAACAAAAAAUCCAACCCAGUAGAGUUGAAAGAAUAAUCUAAAUAGCAAGAGUUAGGAUCUCCUUCACAAAAUUUUUUGAAUGAUUCUGAAAAUAUAAAACCAUCGCACCAUGAUUAUUCACUUCCCACCGAAUAAAUGCUCUUCAAAUUUUAUUUUAUAGUUUUUUUUUUUUUUAUUUCUUCUUUGUUUUACAUCUUUUGGUUUUGAUCUUAGAUUUUUCCCUUCUCUUUUUCUCUCUCUACCUAAUUUGCAGUAGUAUUGGUCUACAUUCCAUUGAGCAUCUCCCUUUUAUUUUUCCUUCUGCUUUCUUCACCAGCCUUGCUGCUAAAUUCAGUUCCAAUUUUCAAGAGCUAAGGUUCUAAAGUAUCGUCAAAAACAAAAAAAGUUUCUUAUAGACAUUUCAUUGAACACCCUUUAAACAUCAAUAGUUUGUUUUUAGUAAAUAACAAUGCAUGAAUAUUUUAAUUCAAAUGAAAAGAAAAGAUAAAGAGAGGACAAUCUGAUGAUAGGGACAAAGAAGAGAAGAUGAGGCUUUUUCAAGAUAUGUGUAUUUUAGAAUUUUUUGACUGAAUUAAAACUAAGUAAAUAAUUUAUCAUUUAUUUUAUUUUUAUAUAAUUUGUCAUAUAUAUCUGAUGUGGAUUCCAAGUUCAAAGUAUCUUAUUUUAGGAAUUAACUUUAAAACUAUUCUAAUUUGAUAAAUAAGACUAUAGGGUGCCUUAUCAUGAGAAAAAACUCAACAAACAUAUGGAACACGUGUUUCAAAAGAGACAAACCUGGAAAAGGUUGAUUAUGCUGCUCUUUUGAUGAACCAGAACCAGAAACAUUUGGUGAUCCAGAGCCAACCUUAGCAAUGUUUUUCUGAGAAACAACAUCAAAUAAUUACACGUAAGAAAGUGUUUGGUAAAAACAGAAAUUGAACAGUACAUUCCACUUAGCUUUCAUCUAUCAUGAUAUUAAAGACCUGAAUCAUUUAAUAUAUUCAUAAAGAACUUCCAUUUGGAAGCAUGCCAAUUCAAUAAACUAAAAAAUAGCAAAAAAAUUUUGAAUUAAAAUUCCAGAACAGCGAAGCAUUUGCACAAACAAUAAAACAGAUUCUGAAAUGCAGACAGCUUUUCUACCUAUAAGUUAAAGCAACUCCGAAUCAAGAGUACACUUGGCCAGUAUGCCGAAUAUAGAUGCAGUUAAAUACCAUUUUAAUUGACAACUGACUCUUUACCCUGUGCUUAUAGCUCAAAAAGGAACCACUAUAUCUCAAACGAAUUCGUUUAACAAGAAUGGGUGGCCCAGGACACAAUGGACUAACCAACCAUCAACAGUUUCAUCAUAUUCUUUUCAUUCCUCCAUAUUGGCAGAGGAACCCAGGAAUCCUUAUGAUCACAUACAUGGCAUACACAGAGGAAAGAUACUAUGAUUACCAAUUGCAUAUUUUCCAUCAAUUGCGAGUAAAGACAUAAUUCUUUGUAUUCAAUGAUUCUCAUCCAGCAUGGAGUUAAAACAAGUAGCAUGUACCAUGUCCUACUUUUUCUCAUGGAUCCACCUUUUAGCUCACUCCAUUAGAACACAACCAGAAAAUGCCACCAACAGAUGGCUUGGAUAUUCAUAUAACUAUAACUACUAAACCAAACAUGAGCACUGCAAUUGUGACAGGCUACCAUGCAAAUACAGAUACCAAAACAAUGAUGAAGAUAGAAUGUAAUCUCUGUCAGUACUUAUCAACUAAGGAUACAUUCUAUCAUGUUUUCAUUUUUGCAUAUUACCAAUCUUUCUUAAAAUAUGGAAUUAAAGAAGAUCCACCAUAAGGGAGGAGAAAUUCUUCCACAAUGAGAGGUACCAGUAAAUAUAUAAUUAUGGACUCAGCUAAGUUACAAGACCAGUUUAAGAUUAGCAGAGGUUUAAAGAAAAUGAACUAUGAUUGAAAAUCCAUAAUGGUAUAUCCUUUCCUCCUUUCUUUUUUCCCAAGAACGCAUACUUAAUCUGACACCCCCAGCCCCACUCUUGUGCGUUGUAUGCAUGCUAGUCAUUGAAAAUGUUGGAUAUGGAUAAAUAUGAAAAAGUGGUCAAUCGUUUGACAUAGAGUAGUGAGGCAUUAUUAAGGCAAACAUCCCUAUCCCAAGAGAAAAAGAAAGAUAAAAGGAAUCUCUGCAAGCUGCUAAGUUCAUACAAAAUAGUAAAAGAAAUAGUUAUACAACACCAACUUAUAUCAGCAUUCUUACCCCAUGCAGGUGGUUGAUUUCUGAGGGCAUAGGAUGCACACUAACUGAUCUUACAUUUUGACUUGAAUUUUCAGGGGCAUUGCCAUUGUCAAAAAAUCUUGGAAGAGGAGUCAAAAAGGAACUCUUCCCUACGAAAGGUCACCAAAUUUGGUGAAUGAAAUUAUUCAAUCAUAAAUUAGAACUUGUUUGCUUACAUUCUAUCUAAGUAACUCAUAGUUUACUCAAUGAAACUGACCCUAGAAACCAAAAAGGCAAAGAAUUGAAGGAUACACUUUACAUAACAAUAUAUAGUAAAGGUUCCUACUCAUUGCUAUCAAUAGAAGCAACUAAUUAUGCAAAUAUAAAGUACAUCUCAACUACGUUUACCAGAGCAGAGUCCCAGGAGCUUGCGUCUGCGUAUGCUCACCAUGACGGCAAUCCUUUAAUUAGUGAACAAUUUUUUAGUUGAUCGCCCUUAGCAUUUGUCCCGAUAUCUGUUCUCCUAAGCUUACCAAAGAUGGGCCAAUUAGGAGUGGAUUAAACAAUUAGAGAAUGACAAACGUUAAAGCAAAAUAUAUUAGAAAAUGAACAAGAUGGCAGAUGAAAACAGAAGGCUGAGAUGUAUAGCAAACAGCAUCAUAAUAUAAGUAAACAAGAUAUCACCUAUCAUAGUUAUACAGCAAAAGGAGAAAAAUGUCAACAGAGAAAAAGCGGUUCCUUUGGACUGAUACAAGGAAAGCCAUCAAAAACUAUAAGUCAAUGCAAGUAAUCUGAAGCACCUAAGCAAUUUAGACAAAGAAAUUCAAGGAAAAUGGAAUUGCCUGGUGAAACUCCCAGAUGUUAAUCAACUUUAUGUUAUCAAAUAUUGAUGUCAACCACAAGUACUUUCUUACAGAAUUCGGUUGGCUGAAAACCAACUAUUUUCUCAUCAUCACGUAUGUUUGAUUUCGAUAAUGCUGCAUAGACAAGCAGGGGGCUAAAAUCUAAAUCCCAUGUACGGAUUAGAUUUCUAAAAAAGACAACAGAGUUGAUGCUGGUAAAACGGAAAUCAUUCAUAAACGAAAUUUAAAGAAUGCUAUGAACAAUCCAUUGCAAAUCACAUGACACGUUUUUAGUCACCCUCUAUUCAGGUCAAACGGUAUUCACUUCUAUAGAAGUUAACCAGACUCCGGAUAAGGCGGCAAGGUGACAUAAAGCUCAGCCAUUUUUUUUUUUGGAAAAAAUAAAUUCAUUAUAUUUUGCAUAAAGUAAAGCCAAAACUUUCAUCAUGUGAAACUAACAAAGCAGUCCAAUGAGUCUGCCUAAUAAAAAUCCCAAUUAUCUCUCCGUGGAAAAUAAGUCAACCCCACCAACCUACCACCUUUCAUGGAAGAAGAGGCAGUGAACAAACAAGACAAAACACAAUACCCAAACCACCCAAAACACACAAAAAUCAAAGAGAAAAAGGAAACCCACAAAGCCAAAGCGUUUAAGCCCAUCAAAGCAAAAAAUGGCCAUAACUCCAUAACCAGGAACAGCAAAAACCACCCAUUACAAAGAAGAAGAUAAACGAAUAAAAAGAAAAAAAAAAGUCAUUGUUUUUAUCAUUUGGUACCUGAGACAGAGAAAGAAAAGGUAGUUGUUGAGACAGCGUAGAAACCGAGGAGAAACACAGAGAGAAAGACAGGUUUUUUAAGGUUAAAACUAAAAUCCGGUAAAAACUAAAAACCAAAAAAAAAAAUGUAAAAAAAUAAGGAUUUUUUUGUGUGAAGGAAGAUGGUAAAAGAAGAUAAGAGUGAAAAGAAAAAGAAAAUAAGAGCGUUUUUAAGAAGUUGGUGAUGCUGUUGGUGUUGCUGUGGUGGUGGCUCAUGCAUCUACCACCUUUUGUUUGUUUGCUUUUAUGUUAAAAUUUUUUGUGUUUUGAUUGAAAGCCCAUUUUUAUGAGGGUGGUGGAGCUGAUGGUGUAGACGGAGAAAAAUAAAUGUAAAGAAAAAAAUAAAAAAAUAAAUCAAAGCGAAUGCCAAAACCAACGGCCAAGUCUUUGUACACAGAGAGAGAGAGAGAGAGAGAGAAUGUUGAAUAUGAGAAGGGGAACGUUUGCUUCUAUUUGUGUACUUUUUGUCUUUAGUCAGCUCAACAAUGAUUCCUCUACUGCCCCUCUCCAGUUUUCCAAAUACCAUAUCUCUUAAGGUUUCUUUAGCCGUCUUUAGAUUUACCUUAAUACCCUUUUGCUUUUAUAUGAACUGUUAUUUCUUUUUUUUUCUUUUCUAAAGUAAAGAAUAAAGCUAUAAAAAUUGACUCCAACUUCAAAAAUCUUCUUAAAUCCGAUUUAAUUUAUAAAAGUCAAUAACCCAAAACAAAUCAAACUCAAAUUCAUGAAUAAUUUGAAAUUAAAUUUAUUUUAUUUUAAAAUUUAAUAAUUUAGAUUUGAAAAUAUCGAAACUCACACAACUCAAUGUUAAGCUGGAAAAAUUUUUUAACUUCAAAUAAUUUAGAUUCGAAAUAAUUUAAUUUUGAGAUGAUGUGAAGCUUAAAUAAUCUAACCCUGAAAAUAAACCAAAUUUUCAAAAACUCAAAAUAACCCAAUACGAAGUGGCCGAUCAAACUUGACCCAACUUGUCUAAAAGCCAACUCCUACGGAAUUUUCUUUUGUGAUAUUAUUUGGUGGAGAAGGUAAUAAUCACUAAUUCAAUGAAUUAUUUGUUAUAGAUGUCAGAGUGCUUGCAUAUAACUUAUCUGUUUUUGUUUAUUUAAAAGAGGUUGAUAUGUGAUAUUGAUUUGGUUUUUCAGCAAAGUAGAAAAAAAAUCAAGAUAGUUUAAAAUAAAAUAAUUUAUGUAUUUAUGUUGUAUAAAAUAUUGAUAAUUUAUAUUUUUAUAAUAUUUUAUAUAAAAAUUAUGUAUUACAAUUCGUAUCGAUAAAAAAUAUAAAAUAUAUUUUUUAUUUUAUUAAAUUUAUUUAUAAUUUUUAUUAAAUUUUAAAUUAUAUUAUUUUUAUGUUUUUUAUUCGAAUUAUUUUUGUCUCGUAUUAUCAUAUCAUAUUUUAAAUUAUCAAAUUUAAAUGAAAGUAAAACUUAAAUUAAAAAACAUAAAUAAAUUUUAAUGUGACUUGAAAAUUAAGUUAGUCUCAUUAUAUUGUCAUCCUUAAAAAAAAAAAAAAAAAAAAGAUCAUUUUAUACAAAAUGCCAUACUUCAUUUUUUUUUAAGAGAAGUCAUAGUUCUUAUUGUUAAAUGUUCUUUUUAAAUACAACUAUAUAUAGCUUAAUCAAGCGAUUAUUACUAUUGCUUCCAAUGUUAGAAUCAAAGCUCUCCCGAGGAAUUGAAUUUUUUUCACCUAAAUUGAAAAGGAAUCUUCUUUUUAUAGGAGUAGCUCUUUUCUCAAUUAUCAUGAGCAUCUAAUUAACACUAAUGAUUUUUAAACUAUGACUAGGUGAAUUUGAAGCAUAAGUCUUUUGUGAAUUAUGAAAUAAGAGUGCUGUAUACGUUCAAGGAGAUAUUACUUUCGUGAAGACAUCACUUAUAAUUAUUAUAUUAUAAUUAAUUAUAAUUUGAAUUUAACAUUAAAUUUAGUUGAUUUAUAUAAUAAUUUUUAAAAAUCUUAAAAUAUAAUGUUUAACAAAUUUAGAAUUCAAAUAUUUAUAUUUAUAAUUUUUUUAUUUAAAAUUUAAUUAUAAUUUAGGAUCGCAUAAAAUAAAUCAAAAUAUUAUAUGAAGCAUGCAUUUAUAAAUAAUAAAUUUUUACAUAAUUUUUAAUCACAAUCAAAUAAUUACACGAUGGCAAGAAAAAGAAUUAUAAAUGAUAUAUUUGCAUGCUUAGGCAAAUGUUUUAACGGUGCAUAAUAAUUUGUUAGCGAUACCAAUACCAUUACCAUCAAUCAACGUAAGUACAUCACUGAACAUUGUACUCCCCUAGCGAUCUCCAUCCACUAAAAGAUAAAAGAAAUAUGCGCACAUGCAAUUUUUUUUUUAUUCUUUCAAAAUUCGAGAUAAAUAAAUUAUUUAAUUUUUAAAUUAAAAAAAUAUAUCGUAUAUGAUAGUUUAAGAUAUAUGAUUUAAAUUAUGUAUUUGAGAUGACUUCAACAAAUGAUCACUAAUAAAAUUUAAAUUCAAAAUCUCUUUAUUGAAAAAGACGAACAUACGUAAGUUUUGUAUAAUACAUGAAAAUAUGUGACUUAAAUUGUUUAUUCAAUAUGAUUCUAAUAAAAUAAUCAUCAAUAAAAUUUAAAUUUAAAAUUUUUUUAUAAAAAAAAACGAGCAUAUGCAAAUUUUGUAUAGUGCAAGAGAACAUAUAUUUGGUCACAUUCACUUUUUGUAUACUCAACUAUUAUGAAUGAAUAUUUUUAUAAAUGGGUUUCUCUUUUUUUUUUUUUUUUUGUUAUUUAACAAAUAUUUUCAAGUAGCAUAAGUGUGGCGUUGGACGCUGAUCGGAUAGACUUUCUUCUAUUGUUUGUGUUGUUUAUUCGUUCCUUUUAUGAUUUCGGGAAGAAAAAGAAAAAGUUUUAUUUUCGGUAAAGAUUCAGUUUAUAGGAUGGAGCAUGGCGACUUCAAAUAAUUAUCAACAAUGAGAGCAACAUGAUCGAUCAAACAUAAUUAUUUUAUGGAGAUCAGUAAUCAUAUUAAUAUUUAUUUAAUAAUUAUUUAAAAUUUUUUCAUUUCAAACAAUGAAGUUUUGAUUUAAUAAUAAAUAUAACAAAUUUAAAUUAAAAAUUACUGUGUAUAAAUUUAAUUUAAUUUUAUUUUACAUUAAAUUUAUCUACUUAUAAUUAAUUUUUUUUUAUUUUUUUAAAUCUUAAAUUUAAUGGAACUUGAACUUUGAACAAAAAUUUGCAAGUAUCAACUUGACUCAAUCCGAGUUGAUAAUAAACACAUCUAACUCAAUUCAUGGUAUAGUUUAAAAAUGAAUAUGUCACAUCAAAUUCUUUGAAUUUAUUCUUCUGGAAAACUGUCACUUGUGAAUGAUGAUUUUGAUUUUGCUGUACUUAGACCAAACCUAAAAUCGUAACAUCAAGAAUGCUAUCACAUACUGUUAAACUAAAAGAGUUUAUAACCCAUCAAUUUGUUGGUCCCGGUGGAUAUGCUAGCUAACCAAAAUGUUGGACUUUUUUUUUUUUCAUGGCCAAUCAAAAGAAUAAAAGUAUUUAUUGUUAGGAUUAAAAGUCAAGAAUACUGUAAAUGAUUUGAAUUCAAAAGUAUAGAGACGAAGAUAAUUAUAUUAGAUGUAAAUAUAUAAAUUUUAAAAAAUAAUUAUAUCUUAUCUAAUUUUUUUGAAAUUUUCAAUUAUGUGAUGUCUAUAAACAUUGGUUAAAAAUAAUUAAAAUACUAAUUUGUAAAAUGUUUUCAUUUGAUAAAUUGUUUUCAUCAAAUUCAAAAAAAAACAACACGUUAAUUACAAUUUUUUUCUUGAAAUAUAAUCUUAACUGAUACUUGAUAGUGUGAAUUAAUAUUUUCCUUUUAAAUUAUAUUUAUUUGAAAGAUUUAUAAUAAAUAAAAAAAAACUAAAGAUAGGUGAUUCAUCCGAUAGUUUGUUUGAGAUUUUGAAGAAUUUAAGCAUGAAUAUUAAUUUUAUUAAAUGGAUUUGGAUAAAUAAUGAGAUUGAUUUAAAAAAAAAAAGAUAGAACUUGAGUUUUAAUAUUUAAAGUUCGAGUUUGGUCCGAUUUAAAAAUAAAAAGUAUUUGUUAUUAUAACGGGAUUUACUUUACUUUUUUAUAAUAAAUAAUGCUCAUUUGCUUCAUUCUUACAAUAUGAUAAAUUUUAUUUUUUUAUAUAAAAUAAUGAUCAAAUUUUAAAUUACAUUUAACAAAAUUAAAUUGAACUAAAAUCUAAAUGACUUAUAAAUUCAAUUAAAUUAGUUAAAAUAAUAAUUUUAAAAAAUAAAAAAAUCUAUCUUCCUCAAUUUUAAAUACUAAUAUUUUAAGUGAGUUUGAACUUUAAAAUUAUAAAUAAGAACCGGGUUAGAUAGAAAAUGAGACUAAAAAAAUUAGAUUCGAUCAAGCUUAAACUUACUUAAAAUGUUAAAAUAUCAUAUAAAAUUUAGCCAUGCUCAUGAACAGGUCUAAGAUGAAUUUAAAAUUUAAUUAAUUUAAUUAACUCAUACAAUCAAUUUUAAGAGUCAAUAUUUAAUAUAUUUCAGAUUCAAAUUUUAAUUUAUAUAAUUUUUUUUAUUUUCAAAUUGCAACAUUAAUAACGUCUAAUAUUAAUAUUCAAAUUAUUCAACUACUUAAAAAUAUAUAAUAUCAAAGUAAUAGGUAAUAGUAUUAUGAGUUUUUUUUAAUAUCAAAUAAAAAACAAAUUUCAUCAAAUUGACGCAUGAAAAUAGCUUUCCCAAAAGAUUAUUCAAAGAUCGUGGCAUUUAAGGUUAAGCAAACGAAGAAAGUCAGAGAAAGCUACGGACAAUGCAAUAGGAGGGCAAUCAUGUCAUAUGGCACUAUAAGCCAAGCGGCGGAUAAAGAGGGGACGAAACGGGCAAAAAGGGGAAAGCAAAGGGUAGACAAAGUGGCUAAGAGAAAUUAUUAUUAGUGUGGCUUGGUUGGUAUCGAGCGAAAGGCACCGACGAUGCUCUGAUUGGAUGGGCGGCCUGUCAUAGAAGCUGUGUAGAUAAUGUCCAGCCAACCUCAACCCUAAAAUCUUUUUCCUCUGUUAACUUCCCAUAUAUAGUCUUUUUACUUGCUAGUAUAGCCAAUUGGAGCUUAUGGCCCAUUUUCCCUCUGGGAAUCCCAUCCAAUGUGAAGGCCAAUUGGUCAUAAGAAAAUCAAGUUGAAGCAUGAAAUUAUAUAAAAAGAAAAAAUCAUGAGUCUUGAUAUGAAUUUGUGUCCCUCUACAAUAAAACAAAUAUUCGAAUUUCCGUAAGGAUUAGGUAAGUAUUUUAUAUUUAUAAAAUUAAGUUUUUUUUAUUAUCAAUAAUUUUUUAUAAAUAAUUUAUAAAUUUUAACUGAUAAAAAAAACCUCCCUUAUUUUAAAUUUUUUAUGAUAACAAUAUUAUGAAAUCAAAAGCGAUCGGAUUGACUGCGGGCUCCGCACCAUAUUUUUC
rnacentral:lncRNA from 1 species